AACCUAAUAAAAGGAACCGUGAAUGGAUAGUAUGGACUCAUGUAUAUUAUCCAGAAAGUUGCAUGACCUUUUGUGGUACUCAGGUCACUAAAAAACGUGAGAUAAACAUCUAGGAUAAGAAAAGCAAAAAAGCAUAACCUAAUACGUAUUAUAUGAAUUGAAGGUGUCACUGAACGCUACCAACCUGCUUUGCCACUCUCCUUAUGAUUUCAUCAUUUGGUAAGGGCAUAUAAGGAUCUCCAGGCGUCAAAACGCGUCUGAAAGAUAAUAUGGUUAUAGUAAACAACAUGGAAUACAAAGACACUUGGCAAAAGGAAGUCAAUCAGAUUCCAUGCACAAAAAAUAACUAAUAAUGACGACGAUAAGAAAUUUUUCACACCGGAGCCUUCUCUAUAGUAGUCUUCUGGUGAAGUAAGUGCUAGAUCUGCAAAGCAAGAGAAAUCUGCAUCUGGAGUAUAUAAAAGGUUAUCUAACCCCACAGCUUGCCUCAAUUGCCUACAUGUUCAAAACAAGGAUCUAUUAAAAAAUGGAAAUUUCUUCAAUGCAUUAGUGAAGGGAAGUGAAGUGAAAGCGGAUUUCUUAAGCCUUCACAGAGCAUCUUGUGUUUGAAUUCCGGUAACCUCACAAAAGAUUAGAGCAUCACCUUGACCGUUCUAGGUCUUGCAACUCAGUAACCCAACCAUUGUAUCUAAGCUGCACUGUGACAACAUGAACUCCAACGAGCUCAUAAAUAUUGUUGAAAAAUUUCAUUUCCCUCCAGCCUCCACAAUGAUGAAAGCAAUCUUUUAAUUCCAGGGACAUCACAUGCUGCCAUUAAAUAAGAAGUUGAAUAAAGAAAAAUCGUUCAACUAAAUGAUUCAGGAGUUAAAAAAAAAUGUAGAAGUAGAAAUAAAUAACAAAGAUUUAACCAUAAACCUGCAACAUUUGCAUCAGCUUGCACAACCUUCUUGUCAGUGGCCUGAAAUAGAAUGAGAACUUGAAAGACAGUAAGCAUAAAAGAAUAAACUCAAAGAAGCUGCUUCUUACAGAUGAUAUAAACAACAAAUUUACAAAUGUCAGGUCAUUGCAUUAGCUCCAUGCCUCCAUCAGAGGGAAUAUUAGUAGAUGCAUAAAAAAAUAAUUAGAGCCACAUGUGAAACAAUUUACCUUAGACAUGGCAAGUGCUUUAACAAAUGUUUCCCCGUUAGCAGAUUUAUCAUAAAGUAUCUCUCUGCAUCCCCACCUAAGAUGGAACCUGUUCUCACAAGAACAGAUCCCAAGGUUGGGAAAAUCAGUUCAUCAUAGGAGAAAACAAAUAAGAUUAACAAAUCACUACAAUGGUGUGAACCCGUAAAUACAAACGUACCUGCCCCCUUUUUCUGUGAUAUAUUUUCUUAUGGGCCCACUCAAAUAAACAUCCGGAGAACCCGAGCAUCAGCAAUAGGGAAGCCUCGGUCUUAGUCGCAAAUAGUGCAAGUAUGGUAAGCGUACAAUGAGCACUGAUGUUAUCACAAUCAAUAAACCCAAGGGCAUACGCAACAGGAUCCCACAUUCUUUGGAUACUUGUCCGUGUACCACCCUUGGACAAAAACCAAUCAGAGAAGCUUAUGUGUAAGAAGAAAUGAAGUUUUAGGUAAAAUAACAAUUUGUAGGAACAGGGAUUGAAAUUCAACAGACAAGGAAAUAUGAUAUCAUUCUUACACUAUCCAAAUCUCAUAUGUCCUUCAAGGCUCCAUCAGGAUCAACAAGUGCCUUUACAACAGGACUCAGAGCAAGAGCAAGAGCAUUUCUUGCUUUAUCUUAAGUCUGCACUUGAGCAAUAUACCAGGCAAAGUACAUCAAAAGAGAAUCCAAAAGAGGCAAGAAGCUUCAACAUGAAAAAAGGAGUACUGCCUCAUCAUACUGCUUUGCAAUCACAGUGCAAAAGAUAACAUCAACAAAUCAAAAUCGACCAAAAAUCCAUAUGCACUACCUUAAGCUGAUUUGUAGACAAAAAUGUGCGAAUCCCAUGUAACGGAGCUCCAAUCAGAAACCGGAAAUCAAGUUCUGGAGUUGAAAAUCAAAAUCAUGAACCAAAUCAGAGUUAUUAUUGAAUUUGACAAUCCAUAAACCAAUAGAAGGUGAUGUCAAACCAUCAAGCAUAACUACCCACCAAGCAAAACUAUUAGUAGUUUUAAGUGAUCAAGAAAUAACCAUACCACCAAUUUCACCACCCUUAUUUACAAAUGUAUGAGUAUGAUCCUUCAUGAGUAAAUUUUUGUCCACACCUACCUGUCGAAAUGCUUGAAAAACUAUCAGAUCAUAAACACAGGCUCCAGUUAAAGAGGAUCUAUGAUUCUGAUCCAUCAUGUUAUUUGAACAACAUUUUCGAAUUUUGGUACAACCCUAAGCUAUAAUCAGUUGUAGUGGUACAACCCUAAGCUAUAAUCAGUUAUCAUCACUACAAAUGAUAUGGUCAAGAGGAAUGAUAGUUCUUGUUUCAAGUAUCUCAAAUCAUAAUUCUUUUGCAUGGCUUGUGUGCUUUUAUAAUCAUUCAAAUACGCAUAUCCACAACUAAGCAAGCUUUACCAUUUUCAUCAAUCGGAAGAGAUUAUUGUAGCAUCCAAAGAAAACGUGCAGGCCCAUUUCAAUAUGGUUUUCACGUUUAUCGACAAAUGAACCCACUUUACCACCAAUAAAAGACCUCGACUCAUAUAUAUCCACCUGGAAGAAAGGAAAAGUUAAAAAAAAAAAGUGUUGAGAAUUAUGUUUGAUUAAACUUAAUUCUUUCCCCAAGAAAUCUCCACACACUGAUCUUAUUGAAACAAGAAUGAAUACCCAAGAUAGUAAUCAGAAAUAAAGCAAGAGUGUUUAGACAGAAAUAGAGAUUAAAAGCAUAGAAUAAACCGGACACAAGGAGAAUUAUAGAGGUUCGGCUGGGUAGCCUACAUCCUCUUGAGAAACAGAAGCCAUAGCUUUUCUUUGAUGCUUAACAGAUUACAAGACUUAGAGAGUUUGUUACAAAGAACGUUGGUUAUCUAAACUUGGCCUUGGAGACCUUAUAUACAGCUCUCGAAGGAUCCAGAUAAGUGUGCUGCUUGCCAGCUCUUGUUCUGGGUUUGUUGAAACAAACCCAGAAAGUUCCCGCCAAGGCUAACCGUUGAUAACAGCCUUUUAAUUAGAAACGACACUUGCUGCUGCCGUUUAACUAAAGCUUGAAUCCGUAGAUGCUCGUGCAAUUCACGUGCAUUACUUAAGCUAUUCGUGUGACAGGAUAUGGUUGUCAUAUGCACAGCAUUAUCUGUCUGAUUGCUUUGUCGUUACUUGAUUAAUCCUAGACACGACAAAGUCAUCUUCUCCGUAAGCUCUUAAUUCAGGUUCACAAUUAACAAAAAGGAAUAAAAAUUCUUCUAAUUUCUUACACCAUCAACAAAAUCAGAAUAACACAUACUAGUUCAAAAUGAAAUAAAGUUUGUGAAUUGAAAUAAUGCCAACUCCUAAGAAAAAUUAUGACUGCUGAUAUUUUUUCCGAAACGCUGAUAAAAGCCUCUGCUAUUUACUUUGAAAAAAUUGAGGUUAGAAGCCAAUUUACUUGAAAUUUUUGAGUUUAGGCAAGAGGAUGAAUGGUAAAACUGAAACAUAUUAGGGAAAAAUGUACUUCAGAGGCCAAUGAAAGCAUUCAGAAGAUUGAAAACUAAAUGAGCAAAACCUCGUGGCCAUGAUCCAACAAUUCCACUGCUGUUGACAUGCCUGCAAGCCCAGCUCCAAUAAUAGCCACUUUCAGCUUUGGUCCUCUAUAAUGUUCCGGUUCUGGUAGAAACAAACCCUUGGGAGCUGCCAAGUAUACCAUCCAAUUAUCCACAGUGAUAAUGGAAAUAUAUAUUUGUUUAAAGGUACUAAAUUCCUAAACAUGAAAUGUAUCCAAAAAGAGACACAAAGCAGAAUUGAGUAAGCAUUUCAAUUCCCAAUAAAUUUCAAGAAUACAAAAUACUCGGUCUGUUCUUCAAUUCCUUUAAUAAAAUUUCCACUAGAGGCUACGCAAGCCACUCAAUAACACGCCAAAGCCAGAUUUUAAACGUUAUCUUUAUCUUUAACUCCAAUCCAUAAACAAUUCUGCCACAAAUUCAAUCCAAAAUUGUUCAACUGCACCGCCAAUUCUCCAUCAAUUCCCUCAAAAAUUCAUAAUUGCCAAACACUGCAAACCAAAAAGAGCUUCCAGCAAUAAACGCAUAAAAAUCCGCCAAACAACAUAAAACAAAAUACCUAGAAACCAGAAAAGCCAAAAGAUCAAUGCUUGGCAAACAAGCAAAUCAAAUAAAACAAAAAGAAGAGAAAUUUACCAUUAACGCUCAUAUCAGAAACAUUCGUGUCCAAAGAAGCCCGUACGUGGAAUCGUGGACCCUUCACUUGAACCCGAGACCAUUUAACGCCAGUAACUGAAGUUGCAGGAAGCAGAAGUGAAGAACCCAUAUUGCAAAUCCUGAGCUGAAAUCAAGAAAUUCAAUUGGAACUCAAUUCAACUCAACCCAGCUGAGCUCUCUUUUGCUUCAAUAACAAAGUGUUUUUCUUUUAUAUCAACAAAGAUUUGUCAACAUCAACAAAAUUUAACUAAGAAACUAAAAUAAUAAAAGAGGGCACCUUUGAGUUUAAGAAUCUAACAAGAUGCUAAGGAAGAGAGUUUUGUCAGGGAACUGUUUCGGAGAGGUUGGCCAAGUGCUUUUUUGUUUGUUUGUUUGUUUUUUUUUUUUUUUUUUUUUAUCAUUUUGGCCCUUUUCAUUAAUACACAACAUUAGUACUCGCGAAGAGCACAAAAUGUUGGUGACUUUGUCACUAACGAUAAUGGAUGGAGCGACCAAAGCAACCAACUAAAUUUUAAAGAGAGGGAAUGACAAGCAAUAUUUUAAUUGGGUGAUUAAUUAAUGUAUUAUCAAGCAAUUGCAUUUAUUUAUUUAAACGAGGGUUUGGCUACAAUGCCGUUGGCAUUGUAGCCGGCACCAUGCCGGGCUCUCAAAAAGAGAGCCCGGCUGUCUUUGGCUGCCAUCUGGCAGCCAAAGACUUGGUGCAGCCAGUUAACAAACCGGUUGCACCAUAUUUUUUUAAAAAAUAUAUUAAAAAUAUAAUAUAAAAAUAAAAAAAUUAAAUAAAAUGUCAAAAAUAAUUUUUUAUAAUAUAAUUAAUAGCAAAAGAUAAAGAAAUUAAAUAAUAUAAUACAAACCCUAUAAUACAAUAUAAUAUAAUUAAAUAAAAUGGCAAAAAAUAAAGAAAUUGAAAAUGAAAAAAAUAGUAUUUCAGGUUUAACGUCAGUUGUUGCAUGUCCGAUGUCUCGAUUGCAUGUUUGACGUAAGAUGUUGCAUGUGUUGAAUAAAGCCAAAAUAAAGAAUAUUCUCGAAUAUUCUCGUCCGUUUCAUGUUUGACGUCGAAGUUGCGAACUUUACGUGAUAAGUUGUAUAUUUCGCGUGAAGUGUUGUAAGUUUCAUGUUUAACGUCCGUUGUUGCAUGUCGGACGUCACGGUUGCAUGUUUGACGUAAGCUGUUGCAUGUCUUGAAUAAAGACAAAAUAAAGAAUAUUCCCGAAUAUUCUCGUCCGUUUCAUGUUUGACGUCGAAGUUGCGAACUUUACGUGAUAAGUUGCAUAUUUCGCGUGAAGUGUUGCAAGUUUCAUAUUUAACGUCAGUUGUUGCAUGUUCGACGGUUGGAUUUCAUGUUUGACAUACGAUGUUGCAUGUUUUGAAUAAAACCAAAAUAAAGAAUAUUCCCAAAUAUUCUCGUCCGUUUCAUGUUUGACUUCAAAGUUGCAAACUUUACGUGAUAAGUUGCAUAUUUCACGUGCAGUGUUACAGGUUGCAUGUUUAACGUCCGUUGUUGCAUGUCGAACGUCACGGUUGCAUGUUUGACGUAAGCUGUUGCAUGUCUUGAAUAAAGCCAAAAUAAAGAAUAUUCCCGAAUAUUCUCGUCUGUUUCAUGUUUGAUGUCGAAGUUGCGAACUUUACGUGAUAAGUUGCAUAUUUCUCGUGAAGUGUUGCAAGUUUCAUAUUUAACGUUAGUUGUUGCAUGUUCGACGGUCGGAUUUCAUGUUUGAUGUAAGCUGUUGCAUGUCUUGAAUAAAGUCAAAAUAAAGAAUAUUCUCGAAUAUUCUCGUCUGUUUCAUGUUUGACGUCGAAGUUGCAAACUUUACGUGAUAAGUUGCAUAUUUCACGUGCAGUGUUGCAGGUUGCAUGUUUAACGUCCGUUAUUGCAUGUCGGACGUCCUGCUUGCAUGUUUGACGUUCGAUGUUGCAUGUUUUGGAUAAAGCCAAAAUAAAGAAUAUUCUCGAAUAUUCUCGUCCGUUUCAUGUUUGACGUCGAAGUUGCAAACUUUACGUAAUAAGUUGCAUAUUUCGCGUGAAGUGUUGCAAGUUUCAUAUUUAACGUCAGUUGUUGUAUGUUCGACGGUUGGAUUUCAUGUUUGACGUAAGCUGUUGCAUGUCUUGAAUAAAGCCAAAAUAAAGAAUAUUCUCGAAUAUUCUCAUCCGUUUCAUGUUUGACGUCGAAGUUGCAAACUUUACGUGAUAAGUUGCAUAUUUCACGUGCAGUGUUGCAGGUUGCAUGUUUAACGUCCGUUGUUGCAUGUCGGACGUCACGGUUGCAUGUUUGACGUAAGCUAUUGCAUGUCUUGAAUAAAGCCAAAAUAAAGAAUAUUCCCGAAUAUUCUCGUCUGUUUCAUAUUUGACGUCGAAGUUGCGAACUUUACGUGAUAAGUUGCAUAUUUCGCGUGAAGUGUUGCAAGUUUUAUAUUUAACGUAAGUUGUUGCAUGUUCGACGGUUGGAUUUCAUGUUUGACAUAUGAUGUUGCAUGUUUUGAAUAAAGCCAAAAUAAAGAAUAUUCCCGAAUAUUCUCGUCCGUUUCAUGUUUGACGUCAAAGUUGCAUAAUUUACGUGAUAAAUUGCAUAUUUAACGUGACUUGUUGCGGGUUUCAUGUUUUACGUCUAUUGUUGCAUGUUGGACGUCACGGUUGCAUGUUUGACAUUAGAUGUUGCAUGUCUUGAAUCAAGCCAAAAUAAAGAAUAUUUCCGAAUAUUCUCGCUUGUUUUAUAUUUGACAUCAAAGUUGCAUACUUUACGUGAUAGGUUGCAUGUUUGACGUAAAAUAUUGUAGGGUAGGUUUAUAUAAAAUAACUAAUUAUAAAAUGAGAGUGCAUUUCAAAAUUCCUUGACAAAUCAAGUGAUAAUUUAUAACUAAACUUAUUUUUUUCAAAUUUUUUAUUAUUAAUUAAGUUUAAUUAAGCCAAUCUAUUAAGAAACAAAUGAAAAUAUAUUAAAAUUAAAUUAAAUGCAACUUUUACCCAAUAAAUAUAUUUAGGAAUAUAUCUAAUUAAAUUGGUACACAAAUUACAAAUGUUUUCAAGAAAUUACACACAUAAGUUUAAUAGUCUAACUAUUUUUUAUAUGAUUGAUAAAAUGAUGGCUUUGGAAAGAACUUGUGAUUUGAAAAGAAAAAUCUAGUUAAUUAUAAUAAAAUUACAUAUCUAAUCCAACCUUUUUUCCUUAUUUUAGUCAGAUAAUAGUUUUGAAAAUAAUUUGAUAAUUCAAGUGAUAAUGUCUAUUCUUAUUUGUUGUAUAAUAUUUUUUUAGGUGCAUUUCAUUUUAUUUUUAUUUUUUUAGAGAAUCUAAUCAUGGUGGAUAUUUUAAAUUACUAAGUCAUGAAAAUUUUGAAUUCAAUUGAAAUUUACAAUCUUUUAUGAAUGAAAAUAUACAGCAAGACAAAAAAAUUGAGAGAUAAAAAGAAAAUGUGGUAGAAAGAAAAGGCAACAUCAAUAUGAUCAUUUUCUAAGAAAAAUUAAGGCAAAAUCUUCCAAGUAAUAUGGUCAAUUUCAAUAAAAUUACAACUUACUAGAGUAAAUCCAUCUACUAAACAUCCAAAGUUCACAACAUAAUAUUUGAAUAUCACCAAUAACAUCCCCAAUCCUAAAGAUUGCAACAAAUUCAUGUAACAUUUGAGGGUAUUGUUUGGGGGUAAAAAUAACGUGACCAAGUACACAUAAGUAGAACGUGCACCCCUCAGUCGGCCUAAGGCGACUCCUUGAGGAAAGUCUUCCCCGAUGAGUUGAGCAUUGGAGGGUUUAUGUUAGAAAAAUCUCCGACAUCCCCUAACUAGUUGUUAUGAACGCAAGCAUCCUUGGAGAAAGAGCUUGAGGUCCCAAGAGCCUAUUCGAUAAGAAAGAUAGAAGUACAAACCGACUCCCCAACAACUACUAAUUUAAGUGUUGGCGUGGUUGUCUGGUCGCUUCACAGCUCGACGAGAAUUCAACAUCAACAAAUAUUUUAGAACCUAGUGUAUCUUCAAUCAUUUUGGAUUAAAUUCUAUGACACUUUUUUCUUUUCUUCUCUUUUUUUGUGAAAACAAAUUUUAGUACACUUAUUUUAAAAGAAAUUUGUUAAUGAAAAACAAAAUAAUGACAAUGAAGAGCACUCAUUUAUAAAAAUAAGCUACAAAUAGAAAAACAAAAUUCAUAUAAGUAGAAUCUCCCAAAAACUAAAAGCAUUGUCGAAUUGAGUUACAAACUAAUAAUAAUUUCAUCAAAGUUUGUAAACCAAAGAUUGUCCUAAUAUCAAAAAGUUUCCAAUAAAACACUCCAACUGAAUUCUCCCCUGGAAAUAAUUAAAAUUUUCAAGUUAGUCAAUAAGAAAAAACAGCCAUCAAUCAUAAUAAGAAGCAACAGCAAAUUACACUAAAAAAAUGGCAGAAAAAAGCACCAAAACAACAAAUAUAAACAAGAAACAACAAUUAAAAAAAACCCAAAAAUGGCAUAAAAAGAUGCUCAAAGCAGCAAUAAAUUUAUAAAAAAUACCCUAAAAUAGCAGUGAAAAGUGCUUUAAAAAGCAUUAAAAAAUCCAAAAACAAUAGUAAACAUGCCUAGAAACAGUAGAAAAAACCCCCUAAAAUAGCAAGAAAACUGCCUAAAACUAGAAAAAAAAUCUAACAGCAAAAUCUUCCAUUGCCAGAUAAAGCUACGAAAGAAAAGAAAUAAAAUUCAUAAAGAGUCAAAGCUAACAUACUGACCACUUGCUAGAAAUUAAGCUAUAAAUCCCAAAUUUUUACACAAAUUAGUAUCUGAAACAAGAUUGGUUUGAUAUAUGAUAGUCAAGUAAAAUACCUAUAAAGUAGUACAAAUUCAGCAAACCUAAUGGCUUCACUCCACUGAUUUUCUUAAGACUCCAGUGAUGAGAAGCUGCCAACAGAAUGAUAAAUUGAGGUUUGACAGGAAGCACACAAACUAAACAAGAUACAUAACAACUUUGUUAUCCAUGUUACACCCUAGAACCAUUUCUAGGAAUAUUUGUUAGAAUAGCCACCAUAACAGUUGAUGAGCAACAUAAAACAGAGACAACAACAAAACCAGCAACCUGCAAAGUGCCAAUUCUUCCAUAAUUAAAUCAGAUACACAAUAGAAAUAAUUUACUAUUAAAAUCCCAAAUUCAUUUUAUCUUCUUCCUGCAUUUUCUCAUCAAUCAAACAUAAAAGAGAGCUCCUAUCGACACAUGCAAACAGCACCCACCAUCUUGUCGCAUUCAAACACAACCCAAGAUCACAAAAGUUAAUUUUCUAGAUUUAGUUAACCAAAGAAAAUAUACCAUCAACUGGAUCACCUUAUAAAUCAAAUACAAUUCCACAAUAUUACCAACCUCCCAAAAAAAAAAGGCACAAACUUUAAAAUGAAAACAACAACACCAUGAAAAAUAAGCAAAAGUGGGUAUUUAAAUCAAACAUGAUAGAAUGCAACAAAAGCAAAAAAGCUUUCGAUAGAAGCCAAAGCUAGAUGGGGUACAAGCAAGCUAGGAGGUACCAAUUAAAGAUGCUUCAUUCAAGAACAGAAAAGCUACCAGAAUGAUAAAAGUAGAAAAAAUGAAACAAUAAACAGAAAAUUGGGUGAAAGCUGCAACAAUAGUUUCAAUCACUUAACAGUACCAGCAAACUUAUAGUAAACUUUAAGAACUAGAUGUUUAAGCCACAGAUAAUGGGGACGUACCCAUGAGGAUAAAGACACAAGCGUGAGACCAGUAAAGCCGCCCAUCCUUAACUUGUGCAGGAAACAAAGUCGAAUGAAAAAGGAGGCAACGACGGUAGCGACGAAAACAGCUGGAUCGGAAGCGAACAGCUCAAGAUGAAAGCAACAAGUUAAUGGAUUGGAUUGUGUGCGCGAGAUGUGGCUUCGAUUUUAUUUGAUUAGUCAAGAAAUCGAAGAGAGAAAUUUGAGAGAAAUUUGUGAUUUCUGAGAGAGAGGCAAGAAAUUGAGAGAGAUUGGGCACGGUUGAAACACCUAAAUUAUAAAAAUAUAAAUUUUGCAGCCUUUGGGAACUGGUUGCUUCGGUUGCCCUUUUUUUGUUUUUUUUUUUAUUUCUUUUCAAUGUCAGCCGUUGGAUUCAUUUUACUUGAAUCCAACGACUGCAUUUACAAGCCAGCACAAUGCCGGGCCUCAAUGCCCGGCAUUGUAGCUUUAGCCUUUAAACGAUGUCCUUAUCGUUGGACAAGGUUGAGGAAAGACAGCGAUGUUGUGUUGUCACGUAUUUUUGGGCCGACCGUUUCCAGUUCCGGCUUAAAUGAGGCUUUUGUAUUUUUGUGCCCUUUUUUUUACUGAGUAUUUUGUCCUAAAUUACACCAAAGAAAAUGUGGACUUUAGAAUGUGACAGUAUUGAUAUCUAAGUUCAUAAUAUCAUGAUAAAACAAAUAAAUGAAUAGAAAUGUAAAUAAAUUUGGUUAAAAUUUAAUGGCUUCGAAUUCGGUAUGUUAUCAAACAAAUCAUACUCUUAGGAUUUGGAUUCAAUUCAUUUAUUAAUUGGAUGUCUAUUUAAUUCGUUUAUUAUACAAAAUUAAAUGAAUUGAAUUGAAUUUAGAUUCAUUUACAAUUUGUUUAAUUUAUUUAUGUAAAAUUAAUAAUAAAUCAAUCAAAUGUGGAUUUGUUUAAAAAAUAAUAAUAAUUAAUAACAAAAAUCAAGCAAAGUAAAAUAGAAAAAAAAUCAUAAAAUUAACAACCUACAAAAUAAAAACGAAUUAGUGACCGCAAACUUGAAUUCAAUUCAUUUAUUUAACGAAUUGAAUUGAAUUCACUUAUUUGUUAAUGAAUCAAUUUUUUUUUUAAAAUUCAAACCUAUUUAACUUGAAUCAAAUAAACACAUCCUAAUCUAAAUUGUCACCUCUAAAUAUGAUGGACCUAUUUAAAAUAUAUGAAUACCAAAAUGUGUGGGCUAAAAAGUGGUUUACCAUGCAACAAUACAAAGUUUAAGCUCUCUUUUCUUAUGUCAUCCAAGGCAUUGCCUAGAUCGCCAAACACUAGAGUUCAAGUCUACAAUAAAGAAUCGAAAUUUUCCUUUGUAUAUGUUCGUAAGUAUUUAGCAUAGAUUUUUUAGUUAUACUUGAUAGAUCCCCUACCAUAUUUGCUAUAAUAUUUCUCUUCUAUUUAAAAGUAAAUAAUGCAUAAUAACGGAUUUGUAAAGAAAUGAAAUUUCCAGUAAUUAUCUGAAAAAAAAAAGAUGGAUUAAGCGAAAGAAGUUAAUAUAGAGUAAGUCGAGUACUUGACAAUUAAAGUAAUUUUACUCGAGGUUGAGUAAGGAUAGUAGGAUACUUUCCCAAGUUUUCCGAGGACAUUCAUGUAACAUUGGACUAUUGACUAUAGUUAGAGAGAAGUCCUAGGAUGUAAGUGAUGAUGAUAGAUUCACAAUUCUUUUGAAGAAAAUAUUUUAUAUAAACUUAAUUAUAUGGUAUAAAAUGAUUGGCCUUAAUAAAAUUAAAAAAUAAUAAAAAUAAUACACGCCUGGGUCAUGCAAUAUUUUCAACCAACUAAUUUACACGCAAAAUUAAACCUUAUGAGUGAGAACAUUAUGGUACAUUUAUUUGCUAGCAAAAACUCCGCAAAAAUUUUCCGAAGUGUGAAAAUGAACACUUUUAACAAUGGCACAAAAUUCCCACCCCCCAUGAUUAAUUCUCUUAUCUGGAAUAUUAGGGGGCUUCCCCUGCGGAAAUUAGUUCGAUUACAUCGAUUGUCUUUGAUUUGUGUGUUGGAGCCAUUUAUUUCCGUUGAUCGUUUAGAGGCUCUUCGGGUGCGACUUGGGAUGGAUCAUGCUUUAUCUUCCCAAUCUGGGAAGAUUUGGGUUUUCUGGUCCGCACCUUUCUCGGUGGAGCUUUUGCAUGACAUGGGCAAGGUGAUUUAUUAUCGGGUUAGUCACUCUUUUUUUCCUGAUCCUGUGUAAGUUUCAUAUGUGUACUCUAGUUGUUAUAUGGAUGUGCGAGAGAAUUUAUGGGAUGCUCUUAAGACCUUUGUGGAUAGUCAUGACCUACCUUGAAUCGUGGGGGGAGAUUUUAAUAUGAUUCAGGCGGUCUCGGAGAUUUCUGGCUGGCAUCUACAGACUCGGGGAGCUAUUGAUGCCUUUAAUUUAGCGUUGCUUGAUUGUGGGUAGGAGGAUGCUAGCUUUGUUGGCAGUCCUUUUACUUGGACUAAUGGGCGCCCAUGGAGGCAGCUUGAUAGGGUGGUCUGCAACACUCACUAGUAUGCUUUCUUCUCAGUAUUUCGGGUCUCUCAUCUGAAUCGUACUGCCUCAUAUCAUUCUCCUUUGCUUUUUUUUUGGUGAUCGGGACGCUGUUAAAGGACCUUUACGGUUUAAAUUUCUUCAUGUGUGGCUCAUGCAUCCAGGUUUUCUUGAUACUGUGCGGCAGUCUUGGGGUGCUCCGGUGGUUGGUUUUGGAAUGAGAGCCUUUCAACAAAAACUCACUCGGUUAAAGUUCUGCCCAAAAGCUUGGAACAAAAAUGUCUUUGGUAACGUUUUUUAUCGGGUCCAACAAGCAGAGGAGGACGUGGCUCAGAAGGAGAGAUUGUAUGAUAUUUCUGGCUCCGCCGAUUACAGAGCUAAUUUUUCUGAGGCCAGGGCCUGGUUGCAGCAUGCUUUGCUUCGUGAGGAGAUUUUUUUUUGCGUCAGCAGUCCUGUGUUCGAUGGGUUCGAGAGGGCAAUACUAAUACCUAUUUUUUCCAUGCGAUGAUCCGGAAAAAGCGCCAGUUGUUUUAUAUUCACAGGAUUCGAGUUGAUUGUUUCUCAGAGUGGAUUUCUGAGCCCUCCGCCAUUGUAGAUUAUGAUGUCGAUUAUUUUCAAGAUUUAUUAACGGGAGAUGCCAGUCAAUUUCAGCAGACGGACUUCGAAGUUAUUCCAUCUCUUGUGUCUGUAGAGGAUGAUGUAGAGUUAUGUAGAGAGCCGUAUAUGGAUGAGAUUAGACAUGCGGUAUUUUUUAUUGAUCCAGAUAGUGCUCCUGGACCGGAUGGUUUUUGUAGCAGAUUCUAUCAGUCGUGUUGGGACAUCAUUUGCCAUGACUUGUUAAAUGUUGUCCUCGAUUAUUUUAGAGGUUCGGCAUGCCCAGAGGUUUCCAAAGUACUUUAUUGGUCUUUCUGCCUAAGAAGGCUUCUCCGGCUUCUUGGGCUGAUUUCCGUCCAAUUAGUCUUUGUAAUGUGAGCAACAAGGUCCUUACUAAGUUGCUUGUCCCAUCUCCUGCCUCACAUUAUUUCUCCUACUUAGAGUGGUUUUAUUCCUGGUCGAGUGAUUCAUGAUAACAUGCUCCUGGCUCAGGAGUUCGUUCACGAUCUCAAUCGCCAUACUCGAGGGAACAAUGUGGUUCUGAAAUUAGAUAUGGCGCAGGCAUACGACGUAUGUCAUGGCCUUUUAUUAUUAAGAUGAUUCACUGUUUUAAGUUCUCGAAGCGUUGGAUUGCUUUGAUUUGGCGAGCGAUUUACGGUCCUUAGUUUUCAGUGCUUAUGAACGGGGUCAGUAACAUAUAUUUCCAGUCCCAGAGUGGUCUUUAGCAGGGUGAUCCCCUUUCCCUUUGCUUAUUUAUUAUUGCUGCAGAAUUUUUAUCUCCAGGCUUAGAUCAUUUGUAUUCUCAAUAUCCCUCUGUUCGGUAUUGUUAUACUGCACCUACUUCUAUCUCCCACUUGAGUUUUGCGGAUGGUAUUGUUAUUUUUGCAAAUGAGAGCCGAUCUAACUUACAGUGGCUUGUGGAUUUCUUACACCAUUAUAAGGCGAUCUCAGGGCAGUUGAUUAGCGAGGACAAGAGUAACUUCUACAUUGGGAAGCCAGCUUCGACCUCCCGCCAGGCCAUUGUUCACUCUGUGCUUUCAGUGACGUCAGCUUCCGUUUACUUAUCUUGGGUGCCUGAUCUUUACAGGGCACCUCAAGAUCUCCUAUUUUGAUGACAUGGUCCGGAAGGUCAAGGAUAAGAUUUCUGGCUGGGCUAACCGUCUGCUUUCCUUUGGUGGGAAUCUCGUCCUCAUUCGCCAUGUGUUAUCCUCUAUGGCCCUGCACUUAUUUCACGUCCUCCGUCCUUUUAUAACGGUAGUUUAACGCCUAGAGCGAUUAUUCACCCGAUUCCUAUGCGGUGAUUUUGAGGGAAGACACCGGAUCCACUAGUGUAGAUGGCCAAAGGUUUAUUAUCCAGUUGACGAGGGUGGCCUCGAUAUACGAUCUUUUGAUGAUAUGGCGGAGGCUUUUGAGAUUAAACUUUGGUGGCGGUUUUGUUAGCAGAGUUCCUAUAUGAAGUCUAAGUAUUGCAGAUCUACGCAACCAAGCCUUAUCCAGUUUCGCUAUCUUGCCUCUCCUUUAUGGAGACACCUUUAUAAGAUUCGUUGCACGACUAAACCUCAUGUGCGUUGGCUCGUUAGGAGUGGAGAUUGUAGCUUCUGAUAUGAUUGUUGGCUGAGUUCUUGCCCUUUAUUUUUUUAUAACCCUACAACGGCUUUGUCGGUGUCGGUCUAGUUCUUUUGGCAGGGUACAAUCUGGGACAAAGGCAAACUAAAGGAUGUCUUGCCUUCAUCUAUUGUUGAGCAGAUCCUAUUAGUGCCUAUUUCUAGUGGGAAUCCAGACCUGAUUCGUUGGGACCUUGCCCCCGAUGGCACGUUUAACUUGCGGACUGCUUGGGAGCUUGUACGGUGCUCGAGGCCGAGGGAUGAGCUUUUCUCGAUGAUUUGGUAGAGGCAUAUCCUGUCACGAGUUUCCUUUUUUCUCUGGCAGCUACUUCACGGAUUCCUAGCUACUGAUGAUGCCUUAUACUUGAGGGGUUUCUACAUGGUUUCUCGAUGUAUUUGUCAGCGGGUUGCUGAGACUUCUCGGCAACUUUUUAUGGAUUGCCCGCGGGCCCAUCAUAUUUGGGUUCAUUACUAGCGGAUCAUGGGGAUGCGUGAGCUUUAUUUUCUGUCUCCCCGUACUUUGCUUUUAUUUUGGAAACAUUGUGCCCCUUCUCAGAAUCAUCAUCGGGUCCUUCUGCCUUACUUCAUUUUGUGGCAAAUUUGGAAGGCCCUAAAUGCUUUCUGGUUUCAUUCACAAUCUUUCUCCACUGAUGCGGUUAUCUUUCAGGUCGACUCUGAUCUCAGGCUUGCUAGUUCUGCUUUUGGAUUCAAGCCUCCCCAACUGAGGGGAGUCUUGGGUUCUCGUAUUGCGGAGAGCUUGCGAGUGACGGCUCCCCGUAGGAGGUCGAUUCGUCUAGUUGCUUGGAUGAGGCCAACUUCAGGGGUGGCUAAGCUGACUGUGGAUGGUUGCUCUAGGGGCAACCUUGGGAUGGCUGCUUCCGGGGGUAUUCUUCGGGAUCACCGGGGCGUGGUUUUAACGGCUUUUGGAUCCUUUUUGGUUUACAAGCCGAUCUUAUAUGCUGAGCUCAUGGUGGUGUGCGAGGGUUUGGAGCUUGCCAUUCAGCUUGGGUACUCAGUGCUCGAGGUUGAGUCAGACUCGGCUAUAGUGAUGUCAUGGAUUCACACCUCAGGGUCCUGUUCGAUGGGAAUGUUUUUAUUCUCUGCGCUGGGUGUGCCGUCUGGUAACGUCAUUCCCCAUUCAGGUGAGACAUGUUCUUCGCGAGGCUACUUAUGCUGCUGAUGUUCUAGCCAACUGGGCACGCACUCAUCGGACUAGCUGAUGUUUCUUAUCUCCUCGAGAGCUUCCCAAAGGCUUAUCUGGUAUUCUUUACUUAGAUGCCCACGCAAUCCCCCAUGUCAAACGUUAGGAUUUUAUCUUUUUCUUAUAUCUCAUUUUCUCUAGGAGGUUUUGGCUUAUAUCCCCUCCUUUGUAUCUAAUUCAUUUUCAGAUUUAUAUUAUAGGUAAGGGUUCCGUCUAACCCCACCACUCUGGUGGUUUAAAAAAAAAAAAAAACAAUGGCACAAAAUGCCUGUGAUAAUGAAACAAUGUGCCAUCCUUAAACUAAUAUCAUUACAAACUACAAGUGAAAGUUUUUGGAAAACAUGUGAUAAGUUUUUCUCGGAAUUUGUUUUCUUCUUUGUUUUGAUUUAAGUGUAAAAUUUUAAAAUCCGUAACAAAACAAAAAUUUACAUGGGUUGGGUGCACCUUGUGGUUCGUGCAUGCUUUCGUCUAAUAGUAUUUGAUACAUACAUAUUCAUUUUAAAAUUGACGAAUCGUAAUAAAAAAAUUUAUAUAUAAUAAUUGAAUGAGAUCCAUGGUUCACAAUUGCAAAUUAACGGUUGGUUUUAUAAUAAAAAUCUUUAUGUACAUACCAAAUUAAAAAAAGUUAUAAGUGAAUUAAGAUUUUCAAAAUUUGACUCGUAUUAUAUUGUGUACGUCAAUAUAAUAUAAAUUUGUUAUAUAUAUAUAUAUAUAUAUAUAUAUAUAAUCCAGUGCUUUGAAAAACUUUAUACUUGUUUGAACAGUUUUUUUGCUUUCUAUUUAUAUACGGUAUCAUUUAUGUUUACAUAAAUUUUCAUAUGUACCCAAAUUAAGCAUUAAAUACACAAACACUUUGUUAGGGCACAUGUAUAAUUAAUCUUAAUAAUUCUUAUACAAUCCUCUAUUUAACACCAGCAACGUCACCCAUUAUAAUUUAUCACUAAAUAUUGUAAAACUAUUGGUUUUCACGAAUAACUAAUAAAAAUUAUUUUUUUUAAAAGAAAAAUACUGCGAUUCCUUUCACUGUUGUAGUAGUAUAGUUAUCGUGGACGAUGAAUUUCUAGUAUUGUACAAUGAUAUUUAUGUUGAAUAUAACGCUUCAAUGAAUUUUAUUACUAUAUACUACAAUACUCAACCAUCUUCAUUAAAAAAAAAAAAAUUGCAUGAUUAGAAUGAUUAAAGUUCAUCUAAUGACGAGUUUCAUCAUUGACUGUGUCCAAACACAGCAGCAAUCCAGAAUACAUUUAACACGAGAGGCGCACACAAACAUGCAUGAUGAAUCUUCCACCAUUAAACCUGAAAUCAUAAAAUGAAAGAAACAAGAUGAGUGUUGUUUGUCUGAAAGCCGAUUCGAGAAAAAAUAAUAAUAAUAAUAGACCUUUGUUAAUAAUUAAUACUAGUUGUCACUACCUUGUGCAUCUUCCUCCUCUGUAUCAUCGUCCUCUUCCAAUCACACCGCAAGACCAGUAUAUCUCGAGAAUCUUUACUGCCUUCUCACAGAUCCCAUUGCUGUCAUGUCUUUUGAGAUCUUCAAUCUUUUUGAAUCCCUCAGCCGCCUCCACCAACCGUGCAUAAUGAUUAAAAUAUCUAUUGGCGGUACCCGUAUUCAUUUCAGCUUCCCCGACCUUCAAAAUGUUCUCUAAUCCUUUUAAGCAAAUAGUGACGAUCUCUGGAUCAGCGUAUAGAAGGAGAUCACACAAUGGUUUUAUACACCCCUUUCUCACGAGGUACUUGAUUUGCUCAUGAGUACCACCUGAGAUGGCAUUUGAAAUUGCCCGAGCGGCCUCCUUCUUUGUAAAAAAUUCAGCAUUUUGAAGCAGAUCGACAAGGGGACCAAUUACGCCAGCAUCAAUUACCACCUGAAUCUGUUCCCUGUUACCAGCUGUAAUAUUUGAAAUAGUCCUGCAUGCCUCUUUCGCAAUGCCUGUACACUGAGUCAGGAAACCAUCUCCCUUCACAAUAUAUCUGACAGUCCACAGGGGAGGAGUGAGCCCGAAGGGGAAGGGUAAUGGAUGAAGAAGGAGCUUAACAAGUCGUGGACAGACAUCUGCCUCGAUCACAGCUUGAAUUUUGUCAUUCGUACCAUCAGAUAGACAGGAUAGUGCCUCGCAGGCAUAUCUCAAGACAUCGUUGUCAUUUGAAUGAACAAGUUGUGCAAGCGCAGGAAGAGCUGGCCUCACCUGAUCAAAUGGUGGCUCUGGCUUGCCCUGGCAAAAACGAGACAAUGUCUUUGUGGCAUUUCUUAGCAUUGAAGGCUUAGCAUGCUUAUUUAACUGUGCCAGCAACGGAAUCAAAGCUUUUUCACUGAGCACAAGAUCACGGUCUCUAGGUGAGCUACGAGCAAUAUUUCCCAGUGCCCAAACAGCCUUCUCUCGGACAUCAUCACUUGGAGAAGAAAGUAGCUUCACAAAUAUUGGAACAGCACCGCCGUCGAUCACCACAUUAGUAUUCUCAGAAGCAAUGUUUGUAAGAGCCCGAGCAGCUUCCAACUGAAGCUGCGGAUUGUCUUCCCUAGUAAGAAACUCAACAAAGCGCGCGACAACGCCAGAUUGUAUGACUUUCUCACUUGGUGGUAGGAGCAGUUUUCGGAACCAAGUAGUUGCUUCCAGCUGCAAGCCACUGUCAUCUGACCAAACCCCAGCAAGCAUCCCAGGUAAACUCACCAACUUAUUUUAGGAGCAGGAGCAGGAGGAGGAAAUUAAGUUAGGGAUUUAGAGUGAGAGUGAAGGUGGAGAAAAAGCAAGAGAGGGAAAAAGCUUAUUGUUGAGAAAUAUGUACCUUUUGUAUGGUUGUGUUAAGGUCGUCCUUCCAAGCCCAACAUGCUUCACCAUGCCGCUCCACUUUGUGUAAUUUGGGUGUACUUAAUUUUCCUUCAGAGAAAAUCUUCAUAUCGGGGCAAUCAUCCACCACUAAUCUUUCUAAAGAUGGGAACUUGAAAGCACAAUUGCCAGAGCAGAAGCUUGUCAGGCGUUCUAAGUCUACAAGCUUCAACUCCUUCAAUUCUCUGAAAGUAAUAACCUCAUCUUUUGCUACAACAUCAUCCCCCUGUACUAUUUCUGUUAUCCUAUCGCAUGAUUUUAUCUUCAUAUAUCUAAGUCGCACCAGAGUCUUUGCAAUUAAGGAUGUUAAUACGAUUUUCAAGUUGUUGCAACGCGAUACCACCAUAUUUGUAAGAUUCUGAAAGGAUGUCGACGGUGGCACUAGAUUGACUAAAUGGUCACACCCCUUUACACGUAGAAUAACCAAGUUGUUCGUAACAGAGGACUCCCUUAUCAAAAUGUGCUCCAGAUGAAAUGCUUCUCUUAUUUCUACCCACAUCCCAUUUUCAACCUUCUCAUACGGCAACGAGGCACUAUAUCCUCCUAUUUGGAGGACUUUCAUUGUGUGAAGUCUCUGGAGGAAGUCACCAAGUGAUAAAAUCGUCCGCUCAUCACCCAAGUGAUAUUUAUUUGUCACUACGUGCUUUGCAUCAACUUUCAACUUUUCCAAAUUAGGGAAUACCUGGGAGAUCGAUCACAACCCCAAAAAAAAGAAAAAAAAGAAAUACAAGAUGAAUCAAUUGAUAAGAAAUAUAAGUUACCACUAAUUUAUACAAUAUAUUUUAUUCAAUAAAUCUUAACCUUUAAAAAAAAUAGUAAUAAUAGUAUGCCUAACAUCUAGAAUAAUUAUGAAUGAAUACUAUACACUAAUCCGUAAGAGAGUUACGUUGCUGACAAUUUGAGUUUUAGUAAGAAACCAAGCGAUGAAGGCAAAGGCAAUAUAACUCUAAACUCUAUGAUAUAAACUCUCACAGUGCAUACAUAAGAAUUGAAAAAUUGAUUAUAAAAUUCUUGUACCUACCCUUUCCGUGAAGAUACUAGUAGUUCUCACCAUGAAUUCAGGACAUUUAGAUAUCCGUAAUUCUUUCAAGGAUGGAAAUUCAAGAAUAUCAAGAUCUCCAGUGCAGAAGCUUGUGAACUUUUCAAGAUCAGACAUCUUCAGAUAUUGCAACUGAGGAAACAUUACAAUAUUUUUCUUCCUUUCUUCUUGGUUGUCCAUAACUAUUAACUCUUCCAAGACAGGACAUCCGACUAUCUCAAUGCAUUGGAGUUGAACAAAGCUACUAACGGUAGAAGAUGAAAAUAGACAUCUUAAAUUCAUACAGCAGGACAGGGUCAAGCGCGUUAAAUUCUGAAUACCACAAGACAUGACUGCAACUUGGUUUUGCCAAAUCCUUUCAACAUUUAUUGAAAGCAAAUGCAACUUCUCUAACUCUGGUAACCGAACCUGCUCGAUCAAAAAAUUAACUCGUUAAUUACAAGCAACAAUGAUUUCUGUUGAUGGACAAAUCAAUAAAAUUACUCUUUCUCUGGUUAUAGUUCUUUUCAGUUUUUCAUACAAACAACCGUUAAUCAAGUUUUCCAAAUUAUUCCUUACUAAAUGUAUAGAUUUAGACGGCGGCUAAUAUAAUUCAUAUUGCAAAUAUUCUUUGAUUGUAACGAAUUUUGUAAUAUUAAAUUUUGGUUGAUUCGCAAUAGGACCUACUAUCCAGCGGGAGCAGUUCCUUGGGAUUUAACUACUGGCACCUCGAUUAUAUAAAAAUUUGGAAUAUUUUCAAAGGAAAUCACAUAAUUUCCCCUUGCAAAUAGUAAUUAUCAUUAAUUGCCACGGGUUGACAUAUAAUUCUAAGAAAUUAGGCGAGAAGAGUCUCAUCAACAAUCAAUCAGCAGAUAUCACGUUUGGCAGAUCAUCAUGAUUUCCUCAUAUGCUAGAGAAUCAACGUGAUUUCCGCUCAUGCAGGAGCAGGAGUGGACACAUUAUCUUAGAGCAUCCCUCACUGAGAUCUUUUAAAAAAUUUAUAUUAUAAAGUGAACAACAUAUUAAGUAUAGAUUUAGACGGCGGCUAAUAUAAUUUAUAUGUAUUCUAAUGACGUAUAUUAAAGAAAAUGACUAACCAUAAUUUCAAUCAACUUAUUAGUCUAUAUAUAUAUAUAUAAUAUAUAAUAUAUUCAGUGAUUACAACAUAUUUAGUAUUCCAUAACAUGAAGUUUAUAAUAAUAAUUAUUAUUAAUUCACUUAUUGUGUCAAGAACAUUUUCUUUCUCUAAGAAUGAAUUUGUUACACCCUACUAUACUACGGAUGAAAAAUUUAGAAUCAUUGUGAAAUAUAAUUAUUAAUCACUCUUUGCCAUAUUUGCGACCAAAGAAGAAUAUAACAAAGAAAAGAAACAAAAAUUAUAGAGAAUUAAUGAGACCAUUGACGUAUUAAUAACUGACCUUCCCAGUGAAAAGCGUAUUAGAAAUUUGGAUAUUGUCCUCCAAAAUGAUUUCAUGUGACUGCAAAUCAUUAGCUGAUUCCUGUUGUCUCUGUUGACAUUGAGUGUAAACUUAAUUGUGAGCACAAUCUUAAUGCAUAGAUACAAGAUCUCUAAAAAUUAGUAUAAUAAACUUAGCACAAAAUCUAAAUUUGAUAUUUCGGAUUCCAUGAUUAAGAUUUUUUAAAUAAAAAUUUAAUAUAGUUAAUUUAAAAAUAAAAAUUAAAUAUGAAAAAUUAGAUUUGCAAUUAUGGAUUUAAUUUUGAUAAAUAAUGAAUGUUCUCUUUAUAUUUUUUUUUAAAGGUAAAACAGCGUACAAAGCCCAAAUUCAUUUUUUUAGUCCCUUACUCUCCCAUGAUUCAAACUUGGGUGGUUGUAGGGGGACUGAAAAUAUGUAAGACAGUUAACUUCACUUUUUUUUUUUUUUGAGAGAGAAAAGAGAAGAAGGAUAUUACAAAGCACGAAGCUCGUGCAAUAUAAGGGCAAUUAUGGUUUUUUCUUUAAAUUAAAAUGGUAAGAUUCUGAAGCUAAAAGAUUAAAAUAUUAAUUAAAUUGCAAACAUUAAAGAUUUUUUUUCCAAAAUUGGUUGCUUUGAAAAUGAGAAUAAUAUAAUGUUUGAAGACUUUUCAAAAUUAAUUACUGUGAUGCACUAGAAAUUUCUAGCUUUAGUCUAAUGUAUAAAUUGACAAAACGAUAUUAGAAUCCCAGGUGAAAAGAACCCUCUCAUACCAAUUAUUUAAAUUAGGAAUGAUCAUACCUCUGACUCUGCCGAACUGAGGGCGGGGUCUAAACCCCUCAUACGGAGACGCUUGAGAUGGGAAGAGCCCACUUUGACUAAUUCAUUACGAAUAUAAUCGACAUCUUGCUCUUGCAAUCCACGUAAUUCAAGGUCUUCAAUUCUCUGCAGUUGCACGAUCAGCGAAUCCUUCAAGCAAAUCUUGUCAUUGAGGUCGAGACUGAAUUCACGACACCAACUGCCGUUGCUCUCCUCAUCAUCUCCAAUGCGUAUGCUGUACCUUUCCAGCUUCUCCAAGAGCAGGCCUCUGGGCAGAGUGCUGACGUCAUAGACGUGUAAUUCCAAAGAGGUCAAGUUGGGCAAAUGCUUCAACUCCUCAAGGCUUGCAUUCUUAACCCCUCCCACCUCCAUCUCCCAGUAACGAAAGCUUUGAUCUAUAUAUAGUUCUUCUAAAUGUGAUAAUUUUGACAGUAUAUUUGGUGGAAUAACUUCUAGAUAGCAACAAUCCCUCAAAUCAAGCAACUUUAGCCAAGUCAAUUCACCUACUUCUACCGGCAACUUCUUAAUAUAAGAACCUCUUAAGCAAAGGAUUUCUAGUUUCUUCAAGCCUCCUACAACACUUAUAUCGGGCAAGAUGAAGCCGCACAAACUCAGUGUUCGAAGGUUUGACAGGAGACCAAGUGAUGAAGGCAGUGACCGUAGAAACAUGCCAGUCAAGUUGACAACUCUGACCUGCAUCAUCCUCUCGAAAAAGUUGUUUGGAAUUGUUAAUGAUGAAAAUUCCCAACGAUCAGCACGUAUAAAAAGAAGUUCGAGCUGAGGACAUUCCAGUACUUCAGGAAGCAAAUUAUUCUUGAUACCAUGUAAGACGAUUGAAGUGCAAUGCUUUAUUGCACUUCCAUCUGACCAUUCCCUGCAACCAUCAACCUGCUCAUUUGUAGCAGUAAACACAUUUCGUUCAGUAGAUGCAAUUGAUACGGCGACAUCGCGAACUACAUCAUGCAUAGAAAACAACUCUUUCUUCUGGCUUAUAUGGUCAAGCAACAUACAAGAAGCUUUGAGUGUGCGCACCAAUGUAUGUACUCGAUUUCGUGCUACUUCAAUCUUAUUCACACCUUGAAAUAAACCCAAUCCCAUACCACACAUUAACAAGUCAUCAAUAGAUGCUAUGGCUGUAUAUCCUAUUAGCAAAAAGAUGUUCUUGAGAUCAUCCCUUCCUAGUUUAUUGUAGCUCAACUCGAUAGCUUUAAAUGCGGCUGGCUGUACAUCCUUAAAAUUCGAUGAAGAAGGCCUUCUUAGCUGUUCCAAUGCAUCCUUCCAUUCACGUAUGCUCUUGCUCCUUAAUGCCCUUGCAACCGUCACAAUGGAAACUGGUAGACCUGCACAUUCCUUUGCCACAUCCCUUGCUACCUCUUUCAAUUCAUUAUCUUCAACAUAAUCACCUGCCAUCUUCGUGAAUAGACUCCAAGCUUCAUCUUCUUUUAAAAAUCCAACUGGGAAAUUUUUUCGAGACUCCAUCUCUCCAGACAAUACUUCUUCACUCCUUGCCGUGAACAGCACUUUACAUCCCAUGUGAUCAUCUCCGUGAGGAAUUCCGACAUCCAACAAAUCAAGAUUUUCCCAAAUAUUAUCCAAGAUUACAAGGAUCCUCUUCUCUUUCUUCAGUCGAUCAUAGAGUCUUCUUGCCCUACCCGAUUCACUCUCCUCAUCAAAUUUUAGACCUAGUUUAUCCGCGAUUUCUCCUUGAAGCUUUCUUACGUCUCGACUCUCAGACACCUCAGAAAAAACCACCUGAUCGAAAAGCUUGUCACUCUCUGCUUUUCUAGCAACUUCUUUAGCUAGCGUCGUCUUUCCGAUUCCGCCCAUUCCAUAAAUCAAAAGCAUGUUGACAUUGGGAUUUUUUAAUGCAUCAAUUAUUUCAUUCAGAAUGGACGUUCUUGAUUCAAAGGCCUCGAAGUCUUUGUUAGGCAUAAGCAAGGUAUCCUCCGGAAUGAUGCUGUAGGAAAUACUAUUAACUGGUCUAGCGUCCAGGACUUUGACAACAGCCUCCUUCUGCCUCUCUGCUUCCUUGCUAAGUCGAGGGCGGGUCUUCAAAUUAGGACAUAACCCCUUGAAACAACGCUUAUUUGCAGUGGCUUCAUCUUCUGUAAAUUUAUCUGCCUCUUCAAUGACACUGUUGGCCGUUGCAAGCCAAUUCUCAACGUUCUCUUCAAUCUCUUCUCCUUUUCUUUUAGCCUCAUCAACCUGGUGCUCUGUAUUCACCCUCUCAGACUUUAGUUUCACAACUUCAGUGUUGAGAUUCUGUAAGUUGCUCGUGUACUUACUCUCACGCAAAUAGCUAAUUUGGCGAUAUGCGUGAGGAGCCAAGCACUUUGCAACUUCUAAAGCAAUAGUAAGAAUGAUUUCAGCCAUCUUCAGUCCUUUGUCCUUGUCUCUCUAUCUCUCUUUUUCUGAAUUUUGGAAAAACAAUUCAACAAGUGACCACAACAAGAUGGAACAAAAUAAAAAGGAAAAAAAUACAAAGAGUGGAUGGAGAAUAAAACAGAGACAGCGGCACAGCUAGACACAACUAGAUAGAGAACAGAGGAAAACCAAAUAACAAGACUUAAGAUUACAACAAACAGAGGCCAAGUAUUAUUGUUGAGAUCAGAAGAUGGAAAAUUCCAAAGAGUUGAUGGCAGAUGCUGAAUAACAGAACAACAAUGAACACAAUAAACAGAAGCAAAGUGUGUUUGUGAUCGACAGACGGAAGUAAGGAAAGCGGUUGUUGAUUGAAAAUGAAUGAAUGCAAAGAAAGACUGAUGUUAAAAAUUGAUGUCAAGGAAUAAUUGAACUUUCGCUGAAUUAUUGUUUGUGGCUUCUUUUACUGUUUAUUUGUGGGUCAUGUCUUUUGGAACUAAUCUUGUCCAAAAAAUGUUGUUUAUUUGUGGGUCAUGUUAUUCAGCAUCUGCCAUCAACUCUUUUGUUUAUUUAUUCAAAAAAUAAAUUGUGAUUAUUUGUUAAUGUAUGCGAUUACUUGUGAUGGUAAACAAAGUAGAUAUGGUAUAUUUUGAAGUUAAAUUAAAAAAAAAAAAAACAGAACUUUUACCGUUACUUGCCUUAUCAUCUUUUAAAUUAGAGUUAUUAUUCUUUUAUUUUUCAAGUUGCCAACUCAUCAGUGUAUUCUUUUAUUGAAUUUAAAGAUCAAUGAUUAUAAAUUUUUGUGAAAAUUUUAAGUCAAAACUUUAAAUUAAAAUAAUCUUUAAGUUAUAGGGAAAUAAUAACUUAGUAUAACAAAUAUUAUAUCCUAUACUUUAUUGCUACAAAAUUACGAAACCUUAUAGUUUCAAAAACAAAAAUUACGAAACCUUAUAUUAUAUUAUGUUUCCAUAUUUCUCCUUUAUAGUGAAGACUCAUACUUCUUAUCUAAUAAAUGCUAAAGUAUUGGCUUAAAUUUUUUAACCAGCAUAGUAGACCCUUAAGCUAUAUAUACUAUAAUGUCCCUCUUCUCUCACAGAGUAAACCAAUCUGAUCUCAGAGUGAGUUGAUACCAUGACUUCGCAUCAUUUGUGAUCAAAGGAGUAUCAUUACUAACUAAUAUAGGCUCCAUCAAUAGGCAUGAUAAUAAUUUUUUUUUUUAUCUACAAACGCUGUUUUUCAAAAUAUUAUAUCUUAAGACUUAACUAAAUAUUUUUUAACUAUGUAGAUAUAGUUUGUUUGAUCUCUUUUAAAUAGUGGAGAUUACAAACAAACAUAUGUGAAUUAGUAGUGAUGUUGAGUUCAGAAGCUUGAAGUUAAAAAAAUUAAGGGUUUCUUGAUCUAGAGAAAUUUCAAAUGAGUGAAGCGUCCUCGAAAUCGGAAGACGAAAAUAAGGAAAGGGUAAGGGUGUAUUUUCAAAGUGAUUCUAUUAAGAGAUCUUUGAAGUAGGGGUGGGCAAGUCGGGUUUUGGUUCGGGUUGUUCAAAUUUCGGUUUGGGUUUUAACCCAAUCGGGUUUGAGAAUUAAACUCAAUCGGGUUGAAAACGCCAAUCCAAACUAAACCGAACCAAAUUUAAUUCAGUUCGGGUUCAUAAUUCGGAUCGGACUGGGUUGAUAAUUCAUGUUAAAAUUUCGAUUCGGGUUAAUUUGGGUUAGAAUAAUUCAAUCUAAAAUUUUGGGUUAGUUCGGUUUAAAACGGGUUGGAACUAUUUAAUCCAAAAAUUCUACCAACAACCACUUAAAAUCUAAAAAUCUCAAUUCCAAACAUCCUUAACAACAAAUAUCAACUACAAACCAUCCUUUACAACAUUUCAACAAUAACAAUAGCAAUAAUAACAACAACAACAAUAAUAAUAAUAAUACCAACAACUAUGAAUCAGCAAUUCAACAUAUUGCCAUAUUCUAAAUUUAAAAAAACACACAAAUUAUUUAAUUAAUUAAUUAAUUAACAAUCUCCAAUUUAAUUUAUAAUAACAACAAAAAUCCUCUCCAAUUUAAUUAAUAACAGUCUCCAAUUGUUUAAUUAUCAGUCAACAGCAACAAACCCAAUCUAAUUUAAUCAUAACAAUCUCCAAUUGUUCAAUUAUCAGUUAACAGCAACAAAUCAUCUCCAAUUUGUCACGAACAGCCUCUAAUUGUUUAAUUAUCAGUCAACAACAACAAACACACUCCAAAUAAUUGAACAAUUAUUAAUUAAUUAAUUAAAAAUACCCAAUUUAAUUAAUAACAACACCCAGGAGCAAGUCAGCAAUAAACCCACUACAAAAUCCAAAUAUCAGUGUAAACUAAGUGUCAAACCUUGAUCGGUGGGAAGCUACAGCGUCGGCAAAGCGUGACCGUGUGGGGCUGAGUGAGACCGUCGACCGAGGGUGUGAGAAGGGAGAAGAGGGAGCUGGGAGGUAACAUGGUGUGUGUGAGUUUAUAUAUAUAUAUAAUUUUUAAAAGCCAAAACUUAAAAAAAAAAAAAUUUAACCCAAUCCAAACGCGCACCUCAGAUUACUUCCGUGUUAAGAGAUGAAUCCCACACUCUUGAGCCUUUGUCGUCCUAGUCAACUAUCAAAACAAAUCAUUAUUGAAUGUGAACAGAAUUAUUGAUCACCCAAUUUUCAAACUUGUCAUCCUUAUUGAAUCUGCAUUCCCUUUUAAAAUUUUUUAAAAAAGUACAAAUAAUGAAACAAAGUGUUGUUCCUUCAACAGUUGAUAGAGUUACGCGGCUUCAACUUGCAAGUGCUGUCGGCAUUUUCAAACUUGCAAUACCCUUCAACUUGCUUUCCAAGAUAGCUAUAAUUAAUAAUGACAACAAUCUCCCUUGUAGUGACUAGUGAGCAACUUGUUUCGUGAAAUUAACGGCAUCUUCUCUCACAUUUAAAAAAAAAAAAUUGAAUUAUAAAACCCACCAAAACUAUAAAAGAAUUGUUAGUUUUUCUUCAUUAAAAUUAAUAGAUUGCUCCUCAUAUUGAAAAAUCAAAAUUCAGAAUAAGAAUGAUUGAUACUCUUUAUUUACUAAAAUGAAAAUAAAAUAUAUGAAGCCUACAUAUUUUUGAAAUAAAAAAAAAGAACUUUAUUUUUCAUGAGGAGUGUUGGGAAUCAAGUUCUCAUUAUUUAAACUCUCAAUUGUACCAUUAUUUAAACUCUCAAUUGCACCUCACCGAAAUUUCAUAAUUUCACUUUUGUUCUCAAUUAAAAUAUUAUUAUAGUUAUUAUUCUUAUAAAUGUUGAUGAUGAUGAUACAAGAUAAUAAAAUUAAUGAUAAUUAAACCAAUUUGAAUUCAGAGUGAGUGAGUACCAUUACUUCGCAUUAUUUGAUAUCAAAGGAGCAUCAUAACUAACUAAUAUAGGCUCGAUCGAAUUCAUCAUGCGAAGUAUAUUAUCGGCUGUAGGUAUGGAAAUAAAUUUUGUAUCCACAAACACUAUUUUUCAAAAUAUUUUAAGACUUGACUUAGCAUUUUUUAACCAUAUAUGUAUAGGUUGUUUGACCUAUUUUAAAUAGUGGAGAUUACAACAAAUGAACAGAUGUGGAUUUGUAGAGUUGUUGAGUUCAGAAGAUUGAAGUUAACAAAGGGUUUCUUUAUCUAGAGAAAAUUCGAAAGAGCGAAGUGUCUUCGAGAUCAAAAGACGAAAUAAGGAAAGGGUAAGGUUAUACUUUCAAAAUGAAUCUGUUGAGAGAACUUUAAAGAUUACUUUCGUUAAGAGCUGGAUCCCACACUUGAGUCUUCGUCGUCUCAGUCAGUCAGCUAUAAAGACAAAUUAAUUUUGAGCGUGAAAGGACACAAUUGAUCACCAAAUUUUCAAACUCGUGAUCCUUAUUGAAUCUGUAUUCUCAUUUGAAAAACAAUAAAAGAUUAACAUUAAUUUAACUUCAUCUAGAUUCCCAUUUGAAUCUGCAUUCCCAUCCCGUUGUUCUCUGGGAAUGCACAUAAUCAAAAAAAAUCCUAUCCGCAUUUUCAAACUUGUGACCCUUCAAGCUUUCUAUGACAACUAUAACGAAUAAUUACAACAGUGCUACCUAAUAGUGAGCAACUUGUUUGAUGAAAUUAACAACUUCUUUUCUCUCAUAUAUUUUUAAAAAAUUGAAUUAUCAAAGUUUUUAUUUCAAAAUUAGUGCUAUAGUUCAUUAAUUUUUCAAAUUUUCCUUUUUCUUUCCACACAACAGAUUGAUUUGCCCUCCAAAAAAUGUAUUAUAUUGUUUAAUAUUGUAACUUCAAGAAACUUAUAAUAAAUUUUUAAAGAGAUAAAUAGAGAAUGUCAGUCUCCCAUCUACUCAAAAUUAAUAUAUAUCAUUAACUCUUGAUUAUUUUUAUAACAACUAAUAACUUUCUUGGCAGCAUAAUUUUACAGUAUCAUCCUUGUUUGUAAGUAUAUUUUUAUUCAUAUUUAUUAUAAAUUAAUUAAAUCAUAUCAAUGAAAAUUGAAAUAAAAAUUGAAGUACUAAAAAUUAAAAAAAUAUAUUUUGGUGUGAAUAAAAAAUUGAAAAUAAAAAUAUUUUUCUUAUAUUUUUUGUUAUUUUUAAAUUUUUUCUUAUAAUAAAUGUAUAUUUUAUAUGCUCAACUUUUUCUUUUAAUUUUUGUUAUUAGGAGGAUUUUUAGAUAUAAUGAAAUUUGUAAGGUAGUAAGUAAUAUAUAAUAAUUUUAAUAGAGAAAAGUAAAAAAUCUCUUAUUUUAAAAUAUAAGGAGAAAAAUAAUUAAUUUCAAGACAUUUUAGAAGAUAUUUCAAUACGCGGUGGACCACAAACUCGAGUCUUUGUCAUCUCAGUCAAACUAAAAGGACAGAAUAUUGAGGGCAUGGCUAAGGUGCAGAAGCUGCAAGUAACAGCUUCGAACUUUCCCAUUUCCAUCACCUUGCAUUGGGACCUCUUUCUUUGUCCUCUAGCACCCGUGGAAGUUCCCCAUUGGCCACUGUUAGGAGCUGUAACAUAGACUUCUCCGAAAAUUGAGCGCGAAGGGCUCAAGUGAUUGUUAAUUUCACAGCAAUUGCCUUUUUUCUUUCUUUUUUUUUUUCUAAUUAUUGGAAAAUAUAAUUUAGUAUAACAAAUAUUAUAUCCUUUCCUUUAGUGCUGCAAAAAUUCCGAAACCUUAUAUUAUAUAAAGUUUUCAUAUUUCUCCUUUAUAGUGAAGACUCAUACUUAUUCUCUAGUAAAUGCUAAAGCAUUGGCUUAAACUUUUUAACCAGCACAGUAGACCCUUAAGCUAUAUAUACUAUAAUGUCCCUCUUCCCUCACAGAUUAAAGCCAAUAUGAUCUCAGAGUAAGUUUGCUUCAAAGGAGUAUCCUUACUAACUAAUAUAGGCUCGAUCAAUAGGGAUGAUAAUAAUUUUUUUUUAUCUACGAACAUUAUUUUUUCAAAAUAUUAUAUCUUUAGACUUAACUAAAUAUUUUUUAACCAUAUAUGUAUAGUUCGAUUAAAUAGUGGAGAUUACAACAAAACAGAUGCGAAUUAGUAGUGAUGUUGAGUUCAGAAGAUUGAAGUUAAAAAAAUAAAGGGUUUCUUGAUUUAGGGAAAUUUCAAAAGAGUGAAGCGUCUUCUAAAUCAAGACGAAAAUAAGAAAAGGGUAAUGGUGUAUUUUCGAAGUGAUUCUAUUGAAAGAUCUUUGAAGAUUACUUUCGUUAAGAGCUGGAUCCCACACUCUUGAGCCUUUGUCGUCCCAGUCAACUAUAAAGACACGUUAUUAUUGAGUGUGAAUAUUCCGAGUUAUAAAUCACCAAAUUUUCAAACUUGUGAUCUUCAUUGAAUCUGCAAUCCCUUUUGAAAAAAAAAAAAGAAAAAGAAAGGAAAACUGCAAAUAAUGAAACAAAAUUCUGAUCCUUGAUAGAGUUACGCGGCUUCAACUUGCAAGUGCUGUCGGCAUUUUCAAACUUGUGAGACCCUUCAACUUGCUUUCCAAGAUAGCUAUAAUUAAUAAUGACAACCGAAGACGGCCACGUUUGCGGUACAAAAGUUGCACCAUAUUAGACGUUCUUUUUUGUUCUUAUCCGAAGUAACCGUUGGAUUCAAAGGAAAGUGAUCAGACAUUCAAUAGCUUCACACGUGGACAUUAUAGGAUACCGGUCAAAUCGGUUAGCGCUCCUCCACAUCAAACUCACAAGCAUGGCAAUCAUCGUAUUCGUAUCAGCUUGGAAACUUGUUACAAGUAACGAAGAGCAACAGAGUCCGCUCCUCUAGAGUCGGCAACAGAGUUUUAAUUAACGGCAUCUUCUCUCACAUUUUUUUUUAAAAAUUGAAUUAUAUAACCCACCAAAACUAUAAAGAAUUGUUAUUCUUCAUUAAAAUUAAUAUACUGUUCCUCAUAUUAAAAAAUCAAAAUUCAGAAUAAGAAUAAUUGAUACUGUUUAUUUACUAAAAUGAAAAUGAGAAUAAAAAUAAAAUAUAUGGAGCCUAUAUAUUUUUUAAAUUAAAAAAUAAGAACUUUUCAUGAGGAGUGUUGAGAAUCAAGUUCUCAUUAUUUAAACUCUCAAUUGUACCUUACCAAAAUUUCAUAAUUUCACUUUUGUUCUCAAUUAAAAUAUUAUUACAGUUAUUAUUCUUAUUUUUGUAGUUGUUGUUGUUGAUGAUGAUGAUUAUGAUGAUACAUGAUAAUAAAAUUAAUGAUAAUAAUAAUGAUAAUGAUAAUGAUAAUAAUAAUAAUGAUAUGAUAAUGAUGAUAAUAAUUUGAACAACAACAACAACAAUAAAUAAUAAUAAUAAUAAUGAAAAUAAUAACUAUAAUUUUAACAACAAUAAUAAUCAUUAAUAUUAUUAUUGUUAAAAUUAUUAUUAUUAUUAGAUAAUUAUUUUGAAUAAUAAUAAUCACAAGUCUAUUCUGAUUCCAGUUUAUUCCGAUUAUCGAUUAGAAAAUGCAUCAUUACUGUUUUAAUAAUAACUAAUAAUUCUCUUGACAUCAUAAUCGUAAUUCUUAUACUAUUAUCCUUAUUUUAAAAUCCACUACCAUGAGCUUGCAUCAUUUGAAAUGGUAGGUACUAGGUAGCAAUUGCUUACAUCAAAAUAUCUAGACUCACUCGGCAAAGUAUCCGAGGCCAAAACGCCAAAAGAUGGGACACCCACAUGUGCAUCUAAUUACAAAAUCUAAAGUUAAUGAAAAAGAAAAAAGAAAAAGUAUAAAUGAACGGUAUUGGCUGUAGGACAAGGGGAGGGGAAAAAGGACCAUUUUGUUUUCUUUGCUAAUUCACAUGGGGAAGGGAAAAAAAGAAAAAGACAGUUUUGAUUAAAAAACACAGAAUAUUCAAUUCACAAGCCACCAAUGCUUGUGGACCAAUGGUCGAUAUAUGAAAGUUAGAGAUUCUGGCAAAAUGAGCAAAUAUUUUGAGUUGAUUAAUGGAUUUGUUUGUAAUGCAAUACAAGAUAGCAUUUUAAAGCUGGCAAGAAAGAAAGAAAUAAGUCAAUAAUUGAGAUAUUUAAAGAAGCUCAAGUGGUCAUGAAAUCUCUCCUUAAAAACUAUACAAGAUAAUGUUAAUGAUAAAGUUAGCCAACCAAGUCGUUCAAUCAUUGCUAGAAGCAAGCAGCCAUUGAAGUUGAUAGAAGCUAAUGCAUGGAAAAAGGUUCGUUACAUAAAGGAGAUAAUGAGAAAAUUGAUGAACCCCUAUCAUCCAUGUUUUGUUUCAAUCAAAAGGUUUGAAUUUUAAGGCCGAUAUUUUGGACUGAAUCCCCCUGUCUGCUUCCAAAGGGGAGGAUGUGCAUGUAGUUGAUUGGGCCGAUGAUUGUGAUGGGAGGGAACUUUUAGCUUGGAAAUGGACCUAGCAAGCCCAUGUUUGAUUCGGUAAGUUGUGACUUCUCAUGGGCAUUUGAAAUUUUUAAAUGGCCUUUUAUAACCUUUGUCAAGAUUCUCAGAAAUCGAAUCAUUCGGUGAUUACUUGCAAAUUCGGAAAGGAAAUUGGAAUCAAACUGGGGUUCUAAUUAAAAAAAAAAAGGGUUCAGAAUCAGAAUUUUGUUCUUUUGACUGACUAAACUACCCUCAUUUAAUUUUCAAAAUGCCCAAAUUUUUAUCAUGCUCACUUGGCGUUAUCUCGUCUUGUGGGAGCUGUAGGACAGUUGAGAUAAAAGAUAUUGCUCCAGUAUCUACUGUUUUCUCAUCCUGAUCUUCAGAGUUAUUCUCAACAAUGGACAAAUUUGAGUUUAGAACAGCAUCAGAAACCAAUGACACCCAGUCGCAUCCAGCUACUUCUUCACUUUGCUCAAUUCGACAGAUUUUACGCAAAUUUGUUUUGUUCUCAAAAUAGUCUGCUGCUCCCGGAUUGUCCUCAUUACAUUGAACGAAUGAUGACGACGCUCUGUCCGUUUCUGGCUCUCUGCUUUUCUCUUUCACAUCACGAGACACCUCGUUUCUAACUGGGGUACCACCAUCACAUUUAACUGUUAUUGGCAACUCAAUAGCUAAUUCCAAUGUUUCCUCAAGCAGUUUAGAGAUAAACUCUCUCGCUGAACUCCCUGGAGUAACACAAUCCAGUUUUCCAGUGCAAUCAUCAAACAGUUGAACAGCUCCUGAAUUCCCUUUGCUUUUCUUGUUUUCUUUUCCAUGUAAAGGGAGCUCAGGCUUCAAUAUAUCUGGGGAUUGAUUACUAAUGAUAAAGACAACAUGCUGUAGAGGACACAAAUUGUUAUUAAACAACGAUGCACUUUUCAUUUUUCAACUGAGUACGGUAAAGCAAGAAUGGGUAAUUAGUUUUACCUGCUAAGCGAAAAUCUACACUCCCGAAGGUAACCGAUCUUGGGUGAAGCAAAUAAAGACGAAGGCGAAGUAAAAUUCACUGAGUUGAAUGAGCGAUCAUUGCUGAUAUAAUUAAAGACUGGUGAAUCCUGCAUGUUGACAAGCAUCAUUUUUAAUCUAACAUAGAGUCUUAAAAACCUGGUCAGUGGCAAAUGAUCACGACAACAAAUCUGAAGUACAAACAGCAGAGCUCAACAAAUCACUAAGAGAAAAUAACACCAGUAACCAAGCAGAUGAAAGAAAAGCAAAAUAAUCCAUCUCAAAUCACCACAUGCACAAUUUAAGGGGGUUGUGACAUGGGUUUAAGCAUGAUUUAACAAGUGCCACCAGUGAAUUCUCAGAUUGAAUUUUCAUACACAUGUCAAAUUUUCAAGUCCAACGAAUUGUUAUCUUUCUGAAGAUAUUAACUAUGCAUAGCAUGCUAUAAACAAAUCAUAUUAUUAGGGCCUUUGUUUGCUGUACACAACAUAUGUACAGAGGAACAAAUCCAUGAGCUGAAAUCAUCAUAUUCCAAAAUAUUCUACCCAAUCAACACUACAAAACCGUAACGCUAAACAGAAUUGGAGCAAUUUAAGAAAGCUAUUUGUCACACAAAGCACUAGUACCUCAGAACCCAAUUUGCAAAAAAGCAACAAAAAUGAAAAAUAACAAAUGCCCAGAUGCAAAAUCAGGAAAAAAUGCUCAAAUACAAACUACAACCCCAUAAGCUGAGAUUGACCUCAAACUUGGAAACAGAAGCGACAGUGAUCUGUUUCUUGUCUGGAGUGUCCAUUUCUAUAAUCUACUUUGUCCGUUUUCAGUCGCUCCGCCACAAAGCCUCUUCACUCCGAAGCUGAAACUCGCCACACACUUGCAAAACGAAAGCAUUUGAUUGAUUGAGAGGCGGGAAGGCGGGAAAACGAGCGAAAUUUGCUUUUGUUUUUUCUUCGUUUGGUCAUACAUGUGCGGGCCCCCCAGGUUGACAAGCGUUAUCAUUACUAUUUGCAUUAUUUGAAGGACGCGUGUCAUGCAACGACGAUAGAAAAAGUGGUGCAAAACUCCAAUUGUCACGAAAUGAUGAUAAAAUAAAAAUAUAUCGUUAAUUUUUCACUUAACAUUGGAAUAUCAUAUAAUUUUAUGGUCAUUUUCUCGCCGCCACAUUCUUUUGAUAAAAUAAUACGGUAAAACUUUUCUAUAAUCAUGAUAUUAGAACCCAAUUAACUUUGUUUCUACAAAGAGGUUAUAGCUUAAUAAAGUAAAAUUGUAAAAAAUAUUAUUUUGACUUAAUUAUCUAAAGAGUAAAUAUAUAAUAAUUAAUUAAUAAAUUAUGUCAAAUACAAUAUAUGGACUAUGAUAAAAAAGAUAGACAUAAUUUCAUAAAAUUAAUACAUAUGUUUUUGUAGUGCUGCGAUUAUACAAAGUUAUCUUAAAAGUGUAAAGAGUAAAGUAUUGUUUUAAUUAAUUUAAAAAAAUAUUUUAUUAUUAACCUUUAAUGCAACAUAGUAAUUUUUUUUCCCUGGCAACAAAGUAUUGUUCCAAAUAAUUAUUAUUGGAUCUAGAUCCUGCCCUAGGCAUUUUCUCUACUAAUCCUCAUAAACUUUUAGGGUAUGUUUGGCACGUAAGAUUAGAUUGGACAAACUAUUAUGAUUGGACUAACUUAGAAUGGAUUAGAUUAGAUUGGAUUAUAUAUAGUGCUGACUUAUGUUUGGUAUGGUAUUGGAUUAGAUUAUGUUAAAUUAAAUUUACAUAAAAUUAAAUAGUAUUUACAUUAAUAUUUGAAUUUAAAUAUCAACUAUUUAUAGAUAUUUAACAAGAAAUAUUAUAAUUAAUUAAAAAUAGCAAUUGGGUAGUCAUAAUUAUAAUAAAGAAAUAUAAAUUAUUUAAAUUAUAGGUUAUUUCAAAGAGUGAUGAUACAACCACAAAUUCUUGUACAAACUGAUUUGGCAUUAAUUCAUUUAUUGAAUGAAAAUAUAAAAUAAUAAAAAUAAAUCAUGUGGGCCCAAGAUAUAUUUAAUUCAACCAAUUUUAUCAUGCCACAUCAGUUUGUACAAAAAUUUGUGAUUAUAUUAUUACUCUAUUUCAAAUGAGAGAUAUCAUUUCAUUGAAUAAAAUAAAUAAAAUUAUUCAAAUAAUAAAUUAAUUAAUAAAAUUUAAGUAAAUCAUGAAUAAAAAAGAAAUCAAUUAAUUAAAAACAGUAAAUAAUUAAAUAAUUUUUAAUUUAUAAAUAAAAUGGUAUAAUAAAUUAUGGAAGAUACUAUAAAUACACAAAUAUUUUUUUCACAUUAUCUAGUUCUAACUAAACACACAUAAAAAUUAGGAUUAGCAAUCCCAUGAAUUUAGGAUUAAAAUUUGAAUUUAGUCGAUUAAUCCAAUACAAGUGAGCAUGCUAAAUAUGGUAUUAAUAUUUUAUCCCAGUAAUAAGUCCAAUUCUACACUUAAUCGUACCUCCCAAAUAUAAUCUUAAGGAUCUAUUGACAUGUGUCAUUAAUGAAAUUAAAUGGCUAAGAUUUUGUUUUAAUUAUUUUUUACCUAAAUAGACAUCAAAACUCAUGUGUGACUCUUGUUAAAUUUUUUCUUACAAAUUCUUUUCCUCUUAAUUCUUUAUAUUUUGACACUAAUUUCCAGCAAAUUAUUUAAAAAAAAGGAGCACAAAUUGGAAAAAAGUGAUUGACAACAAGGUUUGCAUCUUAAUUUCAAAAUUUUCCUUUCUUUGAUGUUUUUGUGGUUUCUAUAAUUGUUGUUUUCACUCUAAGUUGCAAUUCAAUGAACUAAAUUAGUGUUGCUACUUUAUAAACUGCUAUUACUGGGCAUAUAAUUCUAUUGCUACAAUUUUUUUGAGUUUAUAGUUUCUGUUCUAUUCUCUUUUUGGGUUUGCAACUGCUGUUUGUUGUUUUUUUAGGUUUUAUAGUUGAUGUUUUGGGAAAAAUAAAAAUAAAUGUGAUCUUGAAUUCUUUAACUACUAUGAAACAAUUAAAUUAUUUAGCUGCUGCAUUUUCUGCUGUAUUAUUAUAGGCGAGAUGUGUGUCGAAAGGGAAAGAAUUUGCCUAAAAAAAAAAAUUGACAAGAGUCACAUGUGAGUUUAGAUGUCUUUUUUAAGUAAAAAUUAAUUAAAAUUAAAUAUUAGCCAUUAAUAACACAUGUCAAUAAAUUUUUCAAAGUCUAAGAAGAUUGGAAGAGGAUCCGAUCUAUUAUUUACUCUAUAAAAGGAAGUUCCUUGAAGACAAGAACUAUAAAUAAAUUAAUAUAAUGAAUUUAUUCUUAACCUAGUCUAAAUUGAGACUAAAAUUUUUUACUUAAAAAUUUACUAGCUAGCUUUACCUUGAUGGACUAGCUAUGGCCCAUACACAUUUCUCCAAUUUUAUUAAUAUUUUUGUGCAUAGCAAUUAGGGAUACGUGACAAUAAAUUAUCCUUUUAACAUAUAAAAAGUAUUCUCACAAGUAGUGUGCCCCUCCAAAGGGCACAGACAGACUUUUAGCCUCUUUCUUCGGUUUACCACUCCAGUUGGAAUCUUCAAUAAGAUUAAACAUUGAAUAUAUCUAAAAUAUUAGCAAUAUUUGUACUUAUAUUUAACAAAACUAGAGUAAUAUAUUGAUUAAUCUACAUAAUUUUGGGCGGGUUCUUAUGUAAUGUUACAAUUAACAUAGAUUAUUUUCACGGUAUAAGGCAAAUCUUGAGAAUGAACCCAUUUCAAUAUGGUUUCCACAAUAAAUGAACCCACUUUACUACCAAUGAAAGGCCUUGACUCAUAUAUAUCCACCUGGAAAGAAGGGGGGGGGGGGGGAGAGAAGAAAUCUUCUAAUUUCUUUCACCAUCAACAAAAUCAGUGAAACACAUACUAAUUCAAAAUAAAAUAAACUUUGUGAAUUGAAAUAAUGCCUGCUCUAAAGAAAAUGAUAACUGCUAUUCAUUUUUCUGAACUGCUGAUAAAAGCUUCUGCUAUUUACUUCGAAAAAAUUGAGUAACUUCAAAUUUUGAGUUUAGGCAAGAGGAUGAAUGGUAAAAGUGAGACAUUUUAGGGGAAAAGUAAAUACUUGAUAGGCCAAUGAAACAUUCAAAAGAUUGAAAUCUAAAUGAGCAAAACCUCAUGGCCUUGAGGCCCUUGAUCCAACAAUUCCACUGCUGUUGACAUGCCUGCAAGCCCAACUCCAAUAAUAGCCACUUUCAGCUUUGGUCCUCUAUAAUGUUCCGGUUCUGGUGGAAACAAACACUUGGGAGCUGCCAAGUAUACCAUUCAAUUAUCCACAGCGAUAUUGGAAAAACAUACAUGUUUGAAAGUACUAAAUAUCAAAUGUCUCCCGAAAAAAAUACAAAGCACAAUUGCAUAAGCAUUUCAUUUCCCAAUAAAUUUCAAGAAUACAAAAUACUUGGUCUGUUCUUGAGUUCCUUUAAGAAAAUUUCCACGAGAGAGCACGCAAGCCACUCAAUAACACUCCAAAGUCAGAUUUUAAACGUUAUCUUGAUCUAUAAGUACAAUCCAUGAACCAUUCUGCCACAAAUUCAAUUAAAAAUUAUUCAAGUAAAAUGCCAAAUUCUCCUUCAAUAGCCUCAAAAAUUCAUAACUAGCAAACACUACAGAACAAAAAGAGCUCCCAGCAAUAAACGCAUAAAAAUCCCACCAGAAACCAGAAAACCCAAAAGAUCAAUACUUGGUAAACAAACAAAUCAAAUCAAAUAAAACAAAAAGAAGAGAAAUUUACCAUUAACACUCAUAUCAGAAACGUUAGUAUCCAAAGAAGCCCGUACACAGAAUCUUGGAACCUUCACUUGAACCCGAGACCAACAAACACCAGUAACUGAAGUUGCAGGAAACAGAAGUGAAGAACCCAUAUUGAAAUAAAAGAAUCCAAACCCAAAGUGCCACAUCUAAAUAUGAUGGAUCCACUUAAAAUAAACAUAUAAAAAUCUUCAAUAUGAGUGCGAAAAUGUGUGGGGGAAAAAACUAAAAAGUGGUUUACCAUGCAGCAAUAUGAAUUUUAAGCUCUCUUUUCUUAUGUCACUCAAGGCAUUGGCUGGAUGGCCAAACAGCAGAGUUCAAGUGUACAAUAGAGAAUCGAAAUUUUCCUUUGUAAAUGUUCAUAAGUAUUUACCACAGAUUUUUAAGUUAUUCUUGAUAGAUCCCCUACCACAUACGCUAUAAUAUUUCUCUCCUUUUAAUUUAAAAGUAAAUCAUGCAUAAUAACGCACUUGUAAAGAAAUGAAAUUUUCGGUAAUUAACUGACAAAAUAAAAAAAAAGGAUUAUGCGAAAGAAGUUAAUAUAGAGUAAGUCGAGUACUUGACAAUCAAAGUAAUUUACUCGAGGUUGAGUAAGGAUAGUACGAUACUUUCUCAAGUUUUCUGAGGACAUUCAUGUGACAUUGGACUAUUGAUUAUAGUUAGAGAGAAGUCCAAGGAUGUAAGUGAUGAUGAUAGAUUCAGAAUUCUUUUGAAGAAAAUAUUUUAUAUAAACUUAAUUAUAUGGUAUAAAAUGAUUGGCCUUAAUAAAAUUAAAAAAUAAUAAAAAUAAUACACGCCUGGGUCAUGCAAUAUUUUCAACCAACUAAUUUACACGCAAAAUUAAAACUUUAUGAGUACAUUUAUUUGCUAGCAGAAACUCUGCCAAAUUUUCCGAAAUGUGAAAGUGAACACUUUUAACAGCGGCACAAAAUGCCUGUGAUAAUGAAACAAUGUGCCAUCCUUAAACUAAUAUUAUUAGAAACUAUAAGUGAAAGUUUUCAGAAAACAUGUGAUAAGUUUUUCUCGGAAUUUGUUUUCUCCUUUGUUUUGAUUUACGCGAGAGAUAGUUGUAAAGAUUGUUUUGAUAAGUUUUCAGAAAACAUGUGACGAAUCGUAGUAAAAAAUUUAUACAUAAUAAUUGAAUGAGAUCCAUGGUUCACAAUUGCAAAUUAAAGGUUGGUUUUAUAAUAAAAAUCGUUUUGUGCAUACCAAAUUAGAAAAGAUUAUAAGUAAAUUAAGAUUUUCAAAAUUUGACUAGUACUAUAUUACGUACAUCAAUAUAAUAUAAAUUUGUUAUAUUUAUAUAUGUUAUUCUGUAACUAAUGCUUUCAAAAAUUUUAUACUUGUAUGUUUGAACAACUUUUUUUCGCUUUCUAUUUAUAUACGAUAUUAUUUAUGUUUACAUAAAUUUUCAUAUGUACCCAAAUUAAGUAUUAAAUACACACACUCUGGUAAGACACAUUUCUAGUAUCAGACAAUGAUAUUAUAUUGAAUGUAAUGCUUCAAUGAAUUUUAUUACUAUAUACUAAAAUACUCAACGAUCUUCAUUAAAAAAAAAAAAAAGAAAUUGCAUGAUUAGAAUGAUUAAAGUUCAUUUAAUGACGAGUUUCAUCAUUGACUGUGUCGAAACAGAACAGCAAUCCACAAUACACUCAACACGAGAGGCGCACACAAGCAUGCAUGAAUCUUCCACCAUUAAACCUGAAAUCAUAAAAUGAAAGAAACAAGGUGAGUGUUGUUUUACGGUCUGAAAGCCGAUUCGAAAUAAUAAUAAUAAUAGACCUUUGUUAAUAGUUACUACUAGUGGUCACUGCCUUGUCCAUCUUCCUUCUCUGUAUUAUCGUCCUCUUCCAAGCCGCUGUCAUCUGACCAAACCCCAGCAACCAUGGGAAAAAUCACCUACUUGUUUUAGGAGCAGGAGCAGGAGCAGGAGGAGGAAAUUAAGUUAGGGAUUUGGAGUGAUAGGGAAAAAGCUGAUUGUUGAGAAAUAUGUAUACCUUUUGUAUGGUUGUGUUAAGGUCGCCCUUCCAAGCCCAACGUGCUUCACUCCGCCGCUGCACUUCGUGUAAUUUGGGUGUACUUAAAUUUCCUUCAGAGAAAAUCUUCAUAUCGGGGCAAUCAUCCACCACUAAUAUUUCCAAAGAUGGGAACUUGAAAGCACAAUUGCCAGAGCAGAAGCUUGUCAAACUUUUUAAGUCUAAAAGCUUCAACUCCUUCAAUUCUCUGAAAGUAAUAACCUCAUCUUUUGCCACAACAUCAUCCACCAAUACUAUUUCUGUUAUCAUAACGCAUGAUUUUAUCUUCAUAUAUCUAAGUCGCACCAGAGACUUUGCAAUUGAGGAUGUUAAUACGAUUUUCAAUCUUUCGCAACUGAAUACCACCAGAUUUGUAAGAUUCUGAAAGGAUGUCGACGAUGGCACUAGAUUGACCAAACGGUCACACCCCUUUACACGUAGAAUAACCAAGUUGUUCGUAACAGAGGACUCCCUUAUCAAAAUGUUCUCCAGAUGAUAACAAUUAUUUGCUUCACUUAUUUCUACUGCCAUACCAUUUUCAACCUUCUCUUUCGGCGACCGGCCACCAUAUCCUUGUAUUUGGAGGACUUUCAUUGUGUGAAGUCUCUGGAGGAAGUCAUCAAGUGAUACAAUAGUCGGCUCAUCAACCAACUCCACAAAAAGAUAUUUUAGUUUGCAAAGCAAGUCUUCAAAAAAUAGAUAUUUAUUUGUUCCUAUGUACUUUGCAUCAACUUUCAACUCUUCCAAAUUAGGGAAUACCUGGGAGAUCGAUCAGAACCAAAAAAAAAAAAAAUACAAGAUGAAUCAGUUGAUGAGAAUUAUAAGUUACCACUAAUUUAUACAAUAUAUUUUAUUCAAUAAAUCAAUAAAUACAAGAUAAACUUUCACAGUACAUACAUAAGAAUUGAAAAAUUGAUUAUAAAACUCUUGUACGUACCCUUUCCGUCAAGAUAUUAGUAGUUCUUUUGCAUCUCGCCAUGAAUUCAGGACAUCCAGAUAUCCCUAAUUCUUUCAAGGAUGGAAAUUCAAGAUUAUCAAGAUCUCCAGUGCAGAAGCUUGUGAACUUUUCAAGAUCAGACAUCCUCAGAGAUUGCAACUGGGGAAACGUUACAAUAUUAUUCUUCAUUUCUUCUUGGUUGUCCACGACUAUUAACUCUUCCAGGACAGGACAUUUGACUAUCAUAAUGUGUUGGAGUCGAACAAAGCUACUAACUGUACAAGAUGAAAAUAGACAUCUUAAAUUCAUACAGCUGUACAGGGUCAAGCGCGUUAAAUUCUGAAUACCACAAGACAUGACUGCAACUUGGUUCAGCCAAAUCCUCUCAACAUUUAUUGAAUACAACAUCAACUCCUCCAAAUUUGGUAAUGCAACCUGCACGAUCAAAAAAUUAACUUGUUAAUUACAAGCAACAAUGAUUUCUGUUGAUGGACAAAUCAAUAAAAUUACUCUUUCUCUGUUUAUAGUUCUUUUCAGUUUUUCAUACAAACAACCGUUAAUCAAGUUUUCCAAAUUAUUCCUUACUAAAUUUUGGUUGAUUCGCAAUAGGACCUACUAUCCAGCGCGAGCAGUUCUCGGGGAUUUAACUACUGGCACCUCGAUUAUAUAAAAAUUUAGACGGCGGCUAAUAUAAUUUAUAUGUAUUCUAAUGACGUAUAUUAAAGAAAAUGAUUAACCAUAAUUUCAAUCAACUUAUUAGUCUAUAUAUAUAUAUAUAUAUAUAUAUAAUAUUCAGCGAUUACAACAUAUUUAGUAUUCCAUAACAUGAUGUUUAUAAUAAUAAUUAUUAUUAAUUCACUUAUUGUGUCAGAGUAUCUUUUCUUUCUCUAAGAAUGUAUUUGUUACACCCUACUAUACUUCGGAUGAAAAAUUUAGAAUAAUUGUGAAAUAUAAUUAUUAAUCACUCUUUGCCAUAUUUGUUACCAAACAGGAAUAUAACAAAGAAAAAAAACAAAAAUUAUAGAGAAUUAAUAAGACGAUUGACUUAUUAAUAACUGACCUUCUCAGGGAAAAGUGUAUUAUAAAUUUGGACAUUGUCCUCCAAAAUGAUUUCAUGUGACUGCAAAUCAUUAGCUGAUUCCUCUUGUCUCUGUUGACAUUGCAGGUAUCUUGAUUUUAGAGUGUAAACUUAAUUGUGAGCACAAUCUUAAUGCAUAGAUACAAGAUCUUUAAAAAUUAGUAUAAGAAACUUAGCACUAAAUCCAAAUUUGAUAUUUUGGAUUCCAUGAUUAAGAUUUUUUAAAUAAAAAUUUAAUAGAGUUAAUUUAAAAAUAAAAAUUAAAUAUGAAAAAUAAACUUGCAAUUAUGGAUUUAAUUUUAAUAAAUAAUGAAUGUUCUCUUUAUAUUUUUUUUAAAAGGUAAAAGAGCGUACAAAGCCCAAAUUCAUUUUUUUAAGUCCUUUACUCUCCCAUGAUUCAAACUUGGGUGGUUGUAGGAGGACUGCAAAUAUAUAAGACAGUUAACUUCACUUUUUUUUUCUUUUUUUUUUUGUUGAGAGAAAAGAGAAGAAGGAUAUUACAAAGCAUGAAGCUCGUGCAAUAUAAGGGCAAUUAUGGUUUUUUCUUUAAAUUAAAAUGGUAAGAUUCUGAAGCUAAAAGAUUAAAAUAUUAAUUAAAUUGCAAACAUUAAAGAUUUUUUUUGCAAAUGGUUGCUUUUAAAAUGAGAAUAAUAUAAUAUUUGAAGACUUUUCAAAAUUAAUUACUGUGAUGCACUAGAAAUUUCUAGCUUUAGUCUAAUGUAUAAAUUGACAAAACGAUAUUCGAAUCCCAGGUGAAAAGAACCCUCUCAUACCAAUUAUUUAAAUUAGGAAUGAUCAUACCUUUGACUCUGCCGGAUUGAGGGCGAGCCAGAGACGCUUGAGAUGGGAAGAGCCCACUUUGACUAAUUCAUUACGAAAAUAAUCGACAUCUUGCUCUUGCAAUCGCCAUAACUCAAGGUCUUCAAUUCUCUGCAGUUGCACGAUCAGCGAAUCCUUCAAGCAAAUCUUGUUAUUUAGCUCGAGACUGAAUUCACGACACCCAAUGCCGGUGCUCUCCCAAUAGCCAUCAUCUCCAAUGCGUAUGCUGUACCUUUCCAGCUUCUCCAAGAGCAGGCCUCUGGGCAGAGUGCUGACGUCACGGGCGCGUAAUUCCAAAGAGGUCAAGUUGGGCAAAUGCUUCAACUCCUCAAGGCUUGCAUUCUUAACCCCUUCUUCCACCUCCACCUCCCAAGCAGCAAAGCUUUGACCUAUAUAUAGUUCUUCUAAACGGGAUAAUUUUGACAGUAUAUUUGGUGGAAUAACUUCUAGGUCCUCACAAUGUCUCAAAUCAAGCAACUUUAGCCAAGUCAAUUCACCUACUUCUACCGGCAACUUCUUAAUAUCAGAAUCUCUUAGGCAAAGGAUUUCUAGUUUCUUCAAGUCUCCUACAACACUUAGAUCAGGCAGGUAGCACCAACACAAACUCAGUGUUCGAAGGUUUGACAGGAGACCAAGUGAUGAAGGCAAUGACCGUAGAUCCAUGUUAGUCAAGUUUACAACUCUGACCUCGAUCAUGCUCUUGAAAAAGUUGUCUGGAAUUGUUACUCGUGAAUAUUCCCAAGGAUCAUCACUUAUAAAAAGAAGUUCGAGCUGAGGACAUUCCAGUACUUUAGGAAGCAAAUUAGUGUUGAUAUCAUGUAAGACGAUUGAAGUGCAAUGCUUUAUUGCACUUCCGUCCGACCAUUCCCUGCAACCAUCAACCUGCUCAUUUGUAGCAGUAAACACAUUUCGUUCAGUAGAUGCAAUUGAUCUGGCGACAUCGCGAACUACAUCAUGCAUAGAAAACAACUCUUUCUUCUGGCUUAUAUGGUCAAGCAACAUACAAGAAGCUUUGAGUGUGCGCACCAAUGUAUGUACUCGAUUUCGUGCUACUUCAAUCUUAUUCACACCUUGAAAUAAACCCAAUCCCAUACCACACAUUAACAAGUCUUCAAUAGAUGCUAUGGCUGUAUAUCCUAUUAGCAAAAAGAUGUUCUUGAGAUCAUCCCUUCCUAGUUUAUUGUAGCUCAACUCGAUAGCUUUAAAUGCGGCUGGCUGUACAUCCUUAAAAUUCGAUGAAGAAGGCCUUCUUAGCUGUUCCAAUGCAUCCUUCCAUUCACGUAUGCUCUUGUUCCUUAAUGCCCUUGCAACCGUCACAAUGGAAACUGGUAGACCUGCACAUUCCUUUGCCACAUCCCUUGCUACCUCUUUCAAUUCAUUACCUUCAACAUAAUCACCUGCCAUCUUCGUGAAUAGACUCCAAGCUUCAUCUUCUUUUAAAAAUCCAACUGGGAAAUUUUUUCGAGACUCCAUCUCUCCAGACAAUACUUCUUCACUCCUCGCCGUGAACAGCACUUUACAUCCCAUGUGAUCAUCUCCGUGAGGAAUUCCGACAUCCAACAAAUCAAGAUUUUCCCAAAUAUUAUCCAAGAUUACAAGGAUCCUCUUCUCUUUCUUCAGUCGAUCAUAGAGUCUUCUUGCCCUACCCGAUUCACUCUCCUCAUCAAAUUUUAGACCUAGUUUAUCCGCGAUUUCUCCUUGAAGCUUUCUUACGUCUCGACUCUCAGACACCUCAGAAAAAACCACCUGAUCGAAAAGCUUGUCACUCUCUGCUUUUCUAGCAACUUCUUUAGCUAGCGUCGUCUUUCCGAUUCCGCCCAUUCCAUAAAUCAAAAGCAUGUUGACAUUGGGAUUUUUUAAUGCAUCAAUUAUUUCAUUCAGAAUGGACGUUCUUGAUUCAAAGGCCUCGAAGUCUUUGUUAGGCAUAAGCAAGGUAUCCUCCGGAAUGAUGCUGUAGGAAAUACUAUUAACUGGUCUAGCGUCCCGGACUUUGACAACAGCCUCCUUCUGCCUCUCUGCUUCCUUGCUAAGUCGAGGGCGGGUCUUCAAAUUAGGACAUGACCCCUUGAAACAACGCUUAUUUGCAGUGGCUUCAUCUUCUGUAAAUUUAUCUGCCUCUUCAAUGACACUGUUGGCCGUUGCAAGCCAAUUCUCAACGUUCUCUUCAAUCUCUUCUCCUUUUCUUUUAGCCUCAUCAACCUGGUGCUCUGUACUCACCCUCUCAGACUUUAGUUUCGCAACUUCAGUGUUGAGAUUCUGUAAGUUGCUCGUGUACUUACUCUCACGCAAAUAGCUAAUUUGGCGAUAUGCGGGAGGAGCCAAGCACUUUACAACUUCUAAAACAAUAGUAAGAAUGAUUUCAGCCAUCUUCAGUCCUUUGUCCUUGUCUCUCUAUCUCUCUUUUUCUGAAUUUUGGAAAAACAAUUCAACAAGUGACCGCAACAAGAUGGAACACAAGUGACCACAACAAGAUGGAACAAAAUACAAAGGAAAAAAAAUACAAAGAGUGGAUGGAGAAUAAAACAGAGACAGCGUCACAGCUAGACACAAUUAGAUAGAGAACAGAGGAAAACCAAAUAACAAGACUUAAGAUUACAACAAACAGAGGCCGAGGUGGAUAUAUAUACUUGGAGAAUAAAAUUCAAGAGCAAAGCGAGUGCUGGGCUGCAGUUUCUUAAGGAGAUUUAUAUAUCAUCCUCAAAAAUAAAUAUUUUAAGGUAGGUAUUUAGACUAUUUCAUCAUAAAAUAAAUGUAAUUAAUUUUCAUAAAUAUGUGAUAUCAAUAUUUAUUUAUUUUUUUAAUUACUGAUGGCCUUUGAAUAUACGAUACAUAUUACUAAUUCAAAAAAUAAAUUGUGAUUAUUUGUUAAUGUAUAUGAUUACUUGUGAUGGUAAACAAGGUAGAUAUGGUAUAUUUUGAAGUAGAAAAAAAAAAACAAAAGAAAAAACAGAGCUUUUACCAUUGCUUGCCUUAUCAUCUUUUAAAUUAAAGUUAUUAUUCUUUUAUUUUUCAAGUUGCCAACUCAUACGCAUUUUCUUUUAUUGAAUUUGAAGAUCAAUGAUUAUAAAUUUGUGUGAAAAUUUUAAGCCAAAAUUUUAAAUUAAAAUAAUCAUUAAGUUAUUAAAAAAUAAUAACUUAAUAUAACAAAUAUUAUAUCAUAUACUUUAUUGCUACAAGAUUACAAAACCUUAUAUUAUAUUAUGUUUCCAUAUUUCUCCUUUAUAGUGAAGACUCAUACUUUUUCUCUAGUAGAUGUUAAAGUAUUGGCUUAAACUUUUUAACCAGCACAGUAAACCCUUAAGCCUAUAUAUGCUAUAAUGUCCCUCUUCCCUCACAGAUCAAACACUAUUUUUCAAAAUAUUAUAUCUUUAGACUUAACAAAAUAUCUUUUAACCAUAUAUGUACAGUUUGUUUGAUCUCUUUUAAAUAUUGGAGAUUACAACAGAACAGAUGCGAAUUAGCAGUGACGCUGAGUUUAGAAGAUUGAAGUUAAGAAAAUUAAGGAAAGGGUAAGGAUGUAUUUUCAAAGUGAAUUAUUGAGAGAUCUUUGAAGAUUACUUCCGUCAAGAGCUGGGUCCUAUACUCUUAACCCUUUGUCCUCCAGUCAACCAUAAGACAAAUUAUUAUUGAGUGUGAGCAGACAUUAACCACCAAAUUUUCAAACUUGUGAUCCUUAUUGAAUCUGCAUUCCCCUUUACAAAAGUAAAAAAAAAAAGUGCAAAUAACGAAACAAAAUUCUGUUCCUUGACUGCAAGUGCUGUCGGCAUUUUCAGACUUGUAAGACCCUUCUACUUGCAAGAUACCACUGAAUUUGUCUUUUUUUUUUUAAAUUACACUAUAUUAUCUUAUAUUUUAUAAAAAAUUUAAUAAAUAUUAUAAAUUAUAAAUUUUUAUAUUUAAUAUUCUCAAAAUAAAUUAUCAAACAAAUGAUUCAUUUAUUAUUUUUUCUUUUAAAUUUUUGUUAUUAAGAAGAUUUUUGGAUAUUAAGCGUGAAGGGCUCCACUGAUCGCUAAUUUUGCAGCAAUUGCCCUUUUCUUUCUCCCCUAAUUGUUUUGAAAAAUAUCUAGUCUCAUUCAGCGAAGUAUCCAAGGCCAAAGGGCUAAAAGAUGGGACACCCACAUGUGCUUCUAAUUAAAAAGGGUUAUUUUUCGCUACCCCACAUGUUUUGACAAAUCAUAUUGUGUACCCAUUUGUUUCAACAAUCAUCAGUGUGCACCCAUUCUGUUAAAUUCAGCCGUUUAGUUUAACCAAUCAAGGGUAAAAUGGAUAUUGUACAAUAAAUGAAUAAAAAAUCAAGUUAAACUGUUUACACAGAAGAAAGAGAACAAGGAGAAGUAAAAGAACAACAUCAUUUCUGAAAAAACAACUCCAUCUCUGCAAAUCGUACCAUCCAAGAGCAUAAAUCAAAGCAAAUAUGGAGGGAAAAUAUUAUGUGUUGGAGUUGAUGUUCUUAUAUCCCCAUCUAGAGUAAGAGGUUUUGACAUGGUAGCGUCUUAUGACACCAUUGUAUUACAAGUUAUCAUUGGUAGUUUUUUGGCUGAAGGCUGGAAGGAGUCAAGAUCAUGGAUGCAACCAAAACCAUUGUCUUCUUCUAUGCCAAAAUUCAUCCUAGAAGCAUCAGCAAUUGGAAGCCCACCAUCACAUGGAAACUUAAGUGAAUCAUCUGGUGGACCUGGAAGCCCUCUAAACCACAGCACCGAAGGAGGCUGCAGUAACAGCAAUCCGCCAAGCAUACUGAAAUUUAAUGAGUUGGUGUUGUGUGAUUCAGCAUCAGUUUUUAUUUUUUAAAAUGCAUAUUAACAGUGACUGGUGGCAUUUUUGAAAUUUAAUGAUUUGAAAUUCAAAUUGGGGACAAAAUCACCAUUUCACAAAAUAAUUGUCAGAAUGGUUAAAAUAAACGGCUGAAUUUAACGGAAUGGGUGCGCGGUGAUAAUUGUUGAAAUAAGUGGGUUUACGGUAAAAUUUGUCAAAACAUGUGGGGGGUGGCCAAAAAUAACCGAAUUAAAAAAUCUAAAGUUAGGGGGACCAUAACUUACAUUUAAUAUAAUUUAUGAUAGGAGUCCACUUAUGUUACCACUGUACAACAGGUUUGGUCUUUUCUGACUCAAUUGCUGUAAAAGUUUGUUGAGCCCCUUGUACUCGAUAUUAUUUACUAUUUAUUUAUAAGUAUUAUAAAAAUUUUUGCUUACUUGUUAAAACAAACCUCUCGGCCCCACUUCCCUUUUUUUUUUUUUGAAAAGCCCCACUCCCCUUGUACUCGAUAUUUUUUACGCGUUUCUCUUUUCUCUCCCCCACGUGAACACUUUUGCCUUUUGCUCGUUCACGUGAAAGUCAGUUUAGAAUUUUGAUCUUAUUUCACAGAGCUAAUUUUUUUAUCACAAGCAGGAGAGAAACGGCAUUUCUUAGCAGUAGUUCAUCACUGUAGUAGCGAGCGAGUGAGGAACAAAAUUACCAACAAUUCUCAAAAAAUAAUUAUAAAAAAUGAUCACAUGCUAUAAUUAAUCAUGACACUUUGACAACAUUACUCCCACCGAGCAAAAGUUAACAGCAUCUUCUCCCACAUUUUUAAAAAAAAAAUUGUAUUAUAUAACCCACCAAAAGUAUAAAGAGUCUUUUCUUAUUAAAAUUAAUAAAUUACUCUUUAUAUUGAGAAAUUAAAAUUUAAAAUGAGAAUGAUGGGCGAUGUUCAUUUCUUAAAAUAAAAAUAAAAUUUAUGAAGUUUAUCUAUUUUUAGAAUUAAAGAAUAAGAACUUAAUUUCUUAUGGGGAGUGUUGGAAAUCAAGUUCUUAUUCCUUAAACUCUCAAUUUUACCUCACAAAAAUUUAUAAGUUCACUUUUAUCUUUAAUUAAAAUAUUAUUAUGUUAUUAUUAUGGUUAUUAUUCUUAUUUUUGUAGUAGUUGCUGUUGUUUUUGUUGAUGAUGAUGAUAAUAGUUGAUAAUAAAAUUAAUAAUAAUAAUGAAAAUAUAACUAUAAUUUUAACAGCUACAAUAAUAAUCAUUAAUAUUAUCGUUGUUGUUCUUAUUAUUAUUAUUAUUAUUAUUAUUACUACUACUACUAUCCUAUUAUAUUAUUAUUAUUAAAUAAUUAUUUUGAAUAAUAAUAAUCUCAAUUAUUAUAACAAACAACGACAAUAAUGAACUAAUGUCAUUUUCAUAACUUAUAACAAUUUAUUUUUUAUUUCAAGACAAAAUAAACAUAUUAAUAAUAAUACAGGUCAUUUCGAUUAUGAUUCUUACAGGUAAAAUAAAUAAUUUAUUAUGAUUUUCACAUCAUAAUCAUAAUUCUUAUAGUAUUAUCUUUAUUUUAAAAUACUUUUUUUAUUUAUAUUUAUUAUAAAUUAAUUAAAUUAUACCAAUGAAAAUUAAAUAAAAAUUUAAGUAAUAAAAAUGAGAAAAUAUAUGUUUCCGUUUGAAUAAAAAAUUAAUAAUAAAAUAUUUUUCUUAUUUUUUAAUAUUUUUAUUAUGAAGAAAAUAUAUUUUUCUUUUUUUAAUUAUUUUGAAAAAAUAUCCAGACUCAUUCUGCAAAGUACCCGAGGCCAAAGCGCCGAAAGAUAGGACACCCACAUGUGCUUUUAUUUACAAAAUCUAAAGUUAGGGUGGGUGUCCGAAACUUAAAUUUAAUAUAAUUUAUAAUUAGGUAAAAUUCUUUGAUUGACCCAUUAAAUUUUAUUAUUCUACUACUUAUUUUUAUAUUAAAAAAUUAGUAAUGUAGAAAAAUUCUUAAAAGUUAAUGGAGAAGGAAAAGAAAAAGAAAAAGUGUAAAUGAACUGUAUUCACCUAAGUUUCAAACACGUGGUUCAAUCUGAAUUCGCUUUUUUCAAAAGUAAAUACAAAAGAAAAUAUAAAGAAAAAAAAUUAAACGAGACAAAAAUCUGUGGCGUGGGUCAUUCAUAUCUUUUGUCAUUUCUUUUUUAGAGGUACAUGGGGUGGAUAUUUUGAAGUGACAAGCAGAGCUUUUACUGUUGCUUGCCUUAUCAUCUUUUAAAAUUAGAGUUACUAUUCUUUUAUUUUUAAGUAGCCAACGGAUGGUAGCCAACUCAUCCAUGUUCUCUAUUAUUGAAUUUAAAGAUCAAUGAUUUAUGUUAAUAAAUAUUUUGUUAACUAUCAAAGUUUUUAUUUCAAAAUUACUGUUAUAAUUCAUUAAUUUUUCAAUUUUUCCUUUUUCUAUUCACACAACAGAUUGAUUUGCCCUCCAAAAAAAUGUAUUAGAUUGUUUAAUAUUGUAACAUCAAGAAACUUAUAAUAAAUUUUUAAAGAGAUAACUAGAGAAUGUUAGCCUCGCAUCUACUCAAAAUUAAUAAAUAUACCACUAAUUCCUUAUUAUUUUUAUAAAACUAAUAACUUUCUUGGUAGUAUAAUUUUAUAGUAUUAUCCUUAUUUGUAAGUAUAUUUUUAUUCAUAUUUAUUAUAAAUUAAUUAAAUCAUAUCAAUAAAAAUUAAAAUAGAAUAAUAUGUUUUGGUGUGAAUAAAAGAUUGAAAAUAAAAAUAUUUUUCUUAUAUUUUUUGUUAUUUUUAAAUGUUUUUCAUAUAAUAAAUGUACAUUUUAUAUUCUUAAGAUGAAUUUUGAGUAAAUGACUCAUUUACUCAUUUUUUUUCUUUAAAUUUUUGUUACUAGGAGGAUUUUUAGAUAUAAUGAAAAUUGUAAGGUAGUAAGUAAUAUAUAAUAAUUUUAAUAGAGAAAAAUAAAAAAAUCUCUUAUUUUAAAAUAUAAGAAGAAAAAUAAUUAAUUUUAAGAAAUUUUAGAAGAUAUUUCAAUAUGCUGUGGAUCACACCCUCGAAUCUUUGUCGUCUCAGUCAACUAAAAGGACAGAAUAUUGAGCGUGAAGGCUCAACUGAUUGUUAAUUUCACAGCAAUUACCUUUUUUUUCUUCUUUUUUUCCUAAUUAUUUUGAAAUGGUAGGUAGCAAUUGCUUACAUCAAAAUAUUUAGACUCACUCGGCAAAGUAUCCGAGGCCAAAAUGCCAAAAGGUGGGACACCCACGUGUGCAUCUAAUUACAAAGUCUAAAGUUAAUGAAAAGAAAAAGAAAAAGUAUAAAUGAACGAUAUUCAUUCAAACAUCUAGUUCAAUAUGAAUUUCUUUUUACCAAAAGUAAAUUUGGGCGAGACUUUGCGAGGGGCCUCGGUGUGCCCGCGGGGAGUCGUCGGCUGAGCGCUGCCCAAAAAUAAGCGUCCGAAGGUCGUACGCUCGCGUGUGAGGCUGCCCUUGCUCGCGCGGCAACGUAGAGUAUGCUCACGCACGAGGCUGCCCACGCCCAGUCGCAAGUAGGGCAGCGCGCGCGACAAGUGGUUGCCCACUCUCGCGCACAAAACAAGCUUAUAAUAGAGCAGCUCCAGGCAUAUGAGGCAGUAGCCAUAAGACAUAAUUUUGAGAAUGGUGAGUGUGGAAACAGGGAGGAAUUUCAUAAGGUCAAAAAUGGGAUAUUGGCGGGCGAGGCUUUGCGAGGGGCCUCGGUGUGCCCGCGGGGAGUCGCGGGCACAGCCGCACCCCAAAAUAACGCCCCAAGGUCGGGGUGAUAAAAAGGCCUCAGUGCCCCGAGACGGGUGUGCUAUAGCCUUGGUGGGGGGCGCGGGCGAAGUUCGUCCGCCAGCGCGGCCGUGCCCGCAACUUCCGGCGGGCACACUGAGGCCCCUCGCAAAGCCUCCCCCUAUACCGAGUCCGGCGGACGAACUUCGCACGCGCCCCCCACCAAGGCUAUAGCCCACCCGUUUCGGACGAGACUUUGCGAGGGGCCUCGGUGCACCCGCGGGGAGUCGCGGGCACAGCCGCACCCAAAAAUAGUGCCCCAAGGUCAGGGUGCCGAAAAGGCCCCUAGGGGCCCCGAGACGGGUGGGCUAUACUGCCUCAAGGUCGGGUGCUAAAAAAGCCCCAGGGGCCCCGAAACGGGUGGGCUAUAGCCUUGGUGGGGGGCGCGGGCGAAGUUCGUCUGCCGGACUCGGAAUGAAGCGAGGCUAAACGAGAGCCCUCGGGUGCGCGGGCGAUGCUCGUAUGCCGGACUCAGAAUGGGGCGAGACUUUGCGAGGGGCCUCGGUGUGCCCGCGAGGAGUCACGGUGCCAAAAAGGCCCCAGGGGGCCCGAGUCGGGUGGGCUAUAGUCUUGGUGGGGGACGCAAGCGAAGUUCGUCUGCCGGACUUGGAAUGGGGCGAGGUUUUGCGAGGGACCUCGGCGAGCCCGCAGGGAGUCGGCGGCCGAGGACCAUCUUGAAGUCAUCCAUGAGGACGAUGGAGAAAUCAAGCUUUCCGCUCCACGUACUGAGUGUUAAGUGCACGCCUUGUGCAAUUCCUGCAAUUGACUUGGCGGGUGAGUUUACCGCUUUCAUCGUGCCUCUUUUCAUCUCGAUUCCCGAGGCCCGCUGGUCCCAUUGGACGAAACGGAACCACAAUCAGAUGCCUCGAUCAUGAGUUACGGCCAAAACCGGUAAAAACAACCCCGAUCUUACCCCCCGCUGGCGAUCAAAACCCGCUAACGCACUAGCGGAAAAAGGCCCCGAGACGGGUGGGCUUUAGCCUUGGUGGGGGGCAUGGGCGAAGUUCGUCCGCCGGACUCGGAAUGGGGCGAGGCUUUGCGAGGGGCCUCAGUGUGCCUGCGGGGAGUCGUGGGCACCCUGCCCUUCGGGGCCCAAAAAUAAGCGCCCGAAGGUUGGGGUAGCAAAGGCCCCAACGAAAAAAGGCCCCGAGACGGGUGGGCUAUAGCCUUGGUGGGGGGCGCCGCCGCACAAUUCAUCCUCCGCGGCCCUUUCCCCACUCCCCGGUGGGUCCGAGGUGUCCCGGAGAGUUACGAACUUGACGUGAUAAGUUGUAUAUUUCACGUGAAGUGUUACAUCCUUACUUCUUCAGCUUCCUUGUACGUUCACUUCUUAAGAAUCUGGCUAUGUUUUUUUAAUUUUAGGUAUUUUUAGUGUUGAAAUCUGGCUUGUAGUUGGGCUUAAUGAGUAGUGUAAAGAUUGUUGAUCAAUGAUUAAUGUGCUUGUUGCUGAUUUAUUUCUGUUUUUGUUUCAGAUUGGUGAGUGUCGCCUUGGUGGGGGGUGAGGGCGAAGUUCGUCCGCCGGACUCGGAAUGGGGCGAGGCUUUGCGAGGGACCUCGGGGAUGCAGCCCAGCCUCGCAUGCCAGCAGCACAUGCUCGCGGGCAAGGAUGGGCGCUCGCGCGGGGCAUACAGUAGGCAGUCGCGCGGUAAACUGCCCACGCUCUCGAGGCAAGCAGCUCCUAGUCGGGCAAGGCAGUGCGCGCUCGCCACCAAGGCAAGUAGCCCAAGCUCGCGCGAGGAAGUCAGGCCAGGCUUGUGCGCGCGCGUGGGGUGAGGCUUCGUAAGGGGCCUCAGUGUGCCCGCGGGGAGUCGUGGGCAUAGCCGCACCCAAAAAUAGUGCCCCUAAGGUGGUGGGGGGCACGGGCGAAGUUCAUUCGCCGGGCUCUGAAUGGGGCGAGGCUUUGCGAGAGGCCUCGUUGUGCCCACGGGGAGUCACGGGCACAGUCGCGCCCAAAAAUAGUGCCCCAAAGUCGGGGGGCCAUUGACUGGUGUACCACGAUCAUAUUUAACUGUUGUAUGCAUGAAUCCUUGUGACAUGACAUAUAGCCAAUUAAAUUCUGACAUGCGUGCAAUAAAGACUGUAAAGUGACCGGUUAUUCCGGUUGAAUUCACAAGAACUCUUGUUUGUGUGUUUAUGUUCCAAGUUGUGUACUCUUUGUUACGAGUUCUCUAAUUAGUCUGAUAUUAUCGCAACUGAUGCUCAAUAAUGUUACAGGUUUUAUAAUAUAUGUCACUGGUACGAUCGCUGUCACAAAUUUUGAACGAAAAGUUCCUAAUAAAACAAGUUAUUUAAUUAAUUAAAUAAGAAUAAAAUGAAUUUGUGAAAAAAAAUUUAAUUUAAUUUUGAAUUAUUUUAACCAAAAUUUAAGUUUUUUUUUUAAUUUGUUUAAGAAAAUGCGUUUUAAUUGGAAAAUCAAUGAAAAAAUUUAUGUAACAGAAAAAAAAAAAAAGCAAAACGUUUUGUUUUGGAUGGAGGCCAUAGAUUCCAAUAUUUCCUUCACGAAAACUACAAAAAAUUAUCAAAGGCAUCAAUUUCUACACUCUCACCGAGCAAUACUCUUAACCCAGAAGAAAGUGUAUAAACCAACCCCAAUCAGUCCAUCAAUGUCGUCAACCUCAUACAAUAUAAAAAAAAUCCGUGUCCAUUAAACCGUCUUUAUUGAGCCAUUAGACUAUUCGUGUCAUCUUCCCAUCUCGUUGUAGUAUUUUGCCGUUCAAAUCUAGUUAUCAAUUGGGGAAAAUGGGGACCAAUCUGCAAGUCUUUAAAAUAGAUAGGAACUUUAAUUGGGCACUAUGUUCACAGUGGUGGACCCAGCAGCAUUAAUAUUUAAGGUGGAGCUAUUUGUAUCUUAAAAAUGAUUUUAAAUAUUCUAAUUUCAAUAAGAAUAUAUAUUAUAAAAAUAUUUAUUAUAUAAGUUAUUGGACAAUAUAUUAUAAGUCAAUAUUAUAUAAUUACUUUGAACACUUAUAUAGCACAAUCCUAAUUUAAUUUAUUAUUCUCAUGACUUAAAUAUAAAAAUUUUUAUUUCCAACAUCUUAAUAAAUAUGUAGAUGAAUAAUAAGGAAAUUAACUUUGAGAAAAAAUUAAAUACAAAAUAUGUGUAAUACUUUUAAAAAUAAAAUAAAACAAAAGUAUUGCACAAGAUUUUUUUUGGGGGGAGGGGGGGGGGGGGGGCUUUGGCCAUUCUUCUUCUUCUUCUCCUUCUCUCUCUCUCUUUUUUUUUUUGGGUAGUAUUUAUGGAACAUUUUCUAUUGUUAUGUUCUCAUCACAAGUUAUUUUGGGUGUAAAAUUCAAUAUUGAAAAUAAAUUAAAUGAAAAAUUAGUAACGAAAAUUAUGUUAAAUUAUUUUUUUAUAACUUAAUUUUUAAUUAUAUUAUUGUGAGUAUAUGCUAAAUCUCUUAAAAAUAGAGUGUUGAAUAAUUUUAUUAGUUUUUUUUUAAAUAAAUAAAGUUAAGUAACUUAAAAAGUUUAAGUAAGGAUAUUUUUGAAUUUUAAUUAGUGUACAAAGUAAAGUUUAAUUUUUUUAUAAUUAAAUUAUAAACGUGAAAAAUAAUAGAAUGUUCAAAAUAAUAUUUAGAGUACUAAUAAUCCUACCUUAAUCUUUAUCAUCACAUUAUUUUUCAUAAAAAAUUUACAAUUACCUCUUUAUUGGAUAAUUUUGUUCCCUCUCUUACCUUAUGUUCCCUUACAUUCUCAUUUCUGCAUCACCAUUUAAAUUGUAAUCAUAACGUUAAUCUUUAUCCAUCACAUAUUUUGCCAAAUUUAUUCGCACCGCAAAGCUCUUUCCUUUUUUUUUUUUUCCUCCGUUAAGUUUGCUAUAAUGUACGUGAAGAAUAGUUAAAGAGCUCUUUCGUGUCCUUACCCUUUUUUUCGGGUUCACUUUUGCUGCUUUUUAACGUUUCUCCAGAAUUCACUUCAACAUGACUGGCGCAUUUUCUUCUUUCUCGUUGCAACAUCAACUGGGCCACCACCUCUUGCCUCUCCCGGUUCCCCUCAAUUUUCGUAUUCAAUGUCCACCGUUGAUUGUACAUUUAUUAAAACUCUGUGGUUAUUGUUUUUUUGCAUACAUUUAAUUCCACACGGUCUAUCAAUAGAGCAGGUGCAUCGUAGUUGUGGCCUUAACUGUUAUUGGUAACUCAAUAGCUAAUUCUAAUGUUUCAUCAAGCAGUUUAGAGAUAACCUCUCUCGCUGAACUCCUUGGAGUAACGCAAUCCAGUUUUCCAGUGCAAUCACCAGACAGUUGAACAGCUUCUGAAUUCCCUAUGCUUUUCUUGUUUUCUUUUCCAUGUAAAGGGAGCUCAGGCUUCAAUAUAUCUGGGGAUUGAUUACUAAUGAUAAAGACAACAUACGGUAGAGGACACAAAUUGUUAUUAAAGAAUGAUGCACUUUUCAACUGAGUAUAGUAAAGCAAGAAUGGGUAAUUAGUUUUACCUGCAACGUGAAAAUCUAGACUCCCGACGGUAACCGAUCUUUGGUCAAGCAAAUAAAGAAGAAGGCGAAGUAAAAUUCACUGAGUUGAAUGAGCGAUCAUUGCGUAUGGACUUGACUUGUUCAAUGGGUGAAAGACUGCUGAUAUAAUUAAAGACUGGAGAAUCCUGCACGUUGACAAGCAUCAUUUUUAAUCUAACAUAGAGUCUUAAAAACUUUGUCAGUGGCAAAUGAUCACGACAAGAAAUCUGAAGUAGAAACAGCAGAGCUCAACAAAUCACUAAGAGAAAAUAAGACCAAUAACCAAGCAGAUAAAAGAAAAGCAAAAUAACCCAUCUCAAAAUCACCGCAUGCACAAUUAGGGAUGGCAAUUUCCGGGUCCGGGUCCGGGUCCGGGUUUGGCUGUUCCGGAUCCGGACCCGGACACGAAAUUUUCAUAACCGGACCCGCAUUAAACCCGGGUUUUUUUAAUCCGGGUCCGGUCCGGGUUCAACCCGGAAAAAUCCGGGUUUCCGGAUUCCGGGUUUUGAACCCGGAUUGCUUAUUUUUUUUUUUUUAGAGACCAUAUAACUUAUUUUAACAAGGCACAGGGGAUGGGGUUUAAUGUUUUAAUCUUUUCCCCAACAACACACUACACAAUUCUUCCUAGAAUUGGUUCAAUAAAAUUUGAUGGAUAAAAGGCAAAAUAAAAGAACAUAUAACACAUCAGUGACAUCACUAGACUACUAGAACCAAAUUGUUUAACUUUGGUUCAUCAAAAUUUGCCGGACAUAGGGCAAAAAAACAGAACAUAUAAACACAUCCAGAACCACCAGCCCACUAGAACCAAAUUGUUUAACUUUGGUUCAUCAAAAUUUGCUGGACACAGGGCCAAAUAACAGAACAUAAUAACACAUCCAGCUUCUAAAACAAAUACAACACAAAUACACAAUAUAAAAUCUAAAAUUCAAAGUUUUAAAGUAAUAAACAUCCACAAAUACAAAUUCAUAACAUAAUUCUAUAAUUUAAAGCUGAAAUUUCCAGCCACUGCCCACUAGUGCUCAGAUUUCUAGCCACUGCCCACAGCCCACCAAUGCUCAAAUUUCCAGCCACCGCCCACUAGUGCUCAUAUUUCCAGCCACUGCCCACAGCCCACCAGUGCUCAAAUUUCCAGCCACUGCGGCACUGCCCACCAGUGCUCAAAUUUCCAGCCACUGCCCACCAGUACUAAAGACUAAACUCUGAAUCAUGCACUUCAUUGGACUGUUGUUCACUCAUCAAACUUUCAUCAAUCAAAUGCUCUGCAGAAAGUAUUGCUUCCUCUGGAAUUCCAUUUACAAAAAAUGUGUAAAUCAUAAACAUAAUGAACAAGACAACCAAUUAGUGACAAAUUGAUAAUAAGAACAAUACAACAAAUAAUUUGAUUCUAAUAAAUAAAAUUUUCAUACCUUUUAAGUUUUGUUCAAGCCAAAACCAAUUUUGAGUGCACACUAAUGCCUCUACUGUGGAUGGGUGAAGUCUACUACGAUGAGGGCUCAAAUGUCUACCUCCAGUGCUAAAAGCAGACUCUGAAGCAAUUGUUGAUACAGGAAUGGCCAAAAAGUCCCUUGCAAUCUUUGCAAGUAUAGGAUAUUUGCCUUGAUUAUUCUUCCACCAUGAUAAAAUGUCAAAUUGACUAGUUGAAGGCAAAGUACACUCCUCAAGAUAAAACUCUAAUUCUGAUUUGGAAUGAGUAUUUUGCGUGUUUUCAUUUCUAAAUAAUGCCCACUCAUCAGCCAUUUCAUCCAAAUCUAAAUCUAACAUAUUAGAGUCCUCUCCUCCAGCAGCUUGAGAAUUGGCACCAUUAACCCCCCCACUUGAAUUUGAUAGAUGAUUUACUUCAUACUCAUGUACUAAAUCAACAAAUAACUUACGCACUCUUUCAAUUUCAGAUUCAGCUCUUUCCCCAUAUAUUUUAGGAAAUAAAAAGUUAAUCAAUAACAUUUUACGCCUAGGAUCUAACAUAGUCCCCACUGCAAGAACUCCAUGAAUAACAUCCCAAUACUUUUCAUACUUUGCAAUCAUCCUAGUAGCCAUAUUUUUUAUCCCCUCAAUUGGUGAUUGCAACCAUGCAUUCAUUGACAAUCUAAUUUCACAAAUCUUGGCAAAAAAUAAAUUAGAUGUCGGAUAUUGUGUCCCCGAAAAAAGUUCUGUCAACUUAUAAAAGCUUUUUAAAUACUCACACAUAAGCUUUGACAAAUUCCACUCUGACUCACUAGGUAAAGAUGUAUAAUUUCUCUCACGUUCCUUUAAACGAUCAAAUACAUUUUUAUACAGCAAUGCAGUACUAAGCAUCAAGUAAGUAGAGUUCCAUCUAGUUUUACAAUCAAGUACUAAGUUUUUGGUUUCCUUAAUACCUAAUUGUUUUUUUGCAUUCUCAAAUUUUUCAACUCUAGCUGGUGUUGCUGUCCAAUAAUGAACACUAUCUCUAAUUUUCUCAACUCCCUUUUGUAUCACUGACAAACCAUCUCUAACUAUCAAGUUCAAUAUAUGAGCACAACAACGCAUGUGAAAGAAUUUGCCACCCAUAAUCAUUGAACUAGUAGAAAAUUUCCCCAACAACAAGGCAAUCAUAGAAUCAUUUGCAGCACAGUUAUCAGCAGUUACAGAGGACAAUUUUCUAUCUAUAUUCCAAUCCAUCAAACAAUCAUAUAACUCAUUACACAUUACCUCAGCACUAUGUGGAGCUGGCACAUAUAUAAACCUAAUAAUGUGAAAAAAUAAUUAAAAUAUUAGACAGGACAUUAAUUUAUGCUUAAACCAGAAAAAAAAGUUUCAAGAAUAUUACCUCAUAAUACGACUUCGCAACACCCAUGAACUAUCAAUGUAAUGUGCCGUAAUAACCAUGUAUCCUUUUUUUUGGUUACUAGCAGUCCACAUAUCAGUAGUAAUUGCGAUUCUACUCUCACAAGCUUCCAAAAUACCCAUUGUCUUUUUCUUUUCAACAUCAUAAAGCCUCAAAAUUUCAGCUUUGAUGGUGUUUCUACUAAUAGUCUCAAUAGAAGGUUGGAGUAGCUUCAACAAGUCAUAAAACCCAACAUACUCAACAAAUGCCAAUGGGAGCUCAUGUAAUACAAUCAUUCUAGCUAUAAAAAGCUUUACUGUAGCCAUAUCCCAUUUUGACUCAGAACUAAAAUUACUAAGUGAAGUGCUUCCAUCAACUUUAGAAGAAAAGGAUAGGUGCAUUUGCUGUACAUUCUUAAAUGACCUUCUAGGACAACGUUUAGCAUGGUUUAUUAAGUGAUUAGUACCCCUCGAAUAAUGUCCUUGCAUAACUAACCCACAGUAAUUGCAAAUUGCCUGAACUUCCUCACCCAACUUAACUUUUUUGAAAUGAUUCCAAGCAUCAGAGACUACUCUACCACCACUAUCUCGUUUUUGUGAAGUGACAGAAUUAGUAUUACCCCUACGGCCACGGCUACGGCCACGACUAUUCCCCUGAACUGCUGCUGUUGAAUUUGGUUCUAAUUCAACAGCUGUAUCGUUAUUAUUUUCUAAUUCUGUCCUAACUCUCACACAAACACUUUCAUCACUUUUUUCAGAGGCGUCCAAGUCGAUUCUUUGUUCAUUUUCCAUAUCAAAUUUUCACUCUACAAAAAUUAUGUCAAGAUAUAAUUAAUUCCAGCAACUUCUUCCAAUUUAUAUGCUAUGUUUAACCGUAAAAGCUAUAAAUAAUAUUUUAGAGAUACCAUUUCUAUUCUAUUAACAGCAACAAUAAAAAUAAUUCAAAAAAUAAACUAUAAAUAAUAAAAUUGAAGCAUAACAAAGUAUAGAUACUAAAAAUCACAGAGUUUAGCUAUUAAAGUCACAAAGUAUAGAUAUUAAAAUUACAAAGAGAGCAAAACAGAACACAGAACACAGAGCACAGAACACAGAACAUAUUUGAUUUGAAAACUCAAUGUUAAUGGGUCUUUUAAGCAAAGGUAUGUUAUCAAGUUUUUAUGCAACCUUAGAGAUAGCUAGUAUAUUUAAUCUAUCUCUACAGAAUUCUGAUACAGAUUAGUAUGAUUUACUGUGUUAACCGAUAUUAGACUUCUUUUGCAGACUCAAAAAAGUGCCUGCGACAAAUUUGCAGAUAUCCUAAACAAUUCUUACUGCAUUGGCAGAUUAUUCUAAAUUUCUAAUCGAGGAAAAGGAUCAGGAGUGUACAAUACUAACUGGAAAGAGUCAUUACUCUUCAAGCAACUCAGUAUACACAAGUAGUAAAAGCACAGGACAAGGUCGAACCCAAUUUCAGUGAGAGAAAGCAGAAGCAAGCCAAACAGAGUAUUAAUGCUAGUCAGGCUCAGAACUACCAUUCAUGCAGCUAGCCAUAGGCAGCAGCCCUUUGGCUAAUUAUACUUCAAAUUCAAUUCUAAGCUUACUCACUAACCAACUCUUAAUGCACAAAACCAACAAUACGCGGCAGAAGAAAAAUGGCAACUGUUCUGUUUUAGACAACAAUUUCUCCUUGUGCCAGAAAAACAAAGAACAAAAAGAGGCAAAUAAUUCAGAAAAACAAAAAGCUUAUAAUUAGUCAAGUGCUCUCAUAUGUCAUAUACAAAGAAAACAAUGUAUGAGGAAAAAUCAAAUUGUGCCAGCAGCAAUACAAGCUCAAAGCAUAACAGCACAAAAAUUGCAAAGAGGGAAAAUCAAAGUGUAAUAGAGCAUAAAUUGUAAAGAGAAAAGCCGAGACUCACAAAUAUUCACAGCGGCAACUGAAGUAUAUGCUGAUGAACACAGAACACAGCAGCGAGACUGAGGUGGAUUUCAACCCCUUUUGCUGGCCGCGACAGAGUGAGAGAUCAGACGAGUGAUGAAACGAACAAAGCCUCGCCGUGAAGGUGAUGACAAGCCACGACGCGAAGGAUCUGAUCUGAUCUGAAGAAGAGAUUACAGGAGAGUUGCAGAGAGAGUGAGAGAGAUUAAGUGACGAUGGAGGACUGAGAUGAGCAAUGAGUCACGGCUCACGGGUGAGAGAGAUUGAGAGAGGAACGGAUUACGGUUUACGGAUGAGACUUGAGAGAUUGAAAGGAGAAAUUACAGAUUUACAGUAAUUUUUUUUAGGUUGAAGGAGAAAUUUCGAGAGAGGAUUAGAGGAACGAGACGAGAGAGAUCUAGAUUCUAGGGUUCACUUUUGUUUUCGUUUUUUUUUUUUCUAUUUAUAAUUACGGAUUUACGGAUCAAAAUUAAUAUUAAAAUAAAUAAUAUCCGGGUCCGGGUUCCGGAUUUGCGGGUUCACCUGAAACCGGAUCCGGACCGGAAAAAUGCGGGUUGUCAAAAACUGAUCCGGAUUCCGGAUAAAAACUAUGCCGGUGCGGGUUGAACCCGGACCGGAUUUUCCGGGUUCAAUCCGGGUCCGAUCCGGGUCCGGGUUUGAUUGCCACCCCUAUGCACAAUUUAAGGGGUUUGUGACAUGGGUUUAAACAUGAUUUAACAAGUGCCACCUGUGAAUUGUCAGAGAUUGUAUUUUCAUACACAUGUCAAAUUUUCAAGUCCAACAAAUUGUUAUCUUUCUAAAGAGGCUAAUAUUAUUAUUAUCUAUGCAUAGCAUGCUAGAAACAAUUCAUAUUACUAGGGCCUUUGUUUUCUGUAAACAACAUAUGGACAGAGGAACAAAUCCCUGAGCUAAAAUCAUCAUAUUCCAAAAUAUUCUAUUAAAUCAACACCACAAAACGCGAACGCUAAACAGAAUUGGAGCAAUUUACCAAAGCUAUUUGUCACGCAAAGCACUAGUACCUCAGAACCCAAUUUGCAAAACAGCACCAAAAAUGAAAAAUAACAAAUGCCCAGAUGAAAUAUCAGGAAAAAAAAGGCUCAAAUCCAAAUUACAACCCCAUAAGCUGAAUCGUUCUCUUCGAACUGAAUUAAAAAAAAUUAAAAAAAUUAAAUAGGGAGAUUGACCUCAAACUUUGGAAACAGGAGCGACAGCGAUCUGUUUCUUGUCUGGAGUGUCCAUUUCUAUAAUCUACAUUGUCCAUUUUCAGUCGCUCUGCCACAGAGCUUCUUCCCUCUGAAGCUGAAGCUCACACACACUUGCAAAACGAAAGCAUUUUUAGUGAUUGAGAGGCGGGAAGGCGGGAAAAUGAGAGAAAUUUACAUUUGUUUUCUCUUGGUUUGGUCAUACCUGUGCGGGCCCCAGCUUGACAAGCGGUAUUAUUACUAUUUGUAUAAUUUAAAUGACGCGUGUCAGGCAAUGACGAUAAAAAAUAUAUACAUAUAUUGUUAAUUUUUCACUUAACAUUAAAAUAUCAUAUAAUUUUUCCAAUUUUAUGGUUAUUUUCUCGCCCUUAUGCCACAUUCUUUUGAUCAAAUAAUACAGUAAAACUUUUCUAUAAUCAUAAUAUUAGAGCCAAAUUAAAUUUGUUUCUGUAAAGAGGCUAUAGCUUAAUAAAGGUAAAAUUAUAAAAAUUAUUAUUUUGACUCAGUUAUCUUUAGUGCAAGUGAUAUAAAGUACAGAUAUAUGAUAAUUAAUUAAUGAACUAUGUCAAAUACAAUAUGCUGACAAUGAUAAAAAAGAUAGACAUAAUUUCAAGAAACUAAUACAUAUAUUUAUGUAGUGCUGGGAUUAUACAAAAUUAUCUUAAAAGUGUAAAGAUUAAAGUACUAUUAUGAUUAAUUUAAAAAAAUUAUUUUAUCUUAAUCUUUAAUGCAACAUAGUUUUUUUUUUUCUUAGCAACAAAGCAUUGUUCCAAAUAAUUAUUAUUGGAUUCAAAUCAUGUCCUAGGCAUUUUUUCUUCUGGUCGUCUUAAACUUUUAAUGAUUUAUUGGCAUGUGUCAUUAAUGAAAUUAAAUAACUAAGACUUUGUUUUAAUUAACGUUUACAUAAAUAGACAUCAAAACUCACGUGUGAUUCUUAUCAAUUUUUUUCCUGCAAUUUUUUUCCUCUCAACUAUUCAUAUUUUGACAUUAAUUUCCAGCAAAUUAUUAAAAAAGAAGAAGCGUAAAAUGGAGAAAAGUGAUUGACAACAAGGUUUGCAUCUUAAUUUCAAAAUUUUCCUUUCUUUGCUAUUUUUGUGGGUUCUACAAUUGUUGUUUUCACUCUCAGCUGCAGUUCAAUGAACUCUAUUAAUAACCAUGAAGCUUAAUGUAUCAAUUCCAGUACGACAAGUCCUUCUACGCAUGUUACAACACUUUUUUGUCAUUAUAGGUUGCAAAUGUUCCGUAAUGUACUCAUUCAUAUAACGGAAACGCUAUUAUCAAUAAUGAAAGUUGACUAAGUUUGUAAAUUCUAUUUAACGAAAAAGUAUCAUAAAUUUAGUUGAACAAGAGGUAAUUAAUAUGUAAUCUAUGAAACUAGGGUGUGACUAAGUUACAUAGUAAUGUAACUUACAUGAACACAAAAAUAAUUAGUUUUUAAACUACAAGUAGCUUUGAAACAGCUCUUAAAUUGAUAUAAGUUCUAUUAUUAUGUAACUUAGCAAGGUCAGAUAUUUUAAUAAUAGCUUACUCUACCGUGCCAAUGUCAUUAGUAUUAAUCUGUUGAACCUAAGACCAGAUCUAAGCUGAUCUAGAUUCCCCAAGAUCGCACACCACACAGUGAUUAAUGAAUCAAGAACAAUAAACCAUCAAAGAAUCGCAAACUUACAUGUCGGGUUACAUGUAAUAAAUGUUUUAAUUAUUAGAUGAUUCAUAAUGUUAGACCAUUUUUUGUAUGUUUUGUAAUCUACGUUUGAUAAUUUAAUUAGCUGAUAAACACUUGAAUAAUAUUAUUUUAUUAACUAUGUCAUUGAUCCCCAGGAAAAAAAAAAAAACCAAUUUGGGAUGUUAUACAUUGCUUUUUCAUUAAUUCCCAUUUUAUAUUAAUAUUUAUCACAUAUAUUCUUAGUAACUUGUAACCCUUUUUGCUAAGGGUGAAAUGUGUUUGUUACCCCUUCUAUUUCUGAGAUUGUCCUUACAAUAAGGAUGCCGGCCCCAAUGUCAAAAACUGCUAUCUCUGGGUGUAAAUUCCUUAUAAAAUUCUUUUUUAAUUGAAAUUACUUAAAUAAUUGAAGAUAAAUUAAUUUUUUAUUUCAUUCAAAUAAAAAAAAUCAAUUAAACACUUAAAUAAGCUAUCCUUUUAAUUUUUUUUUUACACCCCUCCAGUUUCAUAAUUUAUAUUUAUAAUUUAAAUUUUAAUGGAAAAUAUUUUUUUGAAAAAUUUUAAGAAUUAAGAAUUAUGGGGAUAAAAAUUAUGUAAUAAGAACAAAAUAAUUUAAAAUUUUAAAAUUUGCAUGCAUUAUAAACAAAAACUUGAAAGAAAUACUCUUUUCAGGGUGAAAUUUAAUGAGAAAAAGAUUAAUUUUAAUUUAUGAAUUAGUAUUUUAUAAGUUAAACUGAGGUAUUUCAAGAAAUAGAAUUCAAAAGGCAUGGGAACGAGGGCCUUGGGUUUCAUUUUGUUUUGUAGGAAUUGGGAAAAAUACACGGACAGACAAAGGGAGCAGUCAUUAUAAUGCUGUGAAGCUGGUCGGAGAUACCCUGCCCAUUUGUAGCUUAGACUCCUGGGGUUUUGUUCAUGUCUUUUAUGUAUCCCACUUUUUCAUGCAGCAGAUGUACAUAUGAUGAGAUGAAAACAACAGCAAAAAUUGCUGUCUCAUAAGAGAAAUAGUCAUACAUAGUUGGUUAGGCCUCCUGUCCAUUAACUUAAUAAUGAAUUUUAUGAAAAUUGAUUAUCUCAUUGGAAUUACAUAGAUAUUGGAAAACAUUACUCCAGCCCCACCAUCCCAACCAUUUACUUAGUUCAUCAGUAAAAGCUGGAUUUUCCAUUUGUUCUUGAGAUUCAAAUUAAGGCAACAAGUUGCUCAUUCUAUAUUAUCUAUGUAAUCCUGUAAAAGUGAAGGGCGUUUAGAUGUGGAAAAACCUUACUCCUGCCGCAACACCUCAAACAGAUUGUGAUCAGACAAGACUUAGUUCAUCAUUAGCGGUAGUUGGAGCUUCCAUUUGUUCUAGAGAUUCAAAGGCAGCAAGCUGCUUCCUCAGUGCUACUAAUUCUUCCCCGGCAUUGCAUAUGUAGCCUGAGGCUCGUCUGCCAGACAAAGUUGCUCCUUCCAUACUAUCUAUGUAAUCCUGUGAGAGUGAAACCAUUUAGAAGACAUCUCUUUUUUUUUUUCAAUAUUUGGAAUGAAACAAUUAUAUACAGUUACCUGUUUUGUAUAUGAGCUGGCGAGGAAGAAGUUCUUCAUUGGUAUCUUUUGAUCAGGUCUGAAGGGGUCUUUACCAGGUCCCUCACCUCACAAAGAUUGCCGGAUUUUGACGACAGAUAACCAAAUAACUUCUAAACCUUGGGAUGAUGGAAUUAGAGCUAAAACCUAAUAAAAGGAACCGUGAAUGGAUAGUAUGGAUUCAUGUAUAUUAUCCAGAAAGUUGCAUGACCGUUUGUGGUACUCAGGUCACUAAAAAACGUGAGAUAAACAUCUAGGAUAAGAAAAGCAAAAAAGCGUAACCUAAUAUGUAUUAUAUGAAUUGAAGGUGUCACUGAACACUACUAACCUGCUUUGCCACUCUCCUUAUGAUUUCAUCAUUUGGUAAGGGCAUAUAAGGAUCUCCAGGCGUCAAAACGCAUCUGAAAGAUAAUAUGGUUAUAGGAAGCAAGAUGGAAUACAAAGACACUUGGCAAAAGGAAGUCAAUCAGAUUCCAUGCACAAAAAAUAACUAAAAAUGACGAGGAUAAGAAAUGUUUCUUACUGGAGAAAUGAACCUUGCCCUUCUCUGUAGUAGUAUUCUGGUGAAGUGAGUGCUAGAUCUGCAAAGCAAGAGAAAUCUGCAUCUGGAGUAUAUAAAAGGUUAUCUAACCCCACAGCUUGCCUCAAUUGCCUACAUGUUCAAUACAAGGAUCCGUUAAAAAAUGGAAAUUUCUUCAAUGCAUUAGUAAAGGGGAGUGAAGUGAAAGCUGAUUUCUUAGGCCUUCACAGAGCAUCUUGUGUUUGACAGCAAGCAUUAAAGAAUAAACUCAAAGUCAAUGCUUCUAACAGAUGAUAUAAACAACAAAUUUACAAAUAUCAGGUCAUUGCAUUAGCUCCAUGCCUCCGUCAGAGCGAACAUUAAUAGAUGCGUAAAAAAUAAAUAAGAGCGAUAUGUGAAACAAUUUACCUUAGACAUGGCAAGUCCUUUGACAAAUGUUUCCCCGUUAGCAGAUUUAUCAUAAUGCAUCUCUCUGCAUCCCCACCUAAGAUGGAACCUGUUCUCACAAGAACAGAUUCCAAGGUUGGGAAAAUCAAUUGAUCAUCGGAGAAAACAAACAGGAUUAACAAAUCACUACAAUGGUGUGAACCUGUAAAUACAAACGUACCUGCCCCCUUUAUCUGUGAUAUAUUUUCUUAUUGGCCCACUCAAAUAAACAUCCGGAGAACCCUUGAGCAUCUGCAAUAGGGAAGCCUCGGUCUUAGUUGCAAACAGUGCAAAUAUAGUAUGCAUACAACGAGCAAUGAUGUUAUCACAAUCAAUAAACCCAAGGGCAAACGCAACAGGAUCUUACAUUCUUUGGAUACUCAUCCAUGUACCACCCUUGGACAAAAACCAAUCAGAGAAGCUUAUCUGUAAGAAGAAAUGAAGUUUGAGGUAAAAUAAAAAUUUGUAGGAACAGGGAUUGAAAUUCAACAAACAAGAAAAUAUGUUGUUUGUUGAAAUUCAACAAACAACAAACAAGGCUCCAUCAGGAUCAAGAAGUGCCUUUACAACAGGACUCAGCGCAAGAGCAAUAGCAUUUCUUGAUUUAUCAUAAGUCUGCACUUGAGCAAUAUACGAGGCAAAGUACAUCAAAAGAGAAUCCAAAAGAGGCAAGAAGCUUCAACAUGAAAAAAGGAGUACUGCCUCGUCAUACUGCUUUGCAAUCACAGUGCAAAAGAUAACAUCAACAAAAUCAAAAUCGAGCAUAAAUCCGUAUGCACUACCUUAAGCUGAUUUGUAGACAAAAAUGCACGAAUCCCAUGUAAUGGAGCUCCAAUCGGAAACCGGAAAUCAAGUUCUGGAGUUGAAAAUCAAAAUCAUGAAUCAAAUCAGAGUUAUUAUUGAAUUAGACAAUCCAUAAACCAAUAGAAGGUGAUGUCAAACCAUCAAGCAUAACUAUUAGUUGUUUUAAGUGAUCAAGAAAUAACUGUACCACCAAUUUCACCACCCUUAUUUACAAAUUUAUGAGUAUGAUCCUUCAUGAGUAAAUUUUCGUCCGCACCGACCUGUCGACAUCCAUGAAAAACUAUCAGAUCAUAAACACAUGUUCCAGUUAAAGAGGAUCUAUGAUUCUGAUCCAUCAUGUUAUUUGAACAACAUUUUCGGAUUUUCUUACAACCCUAAGCUAUUAUCAGUUAUCAUCGCUACAAAUGAUAUGGUCAAGAGGAAUGAUAGUUCUUGUUUCAAGAAUCUCAAAUCGUAAUUCUUUUGCAUGGCUUCUGUGCUUUUAUAAUCAUUCAAACACGCAUAUCCACAACUAAGCAAGCUUUACCUUUUUUGUCAAUCGGAACAGAUUAUUGCAGCAUCCAAAGAAAAUGUGCAGGCUGAUUUCAAUAUGGUUUCCAUGUUUACCGACAAAUGAAGCCACUUUACCACCAAUAAAAGACCUCAACUCAUAUAUAUCCACCUGGAAGAAAGGAAAAUUUAAAAAAAAGGAACUUCUAAUUUCUUUCACCAUCAACAAAAUCAGAAAAACACAUACUAAUUCAAAAUGAAAUAAAGUUUGUGAAUUGAAAUAAUGCCAACUCCUAAGAAAAAUUAUGACUGCUGAUAUUUUUUCCGAAAUGCUGAUAAAAGCUUCUGCUAUUUACUUUGAAAAAAUUGAGGUUAGAAGCCUAUUUACUUGAAAUUUUGAGUUUAGGCAAGAGGAUGAAUGGUAAAAGUGAAACAUUUUAGGGAAAAAUGUACGUCAGUGGCCAAUGAAAGCAUUAAGAAGAUUGAAAUCUAAAUGAGCAAAACCUCAUGGCCUUGAUCCAACAAUUCCACUGCUGUUGACAUGCCUGCAAGCCCAGCUCCAAUAAUAGCCACUUUCAGCUUUGGUCCUCUAUAAUGUUCCGGUUCUGGUGGAAACAAUUAAACAAACCCUUGGGAGCUGCCAAGUAUACCAUCCAAUUAUCCACAGCGAUAAUGGAAAUAUAUAUGUGUUUGAAAGUACUAAAUUCCUAAACAUGACAUGUAUCCAAAAAGUGACGCAAAGCAGAAUUGCGGAAGCAUUUCAAUUCCCAAUAAAUUUCAAGAAUACAAAAUACUCGGUCUGUUCUUUCAAUUCCUUCAAUAAAAUUUCCACUAGAGGCUACGCAAGCCACUCAAUAACACUCCAAAGCCAGAUUUUAAACGUUAUCUUUAUCUUUAACUCCAAUCCAUAAACAAUUCUGCCACAAAUUCAAUCCAAAAUUGUUCAAGUGCACCGCCAAUUCUCCAUCAAUUCCCUCAAAAAUUCAUAAUUGGCAAACACUACAAACCCAAAAGAGCUUCCAGCAAUAAACGCAUAAAAAUCCACCAAGCAACAUAAAACAAAAUACCCAGAAACCAGAAAAGCCAAAAGAUCAAUGCUUGGCAAACAAGCAAAUCAAAUAAAACAAAAAGAAGUGGAAUUUACCCUUAACGCUCAUAUCAGAAACAUUAGUGUCCAAAGAAGCCCGUACACGGAAUCUUGGACCCUUCACUUGAACCCGAGACCAUCUAACGCCAGUAACUGAAGUUGCAGGAAACAGAACUGAAGAACCCAUAUUGCAAAUCCUGAGCUGAAAUCAAAGAAAUUCAAUUGGAACUCAAUUCAGCUCAACCGAGCGGAGCUCUCUUUUGCUUCAAUAACAAAGUGUUUUUCUUUCAUAUCAACAAAGAUUUGUCAACAUCAACAAAAUUUAACUAAGAAUCUAACAAGAUGCUAAGGAAGAGAGUUUUGUCAGGGAACUGUUUCGGUGUGGUUGGCCAAGUGCUUCUUUGUUUGUUUUUUUUUUUUUCUUUUUUUGCCCUUUUCAUUAAUACACAACAGUAGUACUCGUGAAGAGCACAAAAUGUUGGUGACUUUGUCACUAACGAUACCAAAGUGGAGUGACCAGAGCAACCAACUAAAUUUUAAAGAGAGGGAAUGAUAAGUAAUAUUUUCUUUGGGUGAUUAAUUAAUUUAUUAUCAAAUAAUUUUAUUUAUUUAUUUAAACGACAUCCUUAUCUUUGUACAAGGCAGCUGAAAGAUGACGAUGUUGUGUUGUCACAUAUUUUUGGGCCGACCGUUUCUUGUUUCGGCUUAAAUGAGGCUUUUGUAAUUUUGUACUAAAAAGUGGCAUUGGCUGGAUGGCCAAACUGCAGAGUUCAAGUCUACAAUAGAGAAUCGAAAUUUACCUUUGUAAAUGUUCAUAAGUAUUUACCACAGAUUUUUAAGUUAUUCUUGAUAGAUCCCCUACCACAUACGCUAUAAUAUUUCUCUCCUUUUAAUUUAAAAGUAAAUCAUGCAUAAUAACGGGUUUGUAAAGAAAUGAAAUUUCUGUUAAUUAACUGUCAAAAAAAAAAAGAUGGAUUAAGCUAAAGAAGUUAUUAUAGAGUAAGUCGAGUACUUGACAAUCAAAGUAAUUUUACUCGAGGUUGAGUAAGGAUAGUACGAUACUUUCUCAAGUUUUCUGAGGACAUUCAUGUGACAUUGGACUAUUGACUAUAGUUAGAGAGAAGUCCAAGGAUGUAAGUGAUGAUGAUAGAUUCACAAUUCUUUUGAAGAAAAUAUUUUAUAUAAACUUAAUUAUAUGGUAUAAAAUGAUUGGCCUCAAUAAAUUAAAAAAUAAUACACGCCUGGAUCAUGCAAUAUUUUCAACCAAAUAAUUUACACGCAAAAUUAAACUUUAUGAGUACAUUUAUUUGCUAGCAGAAACUCUGCCAAAUUUUCCGAAAUGUGAAAGUGAACACUUUUAACAACGGCACAAAAUGCAUGUGAUAAGUUUUUGUUAGAAUUUGUUUUCUUCUUUGUUUUGAUUUACGCGACAGAUAGUUGUAAAGCGUAAAAUUUUAAAAUCCGCAACAAAACAAAAACUUACAUGGGUUGGCCGCACCUUUCGUGCCUGCUUUCGUCUAAUAGUAUUUGAUACGUACAUCAAUAUAAUAUCAUGGACAUUGAAUUUCAAAUUAACAGUUGGUUUUAUAAUAAAAAUCUUUAUGUUAUAUUACGUACAUCAAUAUAAUAUAAAUUUGUUAUAUAUAUUUUUUUUUCUGUAACCAAUGCUUUCAAAAACUUUAUAUUUGUAUGUUUGAACAAUUUUUUUUUGCAUUCUAUUUAUAUACGGUAUCAUUUAUGUUUACAUAAAUUUUCAUAUCUACCCAAAUUAAGUAUUAAAUACACAGACACUUUGUUAAGACUCGUGUAAUAAUUAAUCUUAAUAAUUUCUUAUACAAAUACAAUCCUUUAUCUAAGACCAGCAACGUCACUCAUCAUAAUUUUUCACCAAAUAUUGUAAAGUUGUUGUAGUAGUAUAGUUAUCAUGGACAUUGAAUUUCUAGUAUCAGACAAUGAUAUUAUAUUGAAUGUAGUGCUUCAAUGAAUUUUAUUACUAUAUACUAAAAUACUCAACGAUCUUCAUUAAAAAAAAAAAAAAUUGCAUGAUUAGAAUGAUUAAAGUUCAUUUAAUGACGAGUUUCAUCAUUGACUGUGUCGAAACACAACAGCAAUCCACAAUACACUUAACACGACAAUCAUGCAUGAAUCUUCCACCAUUAAACCUGAAAUCAUAAAAUGAAAGAAACAAGAUGAGGGUUGUUUUACCGUCUAAAAGCCGAUUCGAAAUACUAAUAAUAAUAAUAAUAAUAGACCUUUGUUAAUAGUUACUACUAGUGGUCACUGCCUUGUCCAUCUUCCUUCUCUGUAUCAUCGUCCUCUUCCAAGCCGCUGUCAUCUGACCAAACCCCAGCAACCAUCCUGGGAAAACUCGCCUCCUUGUUUUAGGAGCAGGAGCAGGAGCAGGAGGAGGAAAUUAAGUUAGGGAUUUGGAGUGAGAGUGAAGGUGGAGAAAAAGCAAGAGAGCGAAAAAGCUGAUUGUUGAGAAAUAUAUACCUUUCGUAUGGUUGUGUUAAGGUCGUCCUUCCAAUCCCAACAUGCUUCACCCAGCCGCUGCACUUUGUGUAAUUUGGGUGUACUUAAUUUUCCUGCAGAGAAAAUCUUCAUAUCGGGGCAAUCAUCCACCACUAAUCUUUCCAAAGAUAGGAAAUUGAAAGCACAAUUGCCAGAGCAGAAGCUUGUCAGACUUUUUAAGUGUAAAAGCUUCAACUCUUUCAAUUCUCUGAAAGUAAUAACCUCAUCUUUUGCUACAACAUCAUCCACCAGUACUAUUUCUGUUAAACCUGAAAUCAUAAAAUGAAAGAAACAAGAUGAGGGUUGUUUUACCGUCUAAAAGCCGAUUCGAAAUACUAAUAAUAAUAAUAAUAAUAGACCUUUGUUAAUAGUUACUACUAGUGGUCACUGCCUUGUCCAUCUUCCUUCUCUGUAUCAUCGUCCUCUUCCAAGCCGCUGUCAUCUGACCAAAAACUCGCCUACUUCUUUUAGGAGCAGGAGCAGGAGGAGGAAAUUGAGUUAGGGAUUUGGAGUGAGAGUGAAAGUGGAGAAAAAACAAGAGAGGAAAAAAGCUAAUUGUUGAGAAAUAUAUACCUUUCGUAUGGUUGUGUUAAGGUCGUCCUUCCAAUCCCAACAUGCUUCACCCCGCCGCUGCACUUUGUGUAAUUUGGGUGUACUUAAUUUUCCUUCAGAGAAAAUCUUCAUAUUGGGGCAAUUAUCCACCACUAAUCUUUCCAAAAAUGGGAACUUGAAAGCACAAUUGCCAGAGCAGAAGCUUGUCAGGUUUUUUAAGUGUAAAAGCUUCAACUCCUUCAAUUCUCUGAAAGUAAUAACCUCCUCUUGUGCUACAACAUCAUCCACCAGUACUAUUUCUGUUAUCUCAUCGCAUGAUUCUAUCUCCAUAUAUCUAAGUCGCACCAGAGUCUUUGCAAUUGAGGGUGUUAAUACGAUUUUCAAGCCUUCGCAACACGAUACCACCAGAUUUGCAAGAUUCUGAAAGGAUGUCGAGGAUGGCACUAGAUUGACCAAACGGUCACACCCCAUUACACGUAGAAUAACCAAGUUGUUCGUAACAGAGGACUCCUCUAUCAAAAUGUGUUCCAGUGGAUAUUUUGCUUCUCUUAUUUCUACCCCCAUCCCAUUUUCAACCUUCUCAUACAGCAACCAAGCACCAUAUCCUCCUAUUUGGAGGACUUUCAUCGUGUGAAGUCUCUGGAGGAAGUCAAAAAGUGAUAAAAUAGUCCGCUCAUCACCCAAUGUCACAUAAAGAUAUUUUAGUUUGCAAAGCAAGCCUUCAGAAAAUAGAUAUUUAUUUGUUACUAAGUGCUCUGCAUCAAUAUCCAACUCUUCCAAAUUAGGGAAUACCUGGGAGAUCAAUCAGAACCCCAAAAAAAAAAAAAAAAUACAAGAUGAAUCAAUUGAUGAGAAAUAUAAGUUACCACUAAUUUAUAAAAUAUAUUUUAUUCAAUAAAUCUUAACCUUAAAAAAAAUAGUAAUAAUAAUACGCCUAACAUCUAGAAUAAUUAUGAAUGAAUAAAAUUCACAGUACAUACUUAAGAAUUGAAAAUUUGAUUAUAAAAUUCUUGUACGUACCCUUUCCGUCAAGAUAUUAGUAGUUCUUUUGUAUCUCGCCAUGAAUUCAGGACAUCCAGAUAUCAUUAAUUCUUUCAAGGAUGGAAAUUCAAGAAUAUCAAGAUCUCCAGUGCAGAAGCUUGUGAACUUUUCAAGACCAGACAUCCUCAGAUAUUGCAACUGGGGAAACGUUACAAUAUUAUUCUUCAUUUCUUCUUGGUUGUCCACGACUAUUAACUCUUCCAGGACAGGACAUCCGGCUAUCUCAAUGCUUUGGAGUCGAACAAAGCUACUAACAGUAGAAGAUGAAAAUAGACAUCUUAAAUUCAUACAUCGGUGCAGGGUCAAGCGCGUUAAAUUCUGAAUACCACAAGACAUGACUGUAACUUGGAUCGGCCAAAUCCUCUCAACAUUUAUUGAAUCCAACGUCAACUUCUCUAACUCUGGUAACCGAUCCUGCUCGAUCAAAAAAUUAACUUGUUAAUUGCAAGUAAACGAUCAUUGAUUAUAAAAUUCUUGUACGUACCCUUUCUGUCAAGAUAUUAGUAGUUCUUUUGUAUCUCGCCAUGAAUUCAUGACAUGCAGAUAUCCAUAAUUCUUUCAAGGAUGGAAAUUCAAGAAUAUCAAGAUCUCCAGUGCAGAAGCUUGUGAACUUUUCAAGAUGAGACAUCUUCAGAUAUUGCAACUGGGGAAACGUUACAAUAUUAUUCUUCAUUUCUUCUUGGUUGUCCACGACUAUUAACUCUUCCAAGACAGGACAUCUGACUAUCCCAAUGCGUUGGAGUCGAACCAAGCUACUAACAGUAGCAGAUGAAAAUAGACAUCUUAAAUUCUCACAGUCCCACAAGGUCAAGUGUGUUAAAUUCUGAAUACCACAAGACAUGACUGUAACUUGGUUUUGCCAAAUCCUCUCAACAUUUAUUGAAUGCAACUCCAACUUCUCUAACUCUGGUAACCGAACCUGCUCGAUCAAAAAAUUAACUCGUUAAUUACAAGCAACAAUGAUUUCUGUUGAUGGACAAAUCAAUAAAAUUACUCUUUCUCUGGUUAUAGUUCUUUUCAGUUUUUCAUACAAACAACCGUUAAUCAAGUUUUCCAAAUUAUUCCUUACUAAAUGUAUAGAUUUAGACGGCGGCUAAUAUAAUUCAUAUUGUAAAUAUUCUUUGAUUGUAACGAAUUUUGUAAUAUUAAAUUUUGGUUGAUUCGCAAUAGGACCUACAAUCCAGCGCGAGCAGUUCUCGGGGAUUUAACUACUGGCACCUCGAUUAUAUAAAAAUUUGGAAUAUUUUCAAAGGAAAUCACAUAAUUCCCCCUUGCAAAUAGUAAUUAUCAUCAAUUGCCGCGGGUUCACAUAUAAUUCUAAGAAAUUAGGCGAGAAGAGUCUCAUCAACAAUCAAUCAGCAGAUAUCACGUUUGGCAGAUCAUCAUGAUUUCCUCAGAUGCUAGAGAAUCAACGUGAUUUCCGCUCAUGCAGGAGUGGACACAUUAUCUUAGAGCAUCCCUCACUGAGAUCUUUUAAAAAAUUUAUAUUAUAAAGUGAACAACAUAUUUAGUAUAGAUUUAGACGACGGCUAAUAUAAUUUAUAUGUAUUCUAAUGACGUAUAUUAAAGAAAAUGACUAACCAUAAUUUCAAUCAACUUAUUAUUCUAUAUAUAUAUAUAAUAUUCAGUGAUUACAACAUAUUUAGUAUUCCAUAACAUGAUGUUUAUAAUAAUAAUUAUUAUUAAUUCACUUAUUGUGUCAAGAACCUUUUCUUUCUCUAAGAAUGAAUUUGUUACACCCUACUAUACUACGGAUGAAAAAUUUAGAAUAAUUGUGAAAUAUAAUUAUUAAUCAAUCUUUGACAGAAUUGCUACCAAACAGGAAUAUAACAAAGAAAAAAAAACAAAAAUUAUAGAGAAUUAAUAAGACGAUUGACUUAUCAAUAACUGACCUUCUCAGUGAAAAGUGUAUUAGAAAUUUGGACAUUGUCCUCCAAAAUGAUUUCAUGUGACCGCAAAUCAUUAGCUGAUUCCUCCUGUCUCUGCUAACAUUGCAGGUGUAUUGAUUUUAGAGUGUAAGCUUAAUUGUGAGCACAACCUUAAUGCAUAGAUACAAGAUCUUUAAAAAUUAGUACAAUAAACUUAGCACUAAAUCUGAAUUUGAUAUUUUGGAUUCCAUGAUUAAGAUUUUUUUUAAAUGAAAAUUUAAUAGAGUUAAUUUAAAAAUAAAAAUUAAAUAUGAAAAAUUAGACUUGCAAUUAUGGAUUUAAUUUUGAUAAAUAAUGAAUGUUCUCUUAAUAUUUUUUUUUAAAAGGUAAAAGAGCGUACAAAGCCCAAAUUCAUUUUUUUAGUCCCUUACUGUCCCAUGAUUCAAACUUGGGUGGUUGUAGGAGGACUGAAAAUAUAUAAGACAGUUAACUUCACUUUUUUUUUUUUUUUUUUUUUGAGAGAAAAGAGAAGAAGGAUAUUACAAAGCAUGAAGCUCGUGCAAUAUAAGGGCAAUGAUGGUUUUUUCUUUAAAUUAAAAUGGUAAGAUUUUGAAGCUAAAAGAUUAAAAUAUUAAUUAAAUUGCAAACAUUAAAGAUUUUUUUUUUCAAAUGGUUGCUUUGAAAAUGAGAAUAAUAUUAAUAUUUGAAGACUUUUCAAAAUAAAUUACUGUGAUAGAUGCACUAGAAAUUUCUAGCUUUAGUCUAAUGUAUAAAUUGACAAAACGAUAUUAGAAUCCCAGGUGAAAAGAACCCUCUCAUACCAAUUAUUUAAAUUAGGAAUGAUCAUACCUCUGACUCUGCCGAACUGAGGGCGGGGUCUAAACCCCUCAUACGGAGACGCUUGAGAUGGGAAGAGCCCACUUUGACUAAUUCAUUACGAAUAUAAUCGACAUCUUGCUCUUGCAAUCCACGUAAUUCAAGGUCUUCAAUUCUCUGCAGUUGCACGAUCAGCGAAUCCUUCAAGCAAAUCUUGUCAUUGAGGUCGAGACUGAAUUCACGACACCAACUGCCGUUGCUCUCCUCAUCAUCUCCAAUGCGUAUGCUGUACCUUUCCAGCUUCUCCAAGAGCAGGCCUCUGGGCAGAGUGCUGACGUCAUAGACGUGUAAUUCCAAAGAGGUCAAGUUGGGCAAAUGCUUCAACUCCUCAAGGCUUGCAUUCUUAACCCCUCCCACCUCCAUCUCCCAGUAACGAAAGCUUUGAUCUAUAUAUAGUUCUUCUAAAUGUGAUAAUUUUGACAGUAUAUUUGGUGGAAUAACUUCUAGAUAGCAACAAUCCCUCAAAUCAAGCAACUUUAGCCAAGUCAAUUCACCUACUUGUACCGGCAACUUCUUAAUUGUAGAACCUCUUAAGCGAAGGAUUUCUAGUUUCUUCAAGUCUCCUACAACACUUAGAUCAGGCAAGCCGCAGUAACACAAACUCAGUGUUCGAAGGUUUGACAGGAGACCAAGUGAUGAAGGCAGUGACUGUAGAUACAUGUAAGUCAAGUUUACAACUCUGACCUCGAUCAUCCUCUCGAAAAAGUUGUUUGGAAUUGUUAAUGAUGAAGGUUCACGACCACCACCACGUAGAAAAAGAAUUUCGAGUUGAGGACAUUCCAGUACUUCAGGAAGCAAAUUAGUCUUGAUAUCAUGUAAGACGAUUGAAGUGCAAUGCUUUAUUGCACUUCCGUCUGACCAUUCCCUGCAACCAUCAACCUGCUCAUCUGUAGCAGUAAACACAUUUCGUUCAGUAGAUGCAAUUGAUAUGGCGACAUCGCGAACUACAUCAUGCAUAGAAAACAACUCUUCAUCCAAGAAGCUUUCAUGGUCAAGCAACAUACAAGAAGCUUUGAGUGUGCGCACCAAUGUAUGUACUCGAUUUCGUGCUUCUUCAAUCUUAUUCACACCUUGAAAUAAACCCAAUCCCAUACCACACAUUAACAAGUCAUCAAUAGAUGCUAUGGCUGUAUAUCCUAUUAGCAAAAAGAUGUUCUUGAGAUCAUCCCUUCCUAGUUUAUUGUAGCUCAACUCGAUAGCUUUAAAUGCGGCUGGCUGUACAUCCUUAAAAUUCGAUGAAGAAGGCCUUCUUAGCUGUUCCAAUGCAUCCUUCCAUUCACGUAUGCUCUUGCUCCUUAAUGCCCUUGCAACCGUCACAAUGGAAACUGGUAGACCUGCACAUUCCUUUGCCACAUUCCUUGCCACCUCUUCCAAUUCACUACCUUCAACAUAAUCACCUGCCAUCUUCUUGAAUAGACUCCAAGCUUCUUCUUCGUUUAAAACACCAACUGGGAAAUUUGUUCGACAAUCCAUCUUCUCAGACAAUACAUUUAGACUUCUGGCCGUCAACAAUACUUUACAACCAUCUCCAAGAGGAAUUCGGACAUUCCCCAAAUUAAGAUUUUCCCAAAUGUUGUCUAAAACUAUCAGGAUCUUCUUCACUUUUUUUAUACCUUCACAUAACCUGCCUGCCCUUCCUUCAUUACUUUCCUCAUGCAACUUCAGGCCUAAUUUAUCUGCGAUUACUCCUUGAAUCUUUCGUAUGUCUUGCUUCUGAGACACCUCCACAAAAACCACCUGAUCAAAGAGUUUGUCACUCUUGACUUUCCUAGCAACUUCUUCGGCCAGCGUCGUCUUUCCGAUUCCGCCCAUUCCAUAAAUCCCAAGCAUGUUGACAUCGCGAUCUUCUAGUGCACUGAGUAUACUCCUCAAAGUGGACAAUCUUGAUUCAAAGGGCUCGUAGUCUUUGUUAGGGAUAAGCCGAAUAUCCUCUGGAGCAGUACGGUAGGAAAUUCUAUCAAAUUUUCCAUCUCCUCGGACUUUGACAACAGCCUCCUUCUGCCUCCCUGCAUCCUUGCUAAGUUCACGGCGGGUCUUCAAAUUAGGACAUAAUCCCCCGAAACAACGCUCACUUGCAGUGGCUUUGUCUGUAACUUUCUCUGCCUCAACAAUGACAUUGUUCGCCCCUGCAAGCCAAUUCUCAACGUUCUCAUAAAUCUUUUCCCCGUUUAGUUCAGCCUCAUUAACCUGCCUCAACAAUGACUCCCUCUCAUACUUCAGAUUGUCAACUUCAGUCUUGAGAUUCUGUAAGUUGCUCGUGUACUUACUCUCACGCAAAUAGCUAAUUUCGCGAUAUGCGGGAGGAGCCAAGCACUUCACAACUUCCACAACAACAGUAAGAAUGAUUUCAGCCAUCUUCAAUCCUUUGUCCUUGUCUCUCUAUCUCUCUUUUUCUGAAGUUUUGAAAAACAAUUGACUAUUUGGGAAGCACACUGAGUGAUUGAACACAAGUGACCACAACAAGAUGGAACAAAAUAAAAAGGCAAAAAAAUACAAAGAGUGGAUGGAGAAUAAAACAGAGACAGCGGCACAGCUGGACACAACUAGAUAGAGAACAGAGGAAAACCAAAUAACAAGACUUAAGAUUACAACAAACAGAGGCCAAGUAUUGUUGAGAUCAGAAGACGGAAAAUUCAAAAGAGUUGAUGGCAGAUGCUGAAUAACAAGACAACAAUGAACGCAAUAAACAGAAGCAAAGUGUGUUUGUGAUCGACAGACGGAAGUAACGAAAGCGGUUGUUGAUUGAAAAUGAAUGAAUGCAAGGAAAGACUGAUAUUGAAAAUUGAUGUCAAUAGCGAAGGAAUAAUUGAACUUUCGCUUAAUUAUUGUUUGUGGCCUUCUUUUACUUUUUAUUUGUGGGUCAUGUCUUUUGGAACUAAUCAUCUUAGGUUAUCCCUUAUAGCUUUAAGGCCGGUAAACCGGUGUCCGUUGGAUUAGCAUAUAGAAAUCCAACGGUGGAUAUAUAUACUUGGAGAACAAAAUUCAAGAGCAAAGCGAGUGCUGGGCUGCAGUUUCUUAAGGAGAUUUAUAUGUCCUCCUCAAAAAUAAAUGUUUUAAGGUAGAUAUUUAGACUAUUUUAUCAUAAAAUAAAUGUAAUUAAUUUUCAAUAAAUAUCUUAUAUAAAUAUAUAUUUAUUUUUUUAAUUACUAAUGACCUUUAAAUAUACAUAUAUACAUAUCACUAAUUCAAAAAAUAAAUUGUGAUUAUUUGUUAAUGUAUGCGAUUACUUGUGAUGGUAAACAAAGUAGAUAUGGUAUAUUUUGAAGUUAAAUUAAAAAAAAAACAGAGCUUUUACCAUUACUUGCCUUAUCAUCUUUUAAAUUAGAAUUAUUAUUCUUUUAUUUUUCAAGUUGCCAACUCAUCCGCAUUCUUUUUUAUUGAAUUUGAAGAUCAAUGAUUAUAAAAUUGUGUAAAAAUUUUAAGUCAAAACUUUAAAUUAAAAUAAUCUUUAAAUUAUUGAGAAAUAAUAACUUAGUAUAACAAAUAUUAUAUCCUAUAAUAUGCAGAAGCUGAAGCAGCAAAUUGGGGGCUGGAAAUUGCAGAAAAUGCAGCAUGCAUCCCACUGAUUAUUGAAUCAGAUUGCCAAGACGUGGUGAAUUUAAUCACAAAAAAGAAGAGUAGCAAGGUGGAGAUUUUUUGGACUAUCUCGGAAGUUCAUGAAAGGCUGAAACGUCUGAACCAAGUCACUUGUCAACAUACCCCCAGAAGCUGUAAUAGUAUUGCUCAUACUUUAGCUGGUUUUGCUUUAAAAGUUGUGUAACCUACUAUUUGGUUGGAAACUUGCCCAACCCAUCUGCUGUACUUGUUCUCCUAGUUACACUUUCCUUUCAAAAAAAAAAAAUAUCCUAUACUUUAUUGCUACAAAAUUACGAAACCUUAUAUUAUAUUAUGUUUUCAUAUUUCUCCUUUAUAGUGAAGACCAUACUUCUUUUUUAAUAAAUGUUAAAGUAUUAACUUAAAUUUUUUAACCAACACAGUCGACCCUUAAGCUAUAUAUAUUAUAAUAUCCCUAUUCUCUCACAGAUUAAACCAAUCUGAUCUCAGAGUAAGUUGAUACCAUGAGUUUGCAUUUGCCAUCAAAGGAGCAUCAUUACUAAUUAAUAUAGAUUCGAUCAAUAGGCAUGAUAAUAAAUUUUUUUAUCUACAAACAUUAUUUUUGAAAAUAUUAUAUCUUUAAACUUAACUAAAUAUCUUUUAACCAUAUAUGUACAGUUUGUUUGAUGUCUUUUAAAUAGUGGAGAUUACAACAGAACAGAUGCGAAUUAGUAGUGACGCUUGAGUUCAGAAGAUUGAAGUUAAGAAAAUUAAGGAAAGGGUAAGGAUGUAUUUUCAAAGUGAAUUAUUGAGAGUUCAGAGAUCUUUGAAGAUUACUUCCGUCAAGAGCUGGGUCCCAUACUCUUAUGCCUUUGUCCUCCAAUCAACCAUAAGACAAAUUAUUAUUGAGUGUGAACAGACUUAUUAACCACCAAAUUUUCAAACUUGUGAUCCCUACUGAAUCUGCAUUCCCCUUUACAAAAGUAAAAAAAAAAAGGGCAAAUAACGAAACAAAAUUCUGUUCCUUGACUGCAAGUGCUGUCGGCAUUUUCAGACUUGGAAGACCCUUCUACUUGCAAGAUACCACUGAAUUUGUCUUUUUUUUUUAAUUACACUGUAUUAUCUUAUAUUUUAUAAAAAAAUUUAAUAAAUAUUAUAAAUUAUAAAUUUUUAUAUUUAAUAUUCUCAAGAUAAAUUAUCAAACAAAUGAUUCAUUUACUAUUUUUUCCUUUAAAUUUUUGUUAUUAAGAAGAUUUUUGGAUAUUGAACGUGAAGGGCUCAACUGAUCGCUAAUUUUACAGCAAUUGCCCUUUUCUUUCUCCCCAAAUUGUUUUGAAAAAUAUCCAGACUCAUUCAGCGAAGUAUCCGAGGCCAAAUGGCUAAAAGAUGGGACACCCACAUGUGCUUCUAAUUACAAAAUCUAAAGUUAGGGGACCAUAACGUACAUUUAAUAUAAUUUAUGAUAGGGGUCCGCCUAUGUUAUCACUGUACAACAGGUUUUGUCUUUUCUGACUCAAUUGCUGUAAACGUUUGCUGAGCCCCUUGUACUCGAUAUUAUUUACUAUUUAUUUAUAAGUAUUAUAAACAUUUCUGCUUACAUAUUAUAUAAAAAUUUAAUUUGUUUCCUUACACUCUUGUUCAUUUACUAUUUUUUUGUAGUAUCAAAAGAAUUUAUAUUUACAACCAUGAUAUAUUAAUUAUCAUACCACUCUAAUAUUAAUAAAAAGACAAAGACAUCCUUAAAUUAAAACAAAAAAAAAUACUUUCUUCUUUUGAGGAAUUACGGUAUCUCAUCUUCCACCACUCAUCCUCAACAAAAUUUUUAAGGAUAUAACCAUUCAUCUUCUUUAUAAUAUCAUAUCACAAUAAUUAAUACUUUCAUGACAAAAUAAAAAAUAAAUUCCCAUAGAAUACAUUCCUCUCCACUAUUAAUUUCUCUUCAUCAGUAACCUUUAUCGACAAUUAAAACCACCAUUAGACUCAUCAUAAAGAGAGAGUAAGAGAAAGGAAGAAGAAACGAGAAAAAAUAUAUGAACCUUUUAUAAUUUUAUAGUGCGUUCACUAAACGAGAAUCGAAAUGAGGUGAAAUCAAAAUGAGAAAUUAAAAUCAAAAUAAGUUAUUUACUGGAACUAUAUAAAUGGUAAUUGAAAUAAGUUGUAUGGUCAUUAAUGUGUUUAUCUCGUCUUAGAAUCAAAAUUGGAAUGAGUUAAAUUAUAAUAAAUUACUAUAAAAUCAUUAAUUAAUUUUUAUCAUAAUUAUUAUUUUAUAUUUUUAAUUAUUGUGAUUAUUAUUAUUAUUAUUCCAAAAAAUAAUUAUUAUUAAUAUUAUUGUUAAUUAUUAUUAACCAUUAAACUAAAAAGUUACUAUUAAUUAUUGUUAAUAUAUUAAUUAAUUAUAAUACUUUUUAUUGUUGUUAAUAAUAAUAACUUUAUGAUUGAGUGUGAACAGUCCGACUUAUUGAUCACCAAAUUUUUAAAUUUGUGAUCCUCAUUGAAUCUGCGUUCCCCUUUGCAAAAGUGAAAAAAAAAAAAAAAUUGCAAAUAAUGAAACAAAAUUGUCGGCAUUUUCAGACAUGUAAGACCCUUCAACUUGCUUUCGAAGAUGGAAAAUGCUACUCAGCGAGAAUGCCGAGAGAAACGGCAUACAGUUUGUCUCGGCCCCACUCCACGUGAAGACUUUCUCUUUUCACAUUUUUUACGCGUUUCUCUUUUCUCUCCCCCCACGUGAACACCUUUGCCUUUUGCUCGUUCAGGUGAAAGUUUAGAAUUUUGAUCUUAUUUCACAAAGCUAAUUUUUUUAUCACAAGCAGGAGAGAAACGGCAUUUCUUAGCAGUAGUUCAUCACUGUAGUAGCGAGCGAGUGAGGAACAAAAUUACCAACAAUUCUAAAAAAAAAAAUUAUAAAAAAUGAUCACAUGCUAUAAUUAAUCAUGACAAUUGACAACAUUACUCCCACCGAGCAAAAGUUAACUGCAUCUUCUCCCACAUUUAAAAAAAAAAUUAUAUUAUAUAACCCACCAAAGUAUAAGGAGUCUUUCCUUAUAAAAAUUAAUAAAUUACUCUUUAUAUUAAAAAAUUAAAAUUUAAAAUGAAAAUGAUUGAUCAUCAAUUAUUAUUAUUAUUAAAUAAUUAUUUUAAAUAAUAAUAAUCACAAUUAUUAUAACAAACAACAACAAUAAUUAACUAAUGUCAUUUUAAUAACUUAUAACAAUUCAUUUUUUAUUUCAAGAUAAAGUAACCAUAUCAAUAAUAAUAUAUGUCAUUUCGAUUCUAAUUUUUACAGGUAAAGUAAAUAAUUUAUUCUGAUUUUUAUUUUUUAUUUUAUUUUAUUCUAUUCUAAUUCCAUUUGAUUCUGAUUCCAACCAAUUCUAAUUACCGAUUAAAAAUUACAUUGUUACUACUUUAAUAAUAACUAAUGAUUCUCCUCACAAUUCUUAUAGGAUUAUCCUUAUUUUAAAAUAUAUUUUUUAUUCGUGUUUAUUAUAAAUUAAUUAAAUUAUAUCAAUGAAAAUUAAAUAAAAAUUUAAGUAAUAAAAAUGAAAAAAUAUAUGUUUUGGUUUGAAUAAAAAAUUAAUAAUAAAAUAUUUUUCUUAUAUAUUUUAAAUAUUUUUAUUAUAAUAAAUAUUUAUUUUAUAUUCUCAAAAUAAAUUAUUAAGUAAACGAUUCAUUAACUCAUUUUUUUUCCUUUAAAUUUUUGUUAUUAAGAAGAUUUUUGGAUAUUGGCCGUGAAGGGCUCAACUGAUCAUCGCUAAUUUCACAGCAAUUGCCUUUUCUUUUUUUCUUUUUUUUUAAUUGUUUUGAAAAAAUAUCCAGACUCAUUCUGCAAAGUACCUGAGGCCCGCCAAAGCGCCGAAAGUUAGGACACCCACAUGUGCUUUUAUUUACAAAAUCUAAAGUUAGGGGGGGUGUCCAUAACGUACAUUUAAUAUAAUUGAUGGUUGGGUAAAAGUCCAUUAAAUUUCAAUAUUCUAUUAUUUAUUUUUAUAUUAAAAAAUUAUUAAUGUAUGAAAAUUCUUAAAAGUUAACGGAGAAGGAAGAGAAAAAGAAAAAGUGAAUACAAAAGAAAAUAUAAAGAAAAAAAAUUAAACGAGACAAAAAUAUGUGGCGUGGGUCAUUCAUAUCUUUUGUCAUUUCUUUUAUAGAGGUACAUAGGGUAGAUAUUUUGAAGUGAAAAGCAAAUCCAAAGUUAAUGAAAAAGAAAAAAAGAAAAAGUAUAAAUAAACGGUAUUCGCCUCACUUUCAAACAUCUAGUUAAACAUGAAUUUCCUUUUACCAAAAGUAAAUUUCCUCUCGGAUUGUCCUCAUUACGUCAAACACGAAUGAUGACGACGCUCUGUCCGUUUCUGGCUCUUUGCUUUUCUCUCUCACAUCAUAUUUAACUGUUGGAUCUUUCUACUAUGCAGCUGGUGUAUGCAUGAUUCCUUGUGACAUGACAUACAGUCAAUUAAAUUCUGACAUGCUUGCAAUAAAGACUGUUAAAGUGACCGGUUAUUCCGGUUGAAUUCACAAGAUCUCUUGUUUGUGUGUUUAUGUUCCAAGUUGGCUCUUUGCUUUUCUCUCUCACAUCAUAUUUAAGUGUUUUGGAUGGUGGCCAUAGAUUCCAAUAUUUCCUUCAAGAAAACUACAAAAAAAUGAUCAAAGGCAUCAAUUUCUACACUCUCACCGAGCAAUACUCUUAACCCAGAAGUAAGUGUAUAAACCAACCCCAGUCAGUCCAUCAAUGUCGUCAACCUCAUACAGCAUAAAAAAAAUCUGUGUCCAUUAAACCGCCAUUUAAACCGUCUUUAUUGAGCCAUUAGACUAUUCGUGUCGUCUUCCCAUCUCGUUGUAGUAUUUUGCCGUUCAAAUCUAGUUAUCAAUUGGGGAAAAUGGGGACCAAUCUGCAAGUCUUUAAAAUAGAAAGAAACUUUAAUUGGACAAUAUAUUAUAAGUCAACAUUAUAUAAUUACUUUGAACACUUAUAUAACUCAAUCGUUCGAGGUUGAGUGAGGAUAGUACGAUACUUUCUCAAGUUUUCUGAGGACAUUCACGUGACAUUGGACUAUUGACUAUAGUCAAGAGAGAAGUCCAAGGAUGCAAGUGAUGAUGACAGAUUCACAAUUCUUUUGAAGAAAAUAUUUUAUAUAAACUUAAUUAUAUGGUAUAAAAUGAUUGGCCUUAAUAAAAUUAAAAAAAUAAUAAAAAUAAUACACGCCUGGGUCAUGCAAUAUUUUCAACCAACUAAUUUACACGCAAAAUUAAACUUUAUGAGUACAUUUAUUUGCUAGCAGAAACUCUGCCAAAUUUUCCGAAAUGUGAAAGUGAACACUUUUAACAACGGCACAUUCAAAGUUAAUGUUGAUGCUGCUGUUAAUUUUGAAAGGCAAAAGGCCGGCCUGGGGGUUGUUAUUAGAGACUCAUGCAACAAAGUUAAAGUGGCUGUUGUGAAAUCCACUCUAUUUACAGGGGAUGUAAAGACUGCAGAAGCUGAAGCUGUUGAAUGGGGGUUAGUGGUGGCAAAAAGUGCAGCUUUUCAAUGCAUAAUGGUGGAGUCAGAUUGUCAAGAAGUGAAGUUAAUUAACAACAAAGAGGGCAGUAGGACAGAGGUUAUGUGGGUGAUCUCAGAAAUUCAAAGUCUUAGCAAGGAUUUCCAGAAUUUCAACUGCUAUCACACUCCUAGAUCAUGUAAUACUCAUGCCCAUUCCUUAGCUAAGUUAGCUCUAAGGAACAAUGAAACUGUUGUAUGGCUGGAACCAAUUCCAGUGGAAGUCGAAUCUGUGUUAUCAUCUUUGCUUUGAAAUCGUUUAUUUCCUUCUCAAAAAAAAAAAAAAACAACGGCACAAAAUGCCUGUGAUAAUGAAACAAUGUACCCUUCGUGCCUGCUUUCGUCUAAUAAUAUUUGAUACGUACAUAUUCAUUUUAAAAUUGGCGAAUCGUAAUAAAAAAAUUUAUAUAUAAUAAUUGAAUGAGAUCCAUGGUUCACAAUUGCAAAUUAAAGGUUGGUUUUAUAAUAAAAAUCGUUUUGUGCAUACCAAAUUAGAAAAGAUUAUAAGUAAAUUAAGAUUUUCAAAAUUUGACUAGUAUUAUAUUACGUACAUCAAUAUAAUAUAAAUUUCUUAUAUAUAUAUUUUACUCUGUAACCAAUGCUUUCAAAAACUUUGUACUUGUAUGUUUGAACAACUUUUUUCGCUUUCUAUUUAUAUACGAUCUCAUUUAUGUUUACAUAAAUUUUCAUAUGUACCCAAAUUAAGCAUUAAAUACACACACUUUGGUAAGACACAUUUCUAGUAUCAGAAAAUGAUAUUAUAUUGAAUGUAAUGCUUCAAUGAAUUUUAUUACUAUAUACUAAAAUACUCAACGAUCUCCAUUAAAAAAAAAAAAAGCAUGAUUAGAAUGAUUAAAGAUCAUUUGAUGAGGAGUUUCAUCAUUAACUGUGUCGAAACACAGCAGCAAUCCACAAUACACUUAACACGAGAGGGGCACACAAGCAUGCAUGAAUCUUCCACCAUUAAAUCUGAAAUCAUAAAAAAAAAAGAAAUAAGAUGAGUGUUGUUUUACGGUCUGAAAGCCGAUUCCAAAUAAUAAUAAUAAUAAUAGUAAUAGUAAUAGUAAUAGACCUUUGUUAAUAAUUACUACUAGUUGUCUCUGCCUUUUGCAUCUUCCUCCUUUGUAUCAUCGUCCUCUUCCAAUCACACGGCUAGACCAGUAUGUCUCGAGAAUCUCUACUGCCUUCUCAGAGAUCCCGUUGUCGUCAUGACUUCGUAGAUUUUCAAUCUUUUCUAAUCCCUCAGCCUCCUCAACCAACUGGGCAUAUUGAUUAAAAUCUCCAACGGCGGUACCCGUAUUCAUUUCAGCUAACCCGACCUUCAAAAUGUUCUCUAAUCCUUCUAAGCAAACAGUGACGAUCAUUGGAUCAGCGCAUAGAAGCAGAUCACACAAUGGUUUUAUACACCCCUCUUUCACGAGGUACUUGAUUUGCUCAUGAGUGCCAAACUUGGUGGCAUUCGAAAUUGCCCAAGCGGCGUCCUUCUUUGUAUCAAAUUCAGCAUUUUGAAGUAGAUUGACAGUGGGACCAAUUAAGCCGGAAUCAAUUACCGCCUGAAUCUGUUCCCUGUUUCCACAUGCGAUAUUUGAAAUAGUCCUGCAUGCAUCCUUCUUAAUGCGUUUUCCAUGAUUAUGGAUCAACAGGCCCAAAAGGUAUGGCAGUGCACCACAGUUAAUUAUAUACUGAGCCUGGAAAUCAUCCCCCGUCACAAUAUUUCCAAUAGUCCGCAGGGCAGGAGUGAGCACUGAGGAUGAUGAGUGACCAAGGAGCUCAACAAGUCGUGGACAGACACCUGCCUCGAUCACAGCUUGAACAUUGUCAUUCGUACCAUCAGAAAGACAGGAGAGUGCCCAGCAGGCAUCAGUCAAGACCUCUUCAUUGUUUGAACGAAUAAGCUGUGCAAGCGCCGGAAGAGCUGGCCUUACCUGAUCAAAUGGUGGUUCUGGCUUGCCCUUGCAUAAAUUAGACAAUGUCGUUGCGGCAAUUCUCAGCAUUGAAAGCUUAGCAUGCUUAUUUAACUCUGCCAGCAAUGGAAUCAAAGCUCCUUCACUAAGCACAAGAUCACGGCAUCCAGAUGAGUCACCAGCAACAUUUCCCAAUGCCCAAACAGCCUGCUCGCGGACAUCAUCACUUGGGGAAGCAAGCAGCUUCACGAAUAUUGGAACGGCACCGUGGUCAAUCACCACCUUAAUGUUCUCUGAAUUUCCAAAAGCAAUGUUUGAAAGAGCCCAAGCAGCCUCAUACUGAAGUUGCGGAUAGUCUUCCCUCAUAAGAAACUCAACAAAGCGCUGGACAACGCCAGAUUGUAUGACUUUAUCAAUUUGUGGACUCCUCGCAAUCGAAAGCAGUUUGCUGAACUGAGUAGUUGCUUCCAGCUGUAGGCCGCUGUCAUCUGACCAAACCCCAGCAACCAUCCCGGGUAAACUCGCCUACUUAUUUUAGGAGCAGGAGCAAGAGGAGGAAAUUAAGUUAGGGAUUUGGAGUGAGAGUGAAAGUGGAGAAAAAGCAAGAGAGGGAAAAAGCUGAUUGUUGAGAAAUAUAUACCUUUCGUAUGGUUGUGUUAAGGUCGUCCUUCCAAGCCCAACAUGCUUUACCCCGCCCCUGCACUUUGUGUAAUUUGGGCGUACUUAAUUUUCCUUCAGAGAAAAUCUUCAUAUCGGGGCAAUCAUCCACCACUAAUCUUUCCAAAGAUGGGAACUUGAAAGCACAAUUGCCAGAGCAGAAGCUUGUCAGACUUUUUAAGUGUAAAAGCUUCAACUCCUUCAAUUCUCUGAAACUAAUAACCUCAUCUUUUGCUACAACAUCAUCCACCAGUACUAUUUCUGUUAUCAUAUAGCAUGAUGCUAUCUCCAUAUAUCUAAGUCGCACCAGAGUCUUUGCAAUUGAGGAUGUUAAUACGAUUUUCAAGUUGUUGCAAUGCGAUACCACCAAAUUUGUAAGAUUCUGAAAGGAUGUCGAUGAUGGCACUAGAUUGACCAAACGGUCACACCCCACUACACGUAGAAUAACCAAGUUGUUCGCAACAGAGGACUCCUCUAUCAAAAUGUGCUCCAUAGGAUAAAGCCUGUUUGCUUCUCUUAUUUCUACCCACAUCCCAUUUUCAACCUUCUCAUACACCAACGGGGCACUAUAUCCUCGUAUUUGGAGGACUUUCAUUGUGUGAAGUCUCUGGAGGAAGUCACCAAGUGAUAAAAUAGUCCGCUCAUCACCCAACGUCACAUAAAGAUAUUUUAGUUUGCAAAGCAAGCCUUCAGAAAAUAGAUAUUUAUUUGUUACUAAGUGCUCUGCAUCAAUAUUCAACUCUUCCAAAUUAGGAAAUACCUGGGAGAUCAAUCAGAACCCAAAAAAAAAAAAAAAUGCAAGAUGAAUCAAUUGAUGAGAAAUAUAAGUUACCACUAAUUUAUAAAAUAUAUUUUAUUCAAUAAAUCUUAAACUUAAAAAAAAUAGUAAUAAUAAUACGCCUAACAUCUAGAAUAAUUAUGAAUGAAUACUAUACACUAAUCUGUAAGAGAGUUACGUUGCUGACAAUUUGACUUUUAGUAAGAAACCAAGCGAUAAAGGCAAAGGCAAUAUAACUCUAAAGCUUUAUGAUAUAAACUCUCACGGUACAUACAUAAGAAUUGAAAAAUUGAUUAUAAAAUUCUUGUACGUACCCUUUCCAUCAAGAUAUUAGUAGUUCUUUUGUAUCUCGCCAUCAAUUCACGACAUCCAGAUAUCAUUAAUCCUUUCAAGGAUGGAAAUUCAAGAAUAUCAAGAUCUCCAGUGCAGAAGCUUGUGAACUUUUCAAGACCAGACAUCCUCAGAUAUUGCAACUGGGGAAACGUUACAAUAUUAUUCUUCAUUUCUUCUUGGUUGUCCACGACUAUUAACUCUUCCAAGACGGGACAUCUGACUAUCUCAAUGCGUUGGAGUCGAACCAAGCUACUAACAGUAGCAGAUGAAAAUAGACAUCUUAAAUUCUCACAGUCCCACAGGGUCAAGUGUGUUAAAUUCUGAAUACCACAAGACAUGACUGUAACUUGGUUUUGCCAAAUCCUCUCAACAUUUAUUGACACCAACUCCAACUUCUCUAACUCUAGUAACGGAACCUGCUCGAUCAAAAAAUUAACUUGUUAAUUACAAGCAACAAUCAUUUCUGUUGAUCGACAAAUCAAUAAAAUUACUCUUUCUCUGGUUAUAGUUCUUUUCAGUUUUUCAUACAAACAACCGUUAAUCAAGUUUUCCAAAUUAUUCCUUACUAAAUGUAUAGAUUUAGACGGCGGCUAAUAUAAUUCAUAUUGAAAAUAUUCUUUGAUUGUAACGAAUUUUGUAAUAUUAAAUUUUGGUUGAUUCGCAAUAGGACCUACUAUCCAGCGCGAGCAGUUCUCGGGGAUUUAACUACUGGCACCUCGAUUAUAUAAAAAUUUGGAAUAUUUUCAAAGGAAAUCACAUAAUUCCCCCUUGCAAAUUAGGCGAGAAGAGUCUCAUCAACAAUCAAUAAGCAGAUAUCACGAUGUUUAUUCAGUGAUUACAACAUAUUUAUAUAUAUAUAUAUAUAAUAUAUUCAGUGAUUACAACAUAUUUAGUAUUCCAUAACAUGAUGUUUAUAAUAAUAAUUAUUAUUAAUUCACUUAUUGUGUUAGAGUACCUUUUCUUUCUCUAAGAAUGUAUUUGUUACACCCUACUAUACAUCGGAUGAAAAAUUUAGAAUAAUUGUGAAAUAUAAUUAUUAAUCACUCUUUGCCAUAUUUGUUAUCAAACAGGAAUAUAACAAAGAAAAAAAAACAAAAAUUAUAGAGAAUUAAUAAGACGAUUGACUUAUUAAUAACUGACCUUCUCAGGGAAAAGCGUAUUAGAAAUUUGGACAUUGUCCUCCAAAAUGAUUUCAUGUGACUGCAAAUCAUUAGCUGAUUCCUCUUGUCUCUGUUGACAUUGCAGGUGUCUUGAUUUAAGAGUGUAAACUUAAUUGUGAACACAAUCUUAAUGCAUAGAUACAAGAUGUUUAAAAAUUAGUAUAAUAAACUUAGCACUAAAUCCAAAUUUGAUAUUUCGGAUUCCAUGAUUAAGAUUUUUUAAAUAAAAAUUUAAUUGAGUUAAUUUAAAAAUAAAAAUUAAAUAUGAAAAAUUAGACUUGCAAUUAUGGAUUUAAUUUUGAUAAAUAAUGAAUGUUCUCUUUAUAUUUUUUUUAAAAGGUAAAGGAGCAUACAAAGCCCAAAUUCAUUUUUUUAGUCCCUUACUCUCCCAUGAUUCAAACUUGGGUGGUUGUAGGAGGACUGAAAAUAUAUAAGACAGUUAACUUCACUUUUUUUUUUCUUUUUCUUUUUUUCAUUUUUUGUUGAGAGAAAAGAGAAGAAGGAUAUUACAAAGCAUGAAGCUCGUGCAAUAUGAGGGCAAUUAUGGUUUUUUCUUUAAAUUAAAAUGGUAAGAUUCUGAAGCUAAAAGAUUAAAAUAUUAAUUAAAUUGCAAACAUUAAAGAUUUUUUUUCCAAAAUUGGUUGCUUUGAAAAUGAGAAUAAUAUAAUAUUUGAAGACUUUUCAAAAUUAAUUACUGUGAUGCACUAGAAAUUUCUAGCUUUAGUCUAAUGUAUAAAUUGACAAAACGAUAUUAGAAUCCCAGGUGAAAAGAACCCUCUCACACCAAUUAUUUAAAUUAGGAAUGAUCAUACCUCUGACUCUGGCGAACUGAGGGCGAGGCGUGAACCCCUCAUCUCGAGACGCUUGAGAUGGGAAGAGCCCACUUUGACUAAUUCAUUACGAAAAUAAUCGACAUCUUGCUCUUGCAAUCCACAUAAGCGAAGGAAUUCAAUUCUCUGCAGUUGCACGAUCAGCGAAUCCUUCAAGCGAAUCUUGUCAUAUAGCUCGACUCUGAAUUCACGACACCAAAAGUUGGUUCUCUCCCGAAACCAACCUCCAUGUCCAAUGCUUAUUCUGUACCUUUCCAGCUUCUCCAAGAUCAGGCCUCUGGGCAGAGUGCUGACGUCACGGAUGUCUAAUUCCAAAGAGGUCAAGUUGGGCAAAUGCUUCAACUCCUCAAGGCUUGCAUUCUUAACCCCUUCCACCUCCACCUCCCACUCCCAUUCAUCAAAGCUAUUACCACCUAUAUAUAGUUCUUCUAAAUGGGAUAAUUUUGACAGUAUAUUUGGCGGAAUAACUUUUAGGUUCCAACAUUCUCUCAAAUCAAGCAACUUUAGCCAAGUCAAUUCACCUACUUCUACCGGCAACUUCUUAAUUUUAGAACCUCUUAAGCAAAGGAUUUCUAGUUUCUUCAAGUCUCCUACAACACUUAGAUCACGCAAGUUGCAGCGACACAAACUCAGUGUUCGAAGGUUUGACAGGAGACCAAGUGAUGAAGGCAGUGACCGUAGAAACAUGCCAGUCAAGUUUACAACUCUGACCUCGAUCAUCCUCUCGAAAAAGUUGUUUGGCAUUGUUAAUGAUGAAGAUUCACGACGAUCAGCACGUAUAAAAAGAAGUUCGAGUUGAGGACAUUCCAGUACUUCAGGAAGCAAAUUAGUCUUGAUACCAUGUAAGACGAUUGAAGUGCAAUGCUUUAUUGCACUUCCGUCUGACCAUUCCCUGCAACCAUCAACCUGCUCAUUUGUAGCAGUAAACACAUUUCGUUCAGUAGAUGCAAUUGAUACGGCGACAUCGCGAACUACAUCAUGCAUAGAAAACAACUCUUUCUUCUGGCUUAUAUGGUCAAGCAACAAACAAGAAUCUUUGAGCUGGUGCACCAAUGUAUGUACUCGAUUUCGUGCUGCUUCCAUCUUAUUCACACCUUGAAAUAAAGUCAAUCCCAUACCAAACAUUAACAGUUCGUCAAUAGAUGCUAUGGCUGUAUAUCCUAUUAGCAAAAAGAUGUUCUUCAGCUCCUCCCCUACCAAUUUGUCGUAACUCCACUUUAUGGCUUCAUAUGCAUCUGGCUGUACAUCCUUAAAAUUCGAUGAAGAAGGCCUUCCUAGUUUUUCCAAUGCAUCCUUCCAUUCCUGUAUGCUCUUGUUCCUUAAUGCCCUUGCAACCGUCACAAUGGAAAGUGGUAGACCUGCACAUCCCUUUGCCACACCCCUUGCUACCGAUUGGAAUUCACUGCCUUCAAUAUAAUCACCUGCCAUCUUCUUGAAUAGAUUCCAAGCUUCUUCUUCGUUUAAAACACCAAUUGAGAAAUUUGGUCGAGAAUCCAUCUUCCUAGACAAUACAUCUAGACUUCUGGCCGUCAGCAAUACUUUACAACCUUUAUGACCAUCUCCAUGAGGAAUUCCGACAACCCGCAAAUCAAGAUUUUCCCAAAUGUUGUCUAAAAUUAUCAGGAUCUUCUUCUCUGCUUCUAUACGUUUAAAUAAGCUGUUUGCCCUUCCUGAUUCACUUUCCUCAUGAAACUUCAGGCCUAAUUUAUCUGCUAUUUCUCCUUGAAUCUCUCGUAUGUUUUUAUUAUGGGAUACCUCAACAAGAACCACUUGAUAAAAGAGUUCACUCUUGACUUUCCUAGCAACUUCUUCCGCCAGGUUCGUCUUUCCGAUUCCGCCCAUUCCAUAAAUCCCAAGCAUGUUGACAUUGGGAUUUUUUAAUGCAUCCAUUAUUUCAUUCAGAAUGGGCGUUCUUGAUAGAAAGGCCUCGUAGUCUUUGUUAGGGAUAAGCCGAAUAUCCUUUGGAGCAGUACGGUAGGAAAUUCUAUCAAAUCUUCGAUCUCCUCGGACUUUGACAACAGCCUCCUUCUGCCUCUCUGCUUCCUUGCUAAGUCGACGGCGGGUCUUCAAAUUAGGACAUAAUCCCCCGAAACAACGCUUACUUGCAGCGGCUUCAUCUUCUGUAAAUUUAUCUGCCUCUUCAAUGACUUUGUUGGCCCCUUCAAGCCAAUUCCUAACGUUCUCUUCACUUUCUUCCCCGUUUCGUUCAGCCUCAUCAACCUGCCUCAACAAUGACUCCCUCUCAGACUUCAGAUCGUCAACUUCUGCCUUGAGAUUCUGUAAGUUGGUCGUGUACUUACUCUCACGCAAAUAGCUAAUUUUGCGAUAUGCGGGAGGAGCCAAGCACUUCACAACUUCUACAACAAUAGUAAGAAUGAUUUCAGCCAUCUUCAGUCCUUUGUCCCUGUCUCUCUAUCUCUCUUUUUCUGAAUUUUUGAAAAACAAUUGACUAUUUAGGAAGCACACUGAGUGAUUGAACACAAGUGACCACAACAAGAUAGAGAACAGAGGAAAAAAAUAGAAAGAGUGGAUGGAGAAUAAAACCGAGACAGCGGCACAGCUGGACACAACUAGAUAGAGAACAGAGGAAAACCAAAUAACAAGACUUAAGAUUACAACAAACAGAGGCCAAGUAUUAUUGUUGAGAUCAGAAGGUGGAAAAUUCAAAAGAGUUGAUGGCAGAUGCUGAAUAACAAAACAACAAUAAACGCAAUAAACAGAAGCAAAGUGUGUUUGUGAUCGACAGACGGAAGUAAGGAAAGCGGUUGUUGAUUGAAAAUGAAUGAAUGCAACGAAAGACUGAUGUUAAAAACUGAUGUCAAUAGCGAAGGAAUAAUUGAACUUUCGCUGAAUUAUUGUUUGUGGCCUUCUUUUACUUUUUAUUUGUGGGCCAUGUCUUUUGGAACUAAUCAUCUUAGCCUAUGCCUUAUAGCUUGAAGGCCGGUAACCGGUGUCCGUUGGAUUAGCAUAUAGAAAUCCAACGGUGGAUAUAUAUACUUGGAGAAUAAAAUUCAAGAGCAAAGGGAGUGCUGGGCUGCAGUUUCUUAAGGAGAUUUAUAUAUCCUCCUCAAAAAUAAAUGUUUUAAGGUAGAUAUUUAGACUAUUUCAUCAUAAAAUAAAUGUAAUUAAUUUUCAAUAAAUAUCUUAUAUAAAUAUUUAUUUAUUUUUUUAAUUACUAAUGACCUUUGAAUAUACAUAUAUACAUAUCACUAAUUCAAAAAAUAAAUUGUGAUUAUUUGUUAAUGUAUGCGAUUACUUGUGAUGGUAAACAAAGUAGAUAUGGUAUAUUUUGAAGUUAAAUUAAAAAAAAAAAAAACAGAGCUUUUACCAUUACUUGCCUUAUCAUCUUUUAAAUUAGAAUUAUUAUUCUUUUAUUUUUCAAGUUGCCAACUCAUCUGCAUUCUCUUUUAUUGAAUUUGAAGAUCAAUGAUUAUAAAUUUGUGUGAAAAUUUUAAGUCAAAACUUUAAAUUAAAAUAAUCUUUAAGUUAUUGGGAAAUAAUAACUUAGUAUAACAAAUAUUAUAUCCUAUACUUUAUUGCUACAAAAUUACGAAACCUUAUAUUAUAUUAUGUUUCCAUAUUUCUCCUUUAUAGUGAAGACUCAUACUUCUUCUCUAAUAAAUGCUAAAGUAUUGGCUUAAAUUUUUUAACCAGCACAGUAGACCCUUAAGCUAUAUAUACUAUAAUGUCCUUCUUUUCUCACAUAUUAAACCAAUCGGAUCUCAGAGUGAGUUGAUACCAUGACUUUGCAUCAUUCGUGAUCGGGUAAAAGCUCAUUUAGUCCCUGUAUUUUAAGAUUAGUGUCCGUUUAGUCCCUAUAUUUUUAAAAAUACCCUGAAACAUCCAUGUCGUUAAAGUAUUGAUACCCCUACCGUUACUUUUUAUUUCUUUUGGCUUACUUUUACAAUAUUACCCUUUUAUAAUAAUUUUUUUGUUUGGACAUUAAAAAAAAAUAAUUAAAUUAUCAAUUUAACCCUAUAAAAUAAAAUAAAAAUUAUAUUAAGUUUUUUGCAAGCACCAUUUGCUCACUUGUUAGUUUGCAUACAAUUUUUGAUAAUUAAAAAUUAAUAUAAUUUUUUUAGGGUUAAAUUGGUAAUUUAAUUAUUUUCUUUUUAUUAAUGUCCAAACAAAAAAAAUUAUUAUAAAAGGGUAAUAUUGUAAAAGUAAGCCAAAAGAAAUAAAAAGUAACAAUUUAAUUUUUGACAAUUAAAAAUUAAUAUAAUUUUUUAUUUUUUAGGGUUAAAUUGGUAAUUUAAUUAUUUUCUUUUUAUUAAUGUCCAAACAAAAAAAUAUUAUAAAAGGAUAAUAUUGUAAAAGUAAGCCAAAAGAAAUAAAAAGUAAUGGUAGGGGUAUCAAUACUUUAACGGCAGGGAUGUUUCAAGGUAUUUUUUAAAAUAUAAGAACUAAAUGGAUAUUAAUCUUAAAAUACAGGGACUACGUGGGCUUUUACCCUUCGUGAUCAAAGGAGCAUCAUUACUAACUCAUAUAGGCUCAAUCAAUAGGCCUGAUAAUAAUUUUUUUUUUAUCUACAAACACUAUUUUUCAAAAUAUUAUAUCUUAAGACUUAACUAAAUAUUUUUUAACUAUGUAGAUAUAGUUUGUUUGAUCUCUUUUAAAUAGUGGAGAUUACAAACAAACAUAUGUGAAUUAGUAGUAUGUUGAGUUCAGAAGAUUGAAGUAAAGAAAAUUAAGGGUUUCUUGAUCUAGGGAAAUUUCAAAAGAGUGAAGCGUCCUCGAAAUCGGAAGACGAAAAUAAGGAAAGGCUAAGGGUGUAUUUUCAAAGUGAUUCUAUUAGGAGAUCUUUGAAGUAGGAGUGGGCAAUCGGGUUUCGGUUUAGGUUUCAACCCAAUCGGAUUGGAGAAUUGAACCCAAUCGGGUUGAAAACACCAACCCCAACCGAACCGAACCAAAUUUAAUUCGGUUUGGUUCAGUUCGGGUUCAUAAUUCGGAUCGGACUGGGUAGUAAUUCAGGUUAAAAUUUCGGUUCGGGUUAAUUCGGAUUAGAAUAAUUCAAUCUAAAAUUUUGGGUUAGUUCGGUUUAAAACGGGUUGGAACAAUUUAAUCCAAAAAUUCUACCAACAACCACUUAAAAUCUAAAAAUCUAAAUUCCAAACAUCCUUAACAACAAAUAUCAACUACAAACCAUCUUUAACAACAUUUCAACAAUAACAAUAACAAUAAUAACAACAACAAUAAUAAUAAUAACAACUAUGAAUCAACAAUUCAGCAUAUUGCCAUAUUCUAAAUUAAAAAAACACAAAUUAAUUAAUUAAUUAAUUAACAAUCUCCAAUUUAAUUUAUAAUAACAGCAAAAACCCACUCCAAUUUAAUUAAUAACAGUCUCAAAUUGUUCAAUUAUCAGUCAACAGCAACAAACCCACUCCAAUUUAAUUAUAACAAUCUCCAAUUGUUCAAUUAUCAGUCAACAGUAACAAACCCUCUCCAAUUUGUCACGAACAACCUCUAAUUGUUCAAUUAUCAAUCAACAACAACAAACCCACUCCAAAUAAUUGAACAAUUAUUAAUUAAUUAAUUUAAAAUAUCCAAUUUAAUUAAUAACAACACCCAAGAGCAAGUUAGCAAUAAACCCACUACAAAAUCCAAAUAUAAGUAUAAACUAAGUGUCAAAUCGUGACCGUGUGGGGCUGAGUGAGACCGUCGACCGAGGGUGUGAGAAAGGAGAAGAGGGAGCAGGGAGGUAACGUGGUGUGUGUGAGUUUAUAUAUAUAUAUAUAAUUUUUAAAAGUUAAAACAAAAAAAAAAAUUUAACCCAAUCCAAACGCCCACCUCAUAUUACUUCCCUGUUUUUUUUUUUUUUUGAUUACAUGAGACUAUUGCUCAGAUUACAACUUGUUGAUGCGAGAUUCUGGUUCUCCUCAUUCUACGACCAGGAUCUCUACUCGAUCAACUUCACCACGACCAGGAAGUCUGCUCGUAAGGCUCCUUCUCCAGAGGUUCCUGCGCACACAGACAAGUCAGAGUACGCCGGUUGUUUUCCCGGCGCAAACCCUCCGACGCUCAAGUCAGAUAUCCAGGUUUGGGGAACACUUGCCACAAAUCUUAUGGCCUUUAGGUCCGUUCUCUCCCUCUAGAAUUUCUUUAGUCUCUCUUUUAUCUCAAAAAAUUGCCAACCCCUUUACCUUCGUUCGCUACCUUUUUGUAGGCUGCCUCUGAAUCCCAGUUUUCCGCUUUUUGCCAGACGGUAUGGGACUCUGACUGCUGCGUUAUGGGCAAAGGUGGGAUCUUGCGUGUUACGCCACGGUUCUGGGGAAAGCGUGGCUGUCGUGAUUCUGUGAGAUCUUGCAUGUUACGUCAUGGGUCUGGGGAAAGCGUGGCUGUCGCGCCUAGAUUCUCGAGCUGGAGAGCAUGUCUUGCCAACUGUCGUCGGCCGGGUCUCCUCACCACUCGGCCUCUAGCCGAAAUGACCUUAUGCCUCUCACAGGAAGUUGGCCUCGCGGAUGACGUGCUCGUGGACGAACAGGAUAUUUCUGCUCCUGUUCCCCCGCGCACCAGGCUUUUACGGAACACACCGGUCCGCAGAACUCUGCCAUCAGAUACCUGCUCACCAUGCCUGGUCUCGUCGACGUAUUUCUCCCAAACACCGGUCCCCCAGUUUCUGGUGUUGGGUAAUGUAGUGGACCAGCAGUAGAAACUCGACAGUACUCGCUCGCGUGGGAUGGGAAAAGGCUGCCAAGAGUCAUGUCGCAUUUAAUUGCGGACGAGGUGACGUGACAGAAAUCCCCCCCUCCAUUUGAAUUUCAAACCGACGGUUAUGAGACUCUCGGGAUUCGGCGCUGUUAAAUGCUGGCAACCCAAGAAUCCGUCCUCAUUAGGAAAACCAAAUCUUCUCGAACGGCAUAUUCAUUAUUCACUCCGUCUCCGUCUCUCCGGCAAAGCAGUUCCGGCAUAAAAGCCUCCAUCUCUGACUUUCACCGACUGAACCAUUACUUCAGGUAUUUCUUCUAUCUCCUUGGUCUCGGAUAGUUGUAGAUAAUUUCUCUUCUCUUCUGUUUGGGUAGUAGUUGGUGGUGUUGUGGUUAGAACUUAGGGAAUGUCGAAAGGCAAAGAGAAGGUCGUUGAGGUUGACGACGAUGAGUUGGACUUCCUGCCUAGUCUGCUCACCGAUCCUGCUUUUGACCCCGGGAUCCCCUUAGAGCCCACUAGAUCCAGUGUUGGUACUAGCGCUAGGAGGAUGUCUCCCCAAACGACCUCCUCGAGCGAAAAAAACGAUGAGGAGGGGUCUUCUGGAUCGGAGAACACCCUGAGUGAGGGUCGAGGAGAUGAUUCUGGUGAGGCGUCUCCAUCAGGAGCGCCGCGACCCGAAGUGAGGAGUACGAUAGGAGGUAGAGCCCUAUCGCAGGAUUACGCUAUCGAUUAUAUGACGUGCACGACCACGUUUAAUGAGCUCGACGACCUCCGGCUGAGGUAUAGCAUUCCUGGUGAAAUACUUCUCAAGGUCCCAGGAAAGAAGGAUUCUCCUAGCCGACCUCCUAGGGGAUAUGUUACCCUGUAUCUGGAUAGCUUUAAGUACGGGCUGAGGUGUCCCUUGCAACCUUACUUUGCCCGGAUACUUAGCGGGUUGAAUCUAUCUCCUGGUCAGUUGAACCCAAACGGUUGGAGAGUGCUCUCUGGUCUGUUCAUACUGUGGGACAGAUGCUGCCAAAGCGAGCCCACGGUCGACGAGGUGAUGCACCUGUACCAGCUGAAAAGCAGCCCAAAAGACGCCGGCUGGUAUUACUUCCAAUCAAGUACCAAGACCAGGAAACCCAUAACCGAUCUCCCUACUGGUGGUGGUGGGAAUUGGAAGAGGAAGUUCUUCUUCGCAGGGGGUCCCUGGGGUCAGGUUGCACAGGUUGAUGGGAAGGAUUAUCGGGUCUCACCCCGUUUCACGGUCCCAGGUUGCCUGCUCGCUUCAGAUGUCUUGUAUCCAUAAUUGUUCUUGUUUUAUUGGUUUGUCUCUAACCCAGUGUCUGUUUGUGUUGUAGUUUCUUGGGGUGUCCACUUCUCACUCAAACCGGGACAGCUCAAACGGGUCGAGGCUGUGCUAGUCAAUUCCUGCUCGAGCCGAGAGCUGUUAACCACAUAUAACUUGCUCGAGUCUCGCCUGAUACUUCCCGGCCAUAGGAUGGAGGACGCUGUGAUUGGGGCUCUGACCCGAAAACGUUCUCGACCUCCGACCACGAAGAGGGACCAGAGUAAGGAUGCCCCUACUGCAAAGCGGGCCAACAUCGUGCAGCAGGUCCCACCCUUGAAGAUUUUACCUCCCGCUCCUGUAAAAGUCGGGGAAGCCAGUGGAGCAGCCACAGAUCCUGCUUCCUCUUCGCCUCCUGUCGGGCCUCGACCUCGCUUACCUGACAGCCGAGCGGAACACCUGGUCCCCUACCUCAAUGAGUUAUCUAAACUCGUGAGCAAGAAGGACCUGGAGGACUUUGACGGCUGCACCCUGGGUGAGCUGGUGGGGGCCAUGCAGCAUAGCGCUUUCCACCUCAGCUGCAUGACCACCUAUUACAAGGCUAAGGUCGGCCGUUACGACCGGAAGAUGAAGGAGGAUAUUCAAUCGGCGACGACCAGAGCUGACGUUGCCGAGAAGAAAGCAGGGGAGCUGAAUCUCGAGAACCUGAAGCUGGUAGAGCAAGAAUCACUUGCUCAAGCAAAAGCCAUUACCCUUGAAGAGGAGCUUACCAAGGUCAAGGAGGAUCUGCAAAGGCAGAAGGCUAUGUAUGAGGCUCAGCUCGAAUCUCUCCGCGACUCCCACCGAGCCCAGGUCGAGAACUUGGAGGGGGAGGCCGACAACCAGUACGACCAGGGACUUCGGCAUUCCUACCGUUGCAUCAUGGCCGUCCUCGGGAAGCAGCACCCGGAUCUGAAGAUGGAUGACCUUGCAGCUGGUGUUGCUCAACAUAUGGACGAGGAGGCGGCCAAGGAAGGUGCUGAAGAGGUAGAGCCGAUCGUGAUUGAGGAGGAUAACUCUCCUCCUCAUGCAGCCCCUGCUGACGGGGGCGAGGCGAGCACCCCCCCGGACGCAACCGGUGAUACCCCCCUGCACCUGAGGAGGUCCAGCCAACCGAUGCUGCUCGGCUCGCUGAUCCACCAUCUUUUUGACAUAUUUCUUUUGUAUUGUAAUGAACAACGUUAAUGAAAUUUAUCUCCUCUGUUAGCCAUUAACACAUUAAUAAAAAUGUUGUUGAUUACUUUCUUAUGUUGUUAUCAUAGUUAUUUUUCGUCUGAAACUCUGCUCGCCUUUGUCUGAUCGAGCAGGAUCUGGCUCGGCGUAUGGUUUUGCCAUACAUCUUAGAAAAUAUUCCGACGCCUGGGAUUCUGCUCGCCUUCGCGUGGUCGGGUAGAUCCUGGCGAGUUUGGCUUCUAGUUUUGCCAUAUACAGGCUUUGAAUGCUUUGGAGUCUGCUCGCCUUCACGUGGUCGAGCAGAUCCUGGCACGCUUGGCUUCUGUUUCACCAUAAAACAGGUUUUGAAACUUGACGAGCCUUUGUAUGCCUUAGAAAAUAUUCGGAUGCUCGGGGAUUCUGCUGCCUUCUCUUGGCCGAGCAGAUCCUGGCAUGCUCGGCUUCUGUCUCGCCAUAAAUAGGAUUUGAGACUUUGUCGAGCCUUUGUAUGCCUUGGAUUUUUCAAGGCUUGGGAUUCUGCUGCCUUCUCGUGGCCGAGCAGAUCCUGGCAUGCUUGGCUUCUGUCUCGCCAUAAGACAGGCUUUGAGACUUUGUCGAGCCUUUGCAUGCCUUAGAUUCUUCAAGGCUUGGGAUUCUGCUGCCUUCUCGUGGCCGAGCAGAUCCUGGCAUGCUGGGCUCCUGUCUCGCCAUAAGACAGGCUUUGAGACUUUGUCGAGCCUUUGCAUGCCUUAGAUUCUUCAAGGCUUGGGAUUCUGCUGCCUUCUCGUGGCCGAGCAGAUCCUGGCAUGCUGGGCUCCUGUCUCGCCAUAAGACAGGCUUUGAGACUUUGUCGAGCCUUUGCAUGCCUUAGAUUUUUCGGUUUCACGCGAAUGAAAUUCCUCGACGUUCCAUUAAUGACAGUGUUCGACUUACAUAAAAUUGCUUGGACAUAAAGCGUGCAAGAUAAACGAUAAUGAAUGUGAGCAAAAGUAACUUUCAAAUGUGAACAAGUAUUACUGGAAGUAUUUUUGGAGGUGUGCUGCGUUCCAUGGGCGUUUCACCUCGUGGCCGUCCGUGCGAACCAGCUGGUAAGCUCCGGGUCCCGCUAUCUGCUUGACUCUAUAUGGCCCUUCCCAAUUCGGUCCCAGCACUCCUUGAGUCGAAUCUUUGGUGCUCUGAUUCACUCUUCUCAGUACCCAGUCCCCGACCCUGAAUUGCCGUAUGUUCACCUUCUGGUUAUAAUGCCGAGCAACCCUCUGUUGGUAAAUGACUGAUCGCUCGGCUGCUUGCUCCCUCCUUUCCGUUAGCAGAUCAAGAUUCAAACAUAUCUGCUCGUCGUUCUCCUGCUCAUUGAAAUGAUCUGUCCGGUGUGUGGUCGUUCCUAUCUCAGCCGGCACGACCGCUUCAUGUCCGAAAGCCAAAGCGAACGGUGUCUCCCCAGUUGCGGUUUUGUGGGUUGUUCUGUACGCCCAUAGCACACCUGACAGCUCGUCAACCCAAGCACCUUUUUUUGCUCCAAGCCUGGUUUUCAAAAGCCUCUUGAUGGUCUUGUUGGCUGCUUCUACUUGUCCAUUCGAUUGAGGGUGAGCAGGCGAGCAAUACUUCAGCUGUAUCCCGAGGUUCUGGCAGAAAUCCCUGAAGCUGUGAUUAUCGAACUGCCUGCCAUUAUCCGUUACCAAGGCAUAAGGGAUCCCGUAUCGACAGACCAGGUUUCUCCACACGAAGUCUGUUGUUUUCUUCUCUGUGAUCCUGCUAAGGGCUUCUACCUCUAUCCACUUCGUGAAGUAAUCUAUAGCAACUAUUGCAUGUGUUGCUGCUCCUCGUCCCUUUGGCAAUGGGCCGAUCAGAUCAAUUCCCCAUUGAGCGAAUGGCCAAGGGGAGGCCAUAGAGGUGAGCUUCUCUGGUGGUUGGUUAGAGAAAUUUGCAAAACUCUGGCAGCUUACACAACUCCUGGUCUUCUCUUGCGCAUCCCGGUGCAUUGUCGGCCAGAAAUAUCCCUGCCUUAGAACCUUGUGGGCCAGGGACCUCCCGCCAGAAUGAUUUCCGCAAAUUCCUUCAUGUACUUCUCUCAGUACGUAAUCCGCGUCGUCCUCAUCCAAACACCGAAGGAACGGUAGUGUGUAUCCUCGCCGAUACAGUACCCCAUCAAUCAUCGUGUAUCUCGAGGCCUGGGCUCUGAUCUUCCGAGCUCGCAGCUUAUCUGAUGGUAAUACCCCGUCUCUAAGGAAUGAAACUAUCGGGUCCCUCCACGAGCAUUUUUGUUCUAUCCGCAACACCCCCCAAUUCUGCUCGAUACUUGGACUGGACUUCACCUCGAGAGGGACCGACUUUGGCAUUUUUGGGUCGGCUACUGCUGCCAUCCUAGCCAAAAUGUCUGCUCGACUAUUCUGCUCCCUAGGGAUUUGUAUCACCUCCACUGCUUCGAAUUUCCCCAUCAUCUGCUUGACUAUCUUCAGGUACUGCUCCAUCUUCUCCUCUCUUGGUUGGAAUCUUUCAUUGACAUGAUUCGCAACCAGCUGGGAAUCAGUUCUGAUCUUAACUCUGUCUGCUUUCACGGCCUUAGCCAAUUCCAGACCUGCUAUCAAGGCUUCAUACUCUGCCUGGUUAUUUGUGGCUGUAAAUUCCAACUUUACAGCAUAAGAGAUCUCCUCCCCCUCUGGGCCUCCCAAGACAAUCCCUGCUCCUGAACCUCGCUCCCCUGACGACCCAUCCACAGACAUCUGCCAUACUUGAGUUUCAUCACUGCCUAUAACUGCAUCUUGUUGAUCUAAGCAUACUUCGGGUUCUGUGAAUUCAGCUACGAAAUCGGCCAUUGCCUGGGCCUUUAUCGCUGCGCGGGGUUUAUAGUCUAUGUCGAACUCGCUCAGCUCUACAGCCCACUUGACGAGCCGACCAGAAGCAUCUGGCUUGUGCAGAGUUUGACGCAAUGGCUGGUUUGUUAUUACCGUGACCGGGAAUGCUUGAAAAUAUGGCCUCAACUUCCGAGCGGCAACCACAAGGGCGAGUGCCCAUUUCUCCAGCGGUGGGUAUCUGGUCUCAGCGUCGAGGAGGGCCUUGCUGGUGUAGUAUAUCAGAUACUGCACUCCUUCUUCCUCUCUCACCAAAAUAGAACUGGCGGCCCGAUCCGAUACCGCCAAAUACAGAUAUAACUUGUCCCCAUCCCUCGGUGUGGACAGCAGCGGAGCUUGCUGCAAGUAUUGUUUCAAGUUCUGGAAGGCUUCCUCGCAUUCUGGGGUCCAUUCUGUUUUCUUUCCCCUCCUUAUCACUUGAAAGAAUGGCUGACACUUAUCUGUAGCCUUGGAUAUGAAUCUGCUCAACGCCGCCAACCUCCCCGUGAGGCUCUGCAUCUCCUUCAGGUUACGAGGAGACGUCAUCUGCACAAUCGCCUGGAUUUUCUCGGGAUUUGCUUCAAUCCCCCUAUGGCUCACCAUGAAUCCAAGGAAUUUCCCUGACUCGACCCCAAAAGCACACUUCUCCGGGUUGAGCUUCAUCUUAUACUUCCUCAAAAGCUCGAAUGUCUCCUCGAGGUGUCUGACAUGUUCCUUCGGGAUUUUGGACUUGGUGAUCAUGUCAUCCACGUACACCUCCAUGGUUCUCCCAAUCAAUGGCUUAAAGACUUUGUCCACCAGCCUUUGAUAGGUGGCCCCGGCAUUUUUGAGACCGAAUGGCAUUACCCUGUAACAGAACAGACCUUGGUUAGUGAUGAAAGCCGUGCUCUCCUCAUCCUGCUCGUGCAUGGGGAUCUGGUUGUAUCCCGAGAACGCGUCCAUGAAGCUAAGCAGGCCAUGCCCAGCCGUUGAAUCUACUAGCUGAUCGAUCUUUGGCAAAGGGAAGCUGUCUUUCGGGCAUGCCUUAUUGAGGUCUGUGAAAUCCACACACAUCCUCCACUUGCCGUUUGCCUUCUUUACCAACACCACAUUCGAUAUCCACUCAGGGUAACUGACUUCCCGAAUGAACCCUGCUCUCAGGAGCUUCUCCACCUCGCCAUUUAUAGCCUCAUACCUCUCCUGGUUGAAGCACCUCCUCUUCUGCCUUACUGCCCGAGCACCUUUCUUUAUUGCCAGCUUAUGACAUGCUACCUCAGGGUCAAUCCCUGGCAUGUCUUCAUGUGUCCAAGCAAACACAUCAGCAUGAGCCUGUAAGCAUUUCACCAACUCCUGCUUUUGCUCCCCCUUAAGUUUCGACCCGAUUCUGAUCGUCUUUCCCGGGUUCUCUGGUCCCAGGCUCACUGUUUCCAGAUCCUCUACAGGUUCUUGCCUGCCAUUCUUGUUUUCCACUCGGGUAUCGAGGGAUGUUAUCUGCAUUGCUUCCCUUGCUGCCGAGGAGUAGCAGCUUCUUGCGAUCCUCUGGUCUCCUCGUACCACUCCUACUACCCCAUUCACCCGGUACUUCAGAGCCAGAUAAUGGUUGGACAACACCGCUUUGCUCAUCCUUAAAAAUGGCCGACCUAGGAUCAUCUGGUAAGGACCUUCCUCAUCCACCACGACAAAGUCCAGUAUCAUUGUCCUUUCUGUCGGGGAACUCCCAAUUGUGAUAGGCAGUUCGACCACGCCCAGAGGGACCAGCUUCCCUCCUCCGAACCCCUUCAAGGAGGUAUUGGUGUAUUCCAACUUCCGGUCGGCUAUUCCCAUCUCUUCCAGGGUUGACUUAAAUAACACAUCAACUGAGCUCCCUGUGUCAAUCAGUAUCCGGUCAAACUUCUUGCUAGCGACGGUAGCCUUGAUGACUAAAGCAUCCUCGUGGGGGUAUAGAAUCCCUUCCUCAUCCUCAUCCGUCCAUAUGAUUGGCACUUGCCUGACCCUUGCUCGUUUGGCUGCUGGGGUGUUGAAGAGUACCUCUUUACUGGUCAUGGCGUACCUAGCAUAAUUUUUCCUCGAUCUGUUGGAAUCUCCGGCCAAUGUUGGGCCCCCAGCUAUCACCCUUACUGCGGGCUGCUCGCGCCUCAAGUUUCUAUCGCUCUGCUCCCCUUCACCUGUUGUGGCCACCAUCGGGAAAGUCCCAUCCACAAACUCGUCCAGGUACCGAUUUCUCACCAGAUCUUCGACCUGGGUCUUGAGAUCUCUACACUCUGCUGUGGUAUGGCCAUGGGUGUCGUGGAACUUACAAUAACGUCAUCUAUCCCUCCUGUUGGGUAGCUUUGUUAUUGGUGUAGGGAGGUGCAGCAGCCCUCGAUCCUUUAUGGCCUCGUACACCUCAUCCAGGGACAUCUUCAAGGAAGUGUACCGCCCAUAGUCCUGGUUCUGGUCGAUCAGGUGCACUGGUCUUUCUCUAUUUGCCCCGCUCUGAGUUGUGGGCGGUGGAAGUACUUCUGGUCUGCUCGCUCUGCUACCGUGGGAAUAUUGAUGAAGACCACUAGAUGCUGAAUCAUGCCUUCUCCAAGGCUCCCUAGCUGGGGAACGAGGAGGUUGCGCCCCGCUGCGCUGAUACUGUGGUGGCCGCUGAUGAGGCUGGUAAGCAGUUACCCGACCUCCUGCUCCACUACCGGAGGCCUGGUGGUCCCUCCUCCUGAUCGGCCCAUUCCCCGGUAAUGCUUUCUUCUCUUUCCUCCCCAACCCUUCUAACUGAUCUGUUUUAAUCCGUGCGGCCUUCUCCUCUUCAAUCUCGAUGUCUCUCUUAGCCUGCUCGUAUGCGGCUGCGUACGUUUGAAUAGCUGGGCUUCUCAAAUUGUACCACAGCCUUCCUAUCUUCACCCCUUCUUUCAACCCCCUUAACGCCUGAGGGUGGUUGAAGGCUCCCAAGUCGAGGACAGCCCGAUGAAACCUCUUGAUGAAUUCCCGAAGGGUUUCUUGCUCCCCCUGUUUCAUGCUUUUCAGCUCCAUCAUGUCAUCCUCUGGUGCCAUUGCCCCACUAAACUGCUCGGCGAAUUCCUGGCACAUCUGCUCGAAGGUUUUAAUGCUGCCCCGAGGAAGUUUCAUGUACCAUUCUCGUGCACGUCCCUCAAGGGAUAGUGGGAACACCCUGCACCUUUGGGACUGAGAUAAUCCUUGUACCCCAGUUAUGUCGUUGAAGCGCUCUAUGUGCACCAGCGGAUCAGUUCUUCCCGAGUAUCUGAGGUCUGGGAGGCGGAAAUCUCUCGGAAUAACCGCCCUCAUGAUCUCUGCUGCGAGCGGUGAUUCUCCGUCCAGCAUUAUCCUCCAACCAGGGGCUCUGUUCCUUCCUUGCAUGUCGUCAAUUAUCUGCGCUAGUCUGCGCACUUCCUCCUCCAGCUGCCCUGCACGACCAGGGUCACGUGCCUCAACUUGAUCGCGCUCUUGCUCUACAUCAUGCAAGUGUUGCCUCAACUUUGUUUCCUCCGCAUUCACCACCCCGUCGGCCUCGUCAGAAAUCUGUCUUGCCGGGGACUGCUCUCUUUCUCUAUGGGAUUCUCCCCGCAGAGGUACGUUACCUCUCUCCCCACCAUAUCCCCCGGUGGUUUGACUUCUCCUCGCACCAUCGGGACCUGGUGCCACCCCUCCGCCUCUCAACCUUCCCUCUUGGGCCACCCUUCGCUCGCUCCGCAGCUCAUGCAGGAUGGUUGUCAAGGUCUCCAUCUGCUUUUCCAUCCGUUCCAUCCGGUCGAACAUGACUUUUUCCCGUGCUUCACUGACUAUCUCCCUCAGCGUCACGGGAUCGUUAAGCCUCACAUCACCCCCUUGUGCACUAUUUCCUCCUAUCUCCAUUACUUUUCACUUGCUUCACUCCUUUUCUUGCUAUCUACAGAAGCUUUUUUGUAAGGUCCCCACAGACGGUGCCAAAAUGUUGAUGCGAGAUUCUGGUUCUCCUCAUUCUACGACCAGGAUCUCUACUCGAUCAACUUCACCACGACCAGGAAGUCUCCUCGUAAGGCUCCUUCUCCAGAGGUUCCUGCGCACACAGACAAGUCAGAGUACGCCGGUUGUUUUCCCGGCGCAAACCCUCCGACGCUCAAGUCAGAUAUCCAGGUUUGGGGAACACUUGCCACAAAUCUUAUGGCCUUUAGGUCCGUUCUCUCCCUCUAGAAUUUCUUUAGUCUCUCUUUUAUCUCAAAAAAUUGCCAACCCCUUUACCUUCGUUCGCUACCUUUUUGUAGGCUGCCUCUGAAUCCCAGUUUUCCGCUUUUUGCCAGACGGUAUGGGACUCUGACUGCUGCGUUAUGGGCAAAGGUGGGAUCUUGCGUGUUACGCCACGGUUCUGGGGAAAGCGUGGCUGUCGUGAUUCUGUGAGAUCUUGCGUGUUACGUCAUGGGUCUGGGGAAAGCGUGGCUGUCGCGCCUAGAUUCUCGAGCUGGAGAGCAUGUCUUGUCAACUGUCGUCGGCCGGGUCUCCUCGCCACUCGGCCUCUAGCCGAAAUGACCUUAUACCUCUCACAGGAAGUUGGCCUCGCGGAUGACGUGCUCGUGGACGAACAAGAUAUUUCUGCUCCUGUUCCCCCGCGCACCAGGCUUUUACGGAACACACCGGUCCGCAGAACUCUGCCAUCAGAUACCUGCUCACCAUGCCUGGUCUCGUCGACGUAUUUCUCCCAAACACAACUCAUAUUACAUGAGAAUAUAACUGAUAUAUACAAAUCAGACUAUAACUGGGACCAACAUACAUCAAAGCUAAUGGAGCGCUGCCCAGAUUUUAACCCUCUCAAAUAUUCGAGGGAUGUCUACUCCUCGCACUGGGGCAAGGAAGCAGACUGCCUUCACUCAAUUUUAUUUGAAGAAGAAAACACCCCACAUGCAUUGUGGGGGUUCGAACUGCUGCAGCAGCUCUCACCACUCGGCCAAAGACCGAGUGGCUAUAUUACUUCCCUGUUAAGAGCUGGAUCCCACACCCUUGAGCUUUUGUCGUCCCGGUCAACUAUAAAAGCAAAUCAUUAUUGAGUGGGAACAGACUUAUUGAUCACCCAAUUUUCAAACUUGUCAUCGUUAUUGAAUCUGCAUUCCCUUUUAAAAAAUUUUAAAAAAAGUACAAAUAAUGAAACAAAGUUCUAUUCCUUCAACAGUUGAUAGAGUUACGCGGCUUCAACUUGCAAGUGCUGUCGGCAUUUUCAAACUUGUAAUACCCUUACAACUUGCUUUCCAAGAUAGCUAUAAUUAAUAAUGACAACAGUCUCCCUUAUAGCGACUAGUGAGCAACUUGUUUCGUGAAAUUAACAGCAUCUUCUCUCACAUUUUUUAAAAAAUUGAAUUAUAUAACCCACCAAAACUAUAAAGAAUUGUUAGUUUUUCUUCAUUAAAAUUAAUAUAUUGCUCCUCAUUUUGAAAAAUCAAAAUUCAGAAUAAGAAUGAUUGAUACUGUUUAUUUACUAAAAUGAAAAUAAAAUAUAUGAAGCCUACAUAUUUUUGAAAUUAAAAAACAAGAACUUUAUUUUUCAUGGGAAGUGUUGGAAAUCAAGUUCUCAUUAUUUAAACUCUCAAUUGUACCUCACCGAAAUUUCAUAAUUUCACUUUUGUUCUCAAUUAAAAUAUUGUUAUAGUUAUUAUUCUUAUUUUUAUAGUUGUUGUUGAUGAUGAUGAUGAUGAUACAAGAUAAUUAAAUUAAUGAUAAUUAAACCAAUUUGAAUUCAGAGUGAGUGAGUACCAUGACUUCGCAUCAUUUGAUAUCAAAAGAGCAUCAUUACUAACUAAUAUAGGCUCGAUCGAAUUCAUCAUGCGAAGCAUAAUAUCGGCUGUAGGUAUGGAAAUAAAUUUUGUAUCCACAAACACUAUUUUUCAAAAUAUUUUAAGACUUGACUUAGCAUUUUUUAACCAUAUAUGUAUAGGUUGUUUGACCUAUUUUAAAUAGUGGAGAUUACAACAAAUGAACAGAUGUGGAUUAGUAGAGUUGUUGAGUUCAGAAGAUUGAAGUUAACAAAGGGUUUCUUGAUCUAGAGAAAAUUUGAAAGAGCGAAGUGUCUUCGAGAUCAAAAGACGAAAUAAGGAAAGGGUAAGGUUAUACUUUCAAAAUGAAUCUGUUGAGAGAACUUUGAAGAUUACUUCCGUUAAGAGCUGGAUCCCACACUUGAGUCUUCGUCGUCUCAGUCAGUCAGCUGUAAAGUCAGUCAGCUAUAAAGACAAAUUAAUUUUGAGUGUGAAAGGACACAAUUGAUCACCAAAUUUUCAAACUCGUGAUCCUUAUUCAAUCUACAUUCCCAUUUGAAAAACAAUAAAAGAUUAACAUUAAUUUAACUUCAUCUAGAUUCCCAUUUGAAUCUGCAUUCCCAUUCCCUUGUUCUCUGGGAAUGCACAUAAUCAAACAAAAUCCUAUCGGCAUUUUCAAACUCGUGACCCUUCAAGCUUUCUAUGACAACUAUAAUGAAUAAUUACAACAAUGCUACCUAAUAGUGAGCAACUUGUUUGAUGAAAUUAACAGCUUCUUUUCUCUCAUGUAUUUUUAAAAAAUUAAAUUAUCAAAGUUUUUAUUUCAAAAUUAGUGCUAUAGUUCAUUAAUUUUUCAAUUUUUCCUUUUUCUUUCCACACAACAGAUUGAUUUGCCCUCCAAAAAAUAUAUUAUAUUGUUUAAUAUUGUAACUUCAAGAAACUUACAAUAAAUUUUUAAAGAGAUAAAUAGAGAAUGUCAGUCUCCCAUCUACUCAAAAUUAAUAUAUAUCAUUAACUCUUGAUUAUUUUUAUAACAACUAAUAACUUUCUUGGCAGCAUAAUUUUACAGUAUCAUCCUUGUUUGACGUUUGUAAGUAUAUUUUUAUUCAUAUUUAUUAUAAAUUAAUUAAAUCAUAUCAAUGAAAAUUGAAAUAAAAAUUGAAGUACUAAAAAUUUAAAAAAUAUAUUUUGGUGUGAAUAAAAAAUUGAAAAUAAAAAUAUUUUUCUUAUAUUUUUUGUUAUUUUAAAAAUUUUUCUUAUAAUAAAUGUAUAUUUUAUAUGCUCAACUUUUUCUUUUAAUUUUUGUUAUUAGGAGGAUUUUUAGAUAUAAUGAAAAUUGUAAGGUAGUAAGUAAUAUAUAAUAAUUUUAAUAGAGAAAAGUAAAAAAUCUCUUAUUUUAAAAUAUAAGGAGAAAAAUAAUUAAUUUCAAGACAUUUUAGAAGAUAUUUCAAUAUGCGGUGGACCACAAACUCGAGUCUUUGUCAUCUCAGUCAACUAAAAGGACAAAAUAUUGAGGGCAUGGCUAAGGUGCAGAAGCUGCAAGUAACAGCUUCGAACUUUCCCAUUUCCAUCACCUUGCAUUGGGACCUCUUUCUCUCUCCUCUAGCACCCGUGGAAGUUCCCCAUUGGCUACUGUAACUUACAGAAGCUGUAACAUAGAUUUCUCCGAAUAUUGAGCGCGAAGGGCUCAAGUGAUUGUUAAUUUCACAGCAAUUGCCUUUUUUUUUUUCUAAUUAUUGGGAAAUAAUAAUUUAGUAUAACAAAUAUUAUAUCCUAUACUUUAUUGCUACAAAAUUACGAAACCUUAUAUUAUAUUAUGUUUCCAUAUUUCUCCUUUAUAGUGAAGACUCAUACUUCUUCUCUAGUAAAUGUUAAAGCAUUGGCUUAAACUUUUUAACUAGCACAGUAGACCCUUAAGCUAUAUAUACUAUAAUGUCCCUCUUCCCUCACAGAUUAAACCAAUCUAUCUCAGAGUAAGUUUGCAUCAAAGGAGUAUCCUUACUAACUAAUAUAGACUCGAUCAACAGGGAUGACAAUAAUUUUUUUAUCUACGAACAUUAUUUUUUCAAAAUAUUAUAUCUUUAGACUUAACUAAAUAUUUUUUAACCAUAUAUGUAUAGUUCGAUUAAAUAGUGGAGAUUACAAUAAAACAUAUGCGAAUUAGUAGUGAUGUUGAGUUCUAGGUCAAGACGAAAAUAAGGAAAGGAUAAGGGUGUAUUUUCAAAGUGAUUCUAUUGAAAGAUCUUUGAAGAUUACUUUCGUUAAGAGCUGGAUUCCACACUCUUGAGCCUUUGUCGUCCCAGUCAACUAUAAAGACACAUUAUUAUUGAGUGUGAACAUUCCGACUUAUAGAUCACCAAAUUUUUAAACUUGUGAUCUUCGUUGAAUCUGCAAUCCCUUUUGAAAAAAAAAAAAAAAAAGGAAAACUGCAAAUAAUGAAACAAAAUUCUGUUCCUUGAUAGAGUUACGCGGCUUCAACUUGCAAGUGCUGUCGGCAUUUUCAAACUUGUAAGACCCUUCAACUUGCUUUCCAAGAUAGCUAUAAUUAAUAGGAUCCCUCUAAGUUACGUUUAACGUAACAUACAGCCGAUGACAUGAUUAGUUGACCAAUAAUUAUAUGCCAGGUAAACAUAAUAAUAAUAAAAUAGAACUGAUUUAAGCGGUUGGAAGUCGGUCAUCAAAAGAAGUCAACGCAGGCAACACCCUUCUACAGGCGGUUGUCUCUGCCGUCAACUUUUCUGGUUUCUCCGACGACUCAAUCCUUCCCAUUAAGUUAGAAUCCCAAUUUUGCAGGCUCAAAUCUUUCCCGGCUACUGCCAAACCCAAAACCCACAUCAAUGAUAAUCAUCAUCAUCACACCGAAAAACACACACAAUCUCUUCAUCAUCAUCAUUCAAAUCCAACUUCAAAGUUAGAGUUUUUUUUAUUCCAAAUAAAACCCAUAUGGGAAACUCGGCUUGGAGACUGCAAAAUCCGUUUCUAGUUGUGAUUCCUCUCCUCCUUUGCCAUUUUCUUUGAGUCCAAAUAGAACCCAGAUUAAAAAAUUGAUUUUAAAGAAAUUCCAGGUGUGGGUCUGUUUUUGCUUUUGUUCCUAUUGUCGCUGUUUCCUCGAAAUCGAAGUUGAAGUCGAAAUCCAACUCAUUUUCUUCGUCGUUGAGUUCUCCGAGUUCAUGGAUGGAUUCACCUUCUUCUCCGCCGUCUCCACCUCAGAGAAAGGGCUGUUUUUUAUGUUCUCCAAAGAGUGCUUUGAAGAAAAAGAGCAAGAAAAGUCUAAUUCUUGGUGAUGAUCUUGAUUUGCUUGUAAAGAACGAUGAGUUCUUAUCGGAUUUGAAAUUUUUUUUGUGUUAAAGAGCAGGAAAAGAUGCUGCAGAAGGCAAUAAGGGAGCAAGAAAAGGUUAGUGGAGACUGGAGAGGAAGAGAAGAUUGUCAAAUGGGCACACCAAUUCAGCCGGUUUCCCAUCCUUUAGAGCUUUUGGACAAAUUAAACACUAGCCAUUGGAUUAGAUUUUAACACUUUCAACGGACAAGAUUUUUUAAAUUGUACGUUACGUUAAACGUAACUUAGGGAUUGCCUAAUUAAUAAUGACAACCGAAGACGGCUACGUUUGCGGUACAAAAGUUGCACCAUAUUAGACGUUCUUUUUUGUUCUUAUCCGAAGUAACCGUUGGAUUCAAAGGAAAGUGAUCAGACAUUCAAUAGCUUCACACGUGGACAUUAUAGGAUACCGGUCAAAUCGGUUAGUGCUCCUCCACAUCAAACUCACAAGCAUGGCAAUCAUCGUAUCAGCUUGGAAACUUGUUACAAGUGACGAAGAGCAACAGGGUCCGCUCCUCUAGAGUCGGUUAGUGCUCAAUAAUGUUACAGUUUUUAUAAUAUAUGUAACUGGUACGAUCGCUGUCUCAAGUGGUAAACUUUUGAGGCACAAAUUUAGAACGAAAAGUUCCCAAUAAAAUAAGUUAUUUAAUUAAUUAAAUAAGAAUAAAAUGAAUUUGUGAAAAAAAAUUUAAAUUUAAUUUUGAAUUAUUUUGACCAAAAUUUAAGUUUUUUUUUUUAAAUUUGUUUAAGAAAAUGCGUUGUAAUUGUCUUGUUUUAAUUAGAAAAUCAAUGAAAAAAUUAUGUAAAAAAAAAAAAAAAAAAAAAGCAAAACGCUUUGUUUUGGAUGGAGGCCAUAGAUUCCAAUAUUUCCUUCACGAAAACUACAAAAAAAUUAUCAAAGGCAUCAAUUUCUACACUCUCACCGAGCAAUACUCUUAACCCAGAAGAAAGUGUAUAAACCAACCUCAAUCAGUCCAUCAAUGUCGUCAACCUCAUACAGCAUAAACAAAUCUGUGCCCAUUAAACUGCCAUUUAAACCGUCUUUAUUGAGCCAUUAGACUACUUGUGUCAUCUUGCCAUCUCGUUGUAGUAUUUUGCCGCUCAAAUCUAGUUAUCAAUUGGGGAAAAUGGGGACCAAUCUGCAAGUCUUUAAAAUAGAAAGAAACUUUAAUUGGGCACUAUGUUCACUGUAGUGGACCCAGGAGCAGCUAUUUGUGCUUCAAAAAAUAUUUUACUCACUCUAAUUUUAAUAAGAAUAUAUAUUACCAAAUUACUUAUCAUAUAAGUUACUGGACAAUAUAUUAUAAGUCAACAUUAUAUAAUUACUUUGAACACUUAUAUAACCCAAUCCUAAUUUAAUUUAUUAUUCUCAUAACUUAAAUAUAAAAAUUUUUAUUUCCAACUUCUUAAUUAAUAUGUAGAUGAAUAAUAAGGAAAUUAACUUUGAGAAAAAAUUAAAUACAAAAUAUGUGUAAUACUUUAAAAAAAAUAAACAAAAGUAUUGCACAAGAUUAUUUUUUUUGGUGGGGGGGGGGGGGGGGGGGGGCUUUGGCCAUUCUUCUUCUUCUCCUUCUCUCUCUCUCUCUCUCUCUUUUUGUAGUAUUUAUGGAACAUUUUCUAUUGUUAUGUUCUCAUUGCAAGUUAUUUUGGGUGUAAAAUUCAAUAUUGAAAAUAAAUUAAAUAAAAAAAUUAGUAACUAAAAUUAUGUUAAAUUAUUUUUUAACUUAAUUUUUAAUUAUAUUAUUAGUAUAUGUUAAAUCUCUUAAAAAUCGAGUGUUGAAUAAUUUUAUUAGUUUUUUAAAUAAAUAAAAUUAAAUAACUUCAAAAGUUUAAGUAAGGAUAUUUUUAAAUUUUUUAAACAGUGUACAAAGUAAAGUUUAUUUUCUUGUCAGUGGCAAAUGAUCACGACAAGAAAUAUGAAGUAGAAACAGCAGAGCUCAACAAAUCACUAAGAGAAAAUAAGACCAAUAACCAAGCAGAUAAAAGAAAAGCAAAAUAACCCAUCUCAAAAUCACCACAUGCACAAUUUAAGGGGUUUGUGACAUGGGUUUAAACAUGAUUUAACAAGUGCCACCUGUGAAUUGUCAGAGAUUGUAUUUUCAUACACAUGUCAAAUUUUCAAAUCCAACAAAUUGUUAUCUUUAUAAAGAGGCUAAUAUUAUUAUUAUUUUUUUUUUUUGAAGUCUGUUAUACACAGAUAUUACUGACAUUACAUCAGACAUUACAAUUGAUAUUUACAAUCAUACUAUAUAACUGGGACUACCACCAUACAUUGACACACUGAAGUAUAUGCCCAGAUAUUUUAAACCCUCUCUAAUAUUCGAGGGGUGCAUAUCUACUCACAUUUCGUAAGAGAGAGACUGUCUCCACUCAAUUAAUUGAUAAUUGAGGAAGAACUGAAACUAACCUCCAUAAUGCACUUAUGGAGGCUCGAACCCUUGCACUCAACAUUGUAAGUGCAAGGUUUCUCCCAUUGAACCAAAGGCCCAUUGGUUAAUAUUAUUAUUAUCUAUGCAUAGCAUGCUAUAAACAAUUCAUAUUACUAGGGCCUUUGUUUUCUGUACACAACAUAUGGACAGCGGAACAAAUCCCUGAGCUAAAAUCAUCAUAUUCCAAAAUAUUCUAUUAAAUCAACACCACAAAACGCGAACGCUAAACAGAAUUGGAGCAAUUUACCAAAGCUAUUUGUCACGCAAAGCACUAGUACCUCAGAACCCAAUUUGCAAAAAAGCACCAAAAAUGAAAAAUAACAAAUGCCCAGAUGAAAAAUCAGGAAAAAAAAAAUGCUCAAAUCCAAAUUACAACCCCAUAAGCUGAGUCGUUCUCUUCGAACUGAAUUAAAAAAAAAUUAAAAAAAUUAAAAUGGGGAGAUUGACCUCAAACUUUGGAAACAGAAGCGACAGCGAUCUGUUUCUUGUCUGGAGUGUCCAUUUCUAUAAUCUACUUUCUCCGUUUUCAGUCGCUCUGCCGCAGAGCUUCUUCCCUCUGAAGCCGAAGCUCACACACACUUGCAAAACGAAAGCAUUUUUUAUUGAUUGAGAGGCGGGAAGGCGGGAAAAUGAGAGAAAUUUGCAUUUGUUUUCUCUUGGUUUGGUCAUACCUGUGCGGGCCCCAGCUUGACAAGCGGUAUUAUUACUAUUUGUAUAAUUUACAUGACGCGUGUCACGCAAUGACGAUAAAAAAAAAAUAUAUAUUGUUAAUUUUUCACUUAACAUUGAAAUAUCAUAUAAUUUUUCCAAUUUUAUGGUUAUUUUCUCGCCCUUAUGCCACAUUCUUUUGAUCAAACAAUACAGUAAAACUUUUCUAUAAUCAUAAUAUUAGAGCCAAAUUAGCUUUAUUUAUGUAAAGAGGCUAUAGCUUAAUGAAGUUAAAAUUAUAAAAAAAUAUUAUUUUGACUCAAUUAUCUUUAGUGCAAGUGAUAUAAAGUAUAAAUAUAUGGUAAUUAAUUAAUGAACUAUGUCAAAUACAAUAUACUGACAAUGAUAAAAAAGAUAGACAUAAUUUCAAGAAACUAAUACAUAUAUUUAUGCAGUGUUGGGAUUAUACAAAAUUAUCUUAAAAAUGUAAAGAGUAAAGUAUUAUUCUGAUUAUUUAAAAAAUUUAUUUUAUCUUAAUCUUUAAUGCAACAUAGCUUUUAUUUUUUUCUUAGCAACAAAGCAUUGUUCCAAAUAAUUAUUAUUGGAUUCAAAUCAUGUCCUAGGCAUUUUUUCUUCUAGUCGUCUUAAACUUUUAAUGAUUUAUUGGCAUGUGUCAAUCAUUAAUGAAAUUAAAUAACUAAGACUUUGUUUUAAUUAACGUUUACAUAAAUAGACAUCAAAACUCACGUGUGAUUCUUAUCAAUUUUUUUCCUGCAAAUUCUUUUCCUCUCAACUAUUCAUAUUUUGACAUUAAUUUCCAACAAAUUAUUUUUAAAAAAAAGGAGCGUAAAAUGGAGAAAAGUGAUUCACAACAAGGUUUGCAUCUUAAUUUCAAAAUUUUCCUUUCUUUGCUAUUUUUGUGGGUUCUACAAUUGUUGUUUUCACUCUCAGCUGCAGUUCAAUGAACUCUAUUAAUAACCAUGAAGCUUAAUGUAUCAAUUCCAAUGCGACAAGUCCUUCUACGCAUGUUACAACACUUUUUGGUCAUUAUAGGUUGCAAAUGCUCCGUAAUGUACUCAUUCAUAUAACGGAAACGCUAUUAUCAAUAAUGAAAGUUGACUAAGUUUGUAAAUUCUAUUUAACGAAAAAGUAACAUAAAUUUAGUUGAACAAGAGGUAAUUAAUAUGUAAUCUAUGAAACUAGGGUGUGACUAAGUUACAUAGUAAUGUAACUUACAUGAACACAAAAAUAAUUAGUUUUUAAACUACAAGUAGCUUUGGAACAGCUCUUAAAUUGAUAUAAGUUCUAUUAUUAUGUAACUUAGCAAGGUCAGAUAUUUUAAUAAUAGCACAUCACUAUUGUUUCAUGUGAAUGAUGCAAUUGGAUUAGCCCAAGACCAUUCAUACCGUCAUCCCCGGGAGAUGCUAUGGCAAUAGCUUACUCUACCGUGCCAAUGUCAUUAGUAUUAAUCUGAUGAACCUAAGACCAGAUCUAAGCUGAUCUAGAUUCCCCAAGAUCGCACACCACACAGUGAUUAAUGAAUCAAGAACAAUAAACCAUCAAAGAAUCGCAAACUUUCGGGUUACAUGUAAUAAAUGUUUUAAUUAUUAGAUGAUUCAUAAUGUUAGACCAUUUUUUGUAUGUUUUGUAAUCUACGUUUGAUAAUUUAAUUAGCUGAUAAACACUUGAAUAAUAUUAUUUCAUUAACUAUGUCAUUGAUCCCCAGGAAAAAAAAAAAAAAAAAAACCCCCAAUUUAGGAUGUUAUACAUUACUUUUCCAUUACUUCCCAUUUUAGAUUAAUAUCUAUCACAUAUAUUCUUAGUAACUUGUCACCCUUCUAUUUCUGAGAUUGUCCUUACAAUAAGGAUGCCGGCCCCAAUGUUAAAAACUGCUAUCUCUAGGUGUAAAUUCCUUAUAAAAUUCUUUUUUAAUUGAAAUUACUUAAAUAAUUGAAGAUAAAUUAAUUUUUUAUUUCAUUCAAAUAAAAAAAAUCAAUUAAACACUUAAAUAAGCUAUCCUUUUAAUUUUUUUUUACACCCCUCCAGUUUCAUAAUUUAUAUUUAUAAUUUAAAUUUUAAAGGAAAAUAUUUUUUUGAAAAAUUUUAAGAAUUAAGAAUUAUGGGGAUAAAAAUUAUGUAAUAAGAACAAAAUAAUUUAAAAUUUUAAAAUUUGCAUGUAUUAUAAACAAAAACUUGAAAGAAAUACUCUUUUCAGGGUGAGAUUUAAUCAGAAAAAGAUUAAUUUUCAUUUAUGGAUCAGUAUUUUAUAAAUUAAACAGAGGUAUUUUAAGAAAUAGAAUUCAAAAGGCAUGGGAACAAGGGCAUUGGGUUUCCUUUUGUUUUGUAUGGAUUGGGAAAAAUACACGGACAGACAAAGGGAACAGUCAUUAUAAUGCUGCGGAGCUUGUCGGAGAUUCCCUGCCCAUUUGUAGCUUAGACUCCUGGGGUUUUGUUCAUGUCUUUUCUGUAUCCCACUUUCUCAUGCAGCAGAUGUACAUAUGAUGAGAUGAAAACAACAGCAAAAAUUGCUGUCUCAUAAGAGAAAUAGUCAUACAUAGUUGGUUAGGCCUCCUGUCCAUUAACAUAAUAAUGAAUUUUAUGAAAAUUGAUUAUCUCAUUGGAAUUACAUAGAUAUUGGAAAACAUUACUCCAGCCCCACCAUCCCAACCAUUUACUUAGUUCAUCAGUAAAAGCUGGAUUUUCCAUUUGUUCUUGAGAUUCAAAUUAAGGCAACAAGUUGCUCAUUCUAUAUUAUCUAUGUAAUCCUGUAAAAGUGAAGGGCGUUUAGAUGUGGAAAAACCUUACUCCUGCCGCAACACCUCAAACAGAUUGUGAUCAGACAAGACUUAGUUCAUCAUUAGUAGUAGUUGGAGCUUCCAUUUGUUCUAGAGAUUUAAAGGCAGCAAGCUGCUUCCUCAGUGCUACUAAUUCUUCCCCGGCAUUGCAUAUGUAGCCUGAGGCUUGUCUACCAGACAAAGUUGCUCCUUCCAUACUAUCUAUGUAAUCCAGUGAGAGUGAAACCAUUUAGAAGACGUAUCUCUUUCUUUCCAAUAUUUAGAAUGAAACAAUUAUAUACAGUUACCUGUUUUGUAUAUGAGCCGACGAGGAAGAAGUUCUUCACUGGUGUCUUUUGAUCGUGUCUGAAGGAGUCUUUACCAGGUCCCUCACCGCACAAAGAUUGCCCGAUUUUGACAAAAGAUGACCAAAUAACUUCUAAACCUUGGGAUGAUGGAAAUAGAGCUAAAACCUAAUAAAAGGAACCGUGAAUGGAUAGUAUGGACUCAUGUAUAUUAUCCAGAAAGUUGCAUGACCUUUUGUGGUACUCAGGUCACUAAAAAAUGUGAGAUAAACAUCUAGGAUAAGAAAAGCAAAAAAGCAUAACCUAAUACGUAUUAUAUGAAUUGAAGGUGUCACUGAACACUACCAACCUGCUUUGCCACUCUCCUUAUGAUUUCAUCAUUUGGUAAGGGCAUAUAAGGAUCUCCAGGUGUCAAAAUGAAUCUGAAAUAUAAUAUGGCUAUAGUAAGCAACACAGAAUACAAAGACACUUAGCAAAAGGAAGCCAAUCAGAUUCCAUGCACAAAAAAUAACUAAUAAUGACGAGGAUAAGAAAUUUUUCUUACUGGAGCAAUGAACCUUGCCCUUCUCUGUAGUAGUCUUCUGGUGAAGUGAGUGCUAGAUCUGCAAAGCAAGAUAAAUCUGCAUCUGGAGUAUAUGAAAGGUUAUCUAACCCCACAGCUUGCCUCAAUUGUCUACAUGUUCAAAACAAGGAUCUGUUAAAAAAUGGAAAUUUCUUCAAUGCAUUAGUAAAGGGAAGUGAAGUGAAAGCUGAUUUCUUAGGCCUUCACAGAGCAUCAUGUGUUUGAAUUCCGGUAACCUCACAAAAGAUUAGAGCAUCACCUUGACCGUUCUAUGUCUUGCAACUCAGUAACCCAACCAUUGUAUCUAAGCUGCACUGUGACAACAGGAACUCCAACUAGCUCAUAAAUAUUGUUGAAAAAUUUCAUUUCCCUCCACGAUGAUGGAAGCAGUCUUUUAAUUCCAGGGACAUCACAUGCGGCCAUUAAAUAAGAAGUUGAAUAAAGAAAAAUCGUUCAACUAAAUGAUUCAGGAGUUAAAAAAAAAAAUGUAGAAGUAGAAAUAAAUAACGAGGAUUUAACCAUGAACCUGCAACAUAUGCAUCAGCUUGCACAACCUUCUUGUCAGUGGCCUGAAAUAGAAUGAGAAAUUGAAAGACAGUAAGCAUUAAAGAAUAAACUCAAAGAAGCUGCUUCUAACAGAUGAUAUAAACAAUAAAUUUACAAAUGUCAGAUCAUUGCAUUAGCUCUAUGCCUCCAUCAGAGGGAAUAUUAAUAGAUGCAUAAAAAAAUAAUUAGAGCCACAUGUGAAACAAUUUACCUUAGACGUAGCAGAUUUAUCAUAAAGUAUCUCUCUGCAUCCCCACCUAAGAUGGAACCUGUUCUCACAAGAACAGAUCCCAAGGUUGGGAAAAUCAGUUCAUCAUAGGAGAAAACAAAGAAGAUUAACAAAUCACUACAAUGGUGUGAACCCGUAAAUACAAACGUACCUGCCCCCUUUAUCUGUGAUAUAUUUUCUUAUGGGCCCACUCAAAUAAACAUCCGGAGAACCCUUGAGCAUCAGCAAUAGGGAAGCCUCAGUCUUAGUCGCAAACAGUGCAAAUAUAGUAAGCAUACAACGAGCACUGAUGUUAUCACAAUCAAUAAACCCAAGGGCAUACGAAACAGGAUCCCACAUUCUUUGGAACCCUUGGACAAAAACCAAUCAGAGAAGCUUAUCUGUAAGAAGAAAUGAAGUUUUAGGUAAAAUAACAAUCUGUAGGAACAGGGAUUGAAAUUCAACAAACAAGAAAAUAUGAUGUCAUUCUUACACUAUCCAAAUCUCAUAUGUCCUUCAAGGCUCCAUCAGGAUCAACAAGUGCCUUUACAACAGCACUCAGAGCAAGAGCAAGAGCAAGAGCAUUUCUUGCUUUAUCAUAAGUCUGCACUUGAGCAAUUUACGAGGCAAAGUACAUCAAAAGAGAAUCCAAAGGAGGCAAGAAGCUUCAACAUGAAAAAAGGAGUGCUGCCUCAUCAUACUGCUUUGCAAUCACAGUGCAAAAGAUAACAUCAACAAAAUCAAAAUCUAGCAUAAAUCCAUAUGCACUACCUUAAGCUGAUUUGUAGACAAAAGACCCGUUUGGGGCAGCUGCGUGGCAAACGGGUCUUUUGUCUACAAAUCAGCUUAAGGUAGUGCAUACGGGUCCAAAAAUGCGUGAAUCCCAUGUAACGGAGCUCCAAUCAGAAACCCGAAAUCAAGUUCUGGAGUUGAAAAUCAAAAUCAUGAACCAAAUCAGAGUUAUUAUUGAAUUAGACAAUCCAUAAACCAAUAGAAGGUAAAAAAAAAGGAAUAAAAAUUCUUCUAAAUUCUUUCACCAUCAACAAAAUCAGUAAAACACAUACUGAUUCAAAAUGACAUAAAGUUUGUGAAUUGAAAUAAUGCCAACUCCUAAGAAAAAUUAUGACUGCUGAUAUUUUUUCUGAAAUGCUGAUAAAAGCUUCUGCUAUUUACUUUGAAAAAAUAGAGGUUAGAAGCCAAUUUACUUGAAAUUUUGAGUUUAGGCAAGAGGAUGAAUGGCAAAAGUGAAACAUUUUAGGGAAAAAUGUACUUCAGAGGCCAAUGAAAGCAUUCAGAAGAUUGAAAUCUAAAUAAGCAAAACCCCGUGGCCUUGAUCCAACAAAUCCACUGCUGUUGACAUGCCUGCAAGCCCAGCUCCAAUAAUAGCCACUUUCAGCUUUGGUCCUCUAUAAUGUUCCGGUUCUGGUAGAAACAAACCCUUGGGAGCUGCCAAGUAUACCAUCCAAUUAUCCACAGCGAUAAUGGAAAUAUAUAUGUGUUUAAAGGUACUAAAUUCCUAAACAUGAAAUGUAUCCAAAGAGAGACACAAAGCAGAAUUGUGCAAGCAUUUCAAUUCCCAAUAAAUUUUAAGAAUACAAAAUACUCGGUCUGUUCCUCAAUUCCUUUAAUAAAAUUUCCACUAGAGGCUACGGAAGCCACUCAAUAACACUCCAAAGCCAGAUUUUAAAAGUUAUCUUUAACACAAAUUCAAUUCAAAAUUGUUCAAGUGCACCGCCACUUCUCCAUCAAUUCCCUCAAAAAUUCAUAAUUGCCAAACACUACAAACCAAAAAGAGCUUCCAGCAAUAAACGCAUAAAAAUCCACCAAGCAACAUAAAACAAAAUACCCAGAAACCAGAAAAGCCAAACGAUCAAUGCUUGGCAAACAAGCCAAUCAAAUAAAACAAAAAGAAGAGAAAUUUACCAUUAACGCUCAUAUCAGAAACAUUAGUGUCCAAAGAAGCCCGUACACAGAAUCUUGGAUCCUUCACUUGAACCCGAGACCAUGUAACGCCAGUAACUGAAGUUGCAGGAAACAGAACUGAAGAACCCAUAUUGCAAAUCCUGAGCUGAAAUCAAAGAAAUUCAAUUGGAACUCAAUUCAGCUCAACCGAGCGGAGCUCUCUUUUGCUUCAAUAACAAAGUGUUUUUCUUUCAUAUCAACAAAGAUUUGUCAACAUCAACAAAAUUUAACUAAGAAACUAAAAUAAUGCAGUAUCUUUGAGUUUAAGAAUCUAACAAGAUGUUAAGGAAGAGAGUUUUGUCAGGGAACUGUUUCGGAGAGGUUGGCCAAGUGCAUUUUUGUUUUUUUCUUGUUUUGCCCUUUUCAUUAAUGCACAACAUUAGUCCACGUGAAGAGCACAAAAUGCUGGUGGCUUUGUCACUAACGAUAAUGGAUGGAGUGUCCAAAGCAACCAACUAAAUUUUAAAGAGAGGGAAUGAUAAGUAAUAUCUUAAUGGGGUGAUUAAUUAAUUUAUUAUCAAGCAAUUGUAUUUAUUUAUUUAAAAGAUAUCCUUAUCUUUGUACAAGGUUUGAGGAAAGACGACGAUGUUGUGUUGUCACAUAUUUUUACGUUUCUCCAUAAUUCACUGCAACAUCAACUGGGCCACCACCUCUUGCCUCUCCUGGUUCCCCUCAAUUUUCGUAUUCAAUGUCCACCGUUGAUUGUACAUUUAUUAAAAUUCUGUGGUUAUUGUUUUUUUGCAUACAUUUAAUUCCACACGGUCUAUGGAUAGAGCAGGUGCAUCGUAGUUGUGGCCUUAACUGUUAUUGGUAACUCAAUAGCUAAUUCUAAUGUUUCAUCAAGCAGUUUAGAGAUAACCUCUCUCGCUGAACUCCCCGGAGUAACGCAAUCCAGUUUUCCAGUGCAAUCAUCAGACAGUUGAACAGCUUCUGAAUUCCCUUUGCUUUUCUUGUUUUCUUUUCCAUGUAAAGGGAGCUCAGGCUUCAAUAUAUCUGGGGAUUGAGUUCUAAUGAUAAAGACAACAUACGGUAGAGGACACAAAUUGUUAUUAAAGAAUGACGCACUUUUCAACUGAGUACAGUAAAGCAAGAAUGGGUAAUUAGUUUUACCUGCAACGUGAAAAUCUAGACUCCCGACGGUAACCGAUCUUUGGUGAAGCAAAUAAAGAAGAAGGCGAAGUAAAAUUCACUGAGUUGAAUGAGCGAUCAUUGUGUAUGGACUUGAUUUGUUCAAUAGGUGAAAGACUGCUGAUAUAAUUAAAGACUGGAGAAUCCUGCACGUUGACAAGCAUCAUUUUUAAUAUAACAUAGAGUCUUAAAAACCUAGUCAGUGGCAAAUGAUCACGACAAGCAAAAUGAAGUACAAACAGCAGAGCUCAACAAAUCAUUAAGAGAAAAUAAGACCAUUAACCAAGCAGAUAAAAGAAACGCAAAAUAACCCAUCUCAAAUCACCGCAUGCACAAUUUAAGGGGGCUGUUACAUGGGUUUAAGCAUGAUUUAACAAGUGCCACCAGUGAAUUCUCAAAGAUUGAAUUUUCAUACACAUGCAAAUUUCCAAGUCCAACGAAUUGUUGUCUUUCUGAAGAUAUUAACGAUGCAUAGCAUACUAUAAACAAAUCAUAUUAUUAGGGCCUUUCUUUGCUGUACACAACAUAUGUACAGAGGAACAAAUCCAUGAGCUGAAAUCAUCAUAUUCCAAAAUAUUCUACCCAAUCAACACUACAAAACCCUAACGCUAAACAGAAUUGGAGCAAUUUACGAAAGCUAUUUGUCACACAAAGCACUAGUACCUCAGAACCCAAUUUGCAAAAAAGCAACAAAAAUGAAAAAUAACAAAUGCCCAGAUGCAAAAUCAGGAAAAAAUGCUCAAAUCCAAACUACAACCCCAUAAGCUGAGAUUGACCUCAAACUUGGAAACAGAAGCGACAGUGAUCUGUUUCUUAUCUGGAGUGUCCAUUUCUAUAAUCUACUUUGUCCGUUUUCAGUCGCUCCGCCACAAAGCCUCUUCACUCCGAAGCUGAAACUCGCCACACACUUGCAAAACGAAAGCAUUUGAUCGAUUGAGAGGCGGGAAGGCGGGAAAACGAGAGAAAUUUGCUUUUGUUUUUUCUUCGUUUGGUCAUACAUGUGCGGGCCCCAGGUUCACAAGCGUUAUUAUUACUAUUUGAAGGACGCGUGUCAUGCAAUGGCGAGACAAAAAGUGGUGCAAAACUCCAAUGGUCACGAAAUGACGAUAAAAUAAAAAUAUAUCGUUAAUUUUUCACUUAACAUUGGAAUAUCAUAUAAUUUUAAGGUCAUUUUCUCGCCGUUACGCCACAUUCUUUUGAUAAAAUAAUAUGGUAAAACUUUUCUAUAAUCAUGAUAUUAGAACCUAAUUAACUUUAUAUCUAUAAAGAGGUUAUAGCUUAAUAAAGCAAAAUUGUAAAAAAUAUUAUUUUGACUUAAUUAUCUAAAGAGUAAAUAUAUGAUAAUUAAUUAAUAAAUAAUGUCAAAUACAAUAUAUGGACUAUAAUAAAAAAGAUAGACAUAAUUUCAUAAAAUUAAUACAUAUGUUUUUGUAGUGUUGCGAUUAUACAAAGUUAUCUUAAAAGUGUAAAGAGUAAAGUAUUAUUCUAAUUAAUUUUAAAAAAUAUUUUAUUAUUAACCUUUAAUGCAACAUAGUAAUUUUUUUUCCCUAGCAACAAAGUAUUGUUCCAAAUAAUUAUUAUUGGAUCUAGAUCCUGCCCUAGGCAUUUUCUCUACUAAUCCUCAUAAACUUUUAGGGUUUGUUUGGCACGUGAGAUUAGAUUGAACAAACUAUUAUGAUUGGACUAAAUUAGAAGGGAUUGGAUUGGAUUGGAUUGGAUUAUAUAUAGUGCUGACUUAUGUUUGGUAUUGUAUUGGAUUAGAUUAUGUUAAAUUAAAUUUACAUAAAAUUAAAUAGUAUUUACAUUAAUAUUUGAAUUUAAAUAUAAACUAUUUAUAGAUAUUUAACAAGAAAUAUUGUAAUUAAUUAAAAAUAGCAAUUGGGUAGUAUAAUAAAGAAAUAUAAAUUAUUUAAAUUAUAGGUUAUUUCAAAGAGUGAUGAAACAACCACAAAUUCUUGUACAAACUGAUCUUAUACAAACUGAUUUGGCAUUAAUUCAUUGAAUGAAAAUAUAAAAUAAUAAAAAUAAAUCAUGUGGGCCCAAGAUAUAUUUAAUUCAACCAAUUUUAUCAUGACACAUCAAUUUGUACAAGAAUUUGUGACUAUAUUAUUACUCUAUUUUAAAUAUGAGAGAUAUCAUUUCAUUGAAUAAAAUAAAUAAAAUUAUUCAAAUAAUAAAUUAAUUAAUAAAAUUUAAGUAAAUCAUGAAUAAAAAAGAAAUUAAUUAAUUAAAAACAGUAAAUAAUUAAAUAAUUUUUAAUUUAUAAAUAAAAUGGUAUAAUAAAUUAUGGAAGAUACUAUAAAUACACAAAUAUUUUUUUCACAUUAUCUAGUUCUAACUAAACACACAUAAAAAUUAGGAUUAGCAAUCCCAUGAAUUUAGGAUUAAAAUUUGAAUUUAGUCCAUUAAUCCAAUACAUGUGAGCAUGUCAAAUAUGGUAUUAAUAUUUUAUCGCAAUAAUAAGUCCAAUUCUACACUUAAUCCUACCUCCCAAAUAUAACCUUAAGGAUCUAUUGACAUGUGUCAUUAAUGAAAUUAAAUGGCUAAGAUUUUGUUUUAAUUAAUUUUUACCUAAAUAGACAUCAAAACUCAUGUGUGACUCUUGUUAAAUUUUUUCUUACAAAUUCUUUUCCUCUUAAUUCUUUAUAUUUUGACAUUGAUUUCCAGCAAAUUAUUAAAAAAAAGGAGCACAAAUUGAAAAAAAGUGAUUGACAACAAGGUUUGCAUCUUAAUUUCAAAAUUUUCCUUUCUUUGAUGUUUUUGUGGGUUCUAUAAUUUUGGGCGGGUUCUUAUGUAAUGUUACAAUUAACAUUAGAUUAUUUUCACGGUAUAAGGCAAAUCUUGAGAAUGAACCCAUUUCAAUAUGGUUUCCACAAUAUCAGGAUCUUCUUCUCUGCUUCUAUACGUUUAAAUAAGCUGUUUGCCCUUCCUGAUUCACUUUCCUCAUGAAACUUCAGGCCUAAUUUAUCUGCUAUUUCUCCUUGAAUCUCUCGUAUGUUUUUAUUAUGGGAUACCUCAUCUCCUUGAAUCUUUCGUAUGUUUUGAUUACGGGAUACCUCAACAAGAACUACCUGAUAAAAGAGUUCACUCUUGACUUUCCUAGCAACUUCUUCCGCCAGCUUCGUCUUUCCGAUUCCGCCCAUUCCAUAAAUCCCAAGCAUGUUGACAUUGGGAUUUUUUAAUGCAUCCAUUAUGUCAUUCAGAAUGGGCGCUCUUGAUACAAAGGCCUCGUAGUCUUUGUUAGGGAUAAGCCGAAUAUCCUCUGCAGCAGUACGGUAGGAAAUUCUAUCAAAUCUUCUAGCGUCCCGGACUUUGACAAUAGCCUCUUUCAACGUCACUGCUUCCAUGCUAAGUCGACGGCGGGUCUUCAAAUUAGGACACAACCCCUUGAAACAACGCUUAUUUGCUGCGGCUUCAACUUCUGUAAAUUUAUCUGCCUCUUCAAUGACUUUGUUGGCCCCUUCAAGCCAACUCCUAACGUUCUCUUCAAUUUCUUCCCCGUUUCGUUCAGCCUCAUCAACCUGGUGCUCUGUACUCACCCUCUCAGACUUCAGAUUGUCAACUUCUGCCUUGAGAUUCUGUAAGUUGGUAGUGUACUUACUCUCACGCAAAUAGCUAAUUUCGCGAUAUGCGGGAGGAACCAAGCACUUCACAACUUCUACAACAAUAGUAAGAAUGAUUUCAGCCAUCUUCAGUCCUUUGUCCUUGUCUCUCUAUCUCUCUUUUUCUGAAUUUUUGAAAAACAAUUGACUACUUAGGAAGCACACUGAGUGAUUGAACACAAGUGACCACAACAAGAUGGAACAAAAUAAAAAGGAAAAAAAAUACAAAGAGUGGAAGGAGAAUAAAACAGAGACAGCGGCACAGCUGGACACAACUAGAUAGAGAACAGAGCAAAACCAAAUAACAAGACUUAAGAUUACAACAAACAGAGGCCAAGAAUUGUUGAGAUCAGGAGAUGGAAAAUUCAAAAGAGUUGAUGGCAGAUGCUGAAUAACAGAACAACAAUAAACGCAAUAAGCAGAAGCAAAGUGUGUUUGAAUGGAAAGAAAGACUGAUAUUGAAAAUUGAUGUCAAUAGCGAAGGAAUAAUUGAACUUUCGCUGAAUUAUUGUUUGUGGCCUUCUUUUACUUUUUAUUUGUGGGUCAUGUCUUUUGGAACUAAUCAUCUUAGGUUAUGCCUUAUAGCUUUAAGGCCGGUAAACCGGUGUCCGUUGGAUUAGCAUAUAGAAAUCCAACGGUGGAUAUAUAUACUUGGAGAAUAAAAUUCAAGAGCUAAGGGAGUGCUGGGCUGCAGUUUCUUAAGGAGAUUUAUAUAUCCUCCUCAAAAAUAAAUGUUUUAAGGUAGAUAUUUAGACUAUUUCAUCAUAAAAUAAAUGUAAUUAAUUUUCAAUAAAUAUCUUAUAUAAAUAUUUAUUUAUUUUUUUAAUUACUAAUGACCUUUGAAUAUACAUAUAUAUACAUAUCACUUAUGUAUAUACAUAUCACUAAUUCAAAAAAUAAAUUGUGAUUAUUUGUUCAUGUAUGCGAUUACUUGUGAUGGGAAAUAAAAUAGAUAUGGUAUAUUUUGAAGUUAAAUUAAAAAAAAAAAAACAGAGCUUUUACCAUUACUUGCCUUAUCAUCUUUUAAAUUAGAGUUAUUAUUCUUUUAUUUUUCAAGUUGCCAACUCAUCCGCAUUCUCUUUUAUUGAAUUUGAAGAUCAAUGAUUAUAAAUGUGUGUAAAAAUUUUAAGUCAAAACUUUAAAUUAAAAUAAUCUUUAAGUUAUUGAGAAAUAAUAACUUAGUAUAACAAAUAUUAUAUCCUAUACUUUAUUGCUACAAAAUUACGAAACCUUAUAUUAUAUUAUGUUUCCAUAUUUCUCCUUUAUAGUGAAGACUCAUACUUCUUCUCUAUUAAAUGCUAAAGUAUUGGCUUAAAUUUUUUAACCAGCAUAGUAGACCCUUAAGCUAUAUAUACUAUAAUGUCCCUCUUCUCUCAUAGAUUAAACCAAUCUGAUCUCGGAGUGAGUUGAUACCAUGACUUUGCAUAAUUCGUGAUCAAAGGAGCAUCAUUAUUAACUAAUAUAGGCUCCAUCAAUAGGCAUGAUAAUAAUUUUUUUUAUAUACAAACACUGUUUUUCAAAAUAUUAUAUCUUAAGACUUAACUAAAUAUUUUGUAACUAUGUAGAUAUAGUUUGUUUGAUCUCUUUUAAAUAGUGGAGAUUACAAACAAACAUAUGCAAAUUAGUAGUGAUGUUGAGUUUAGAAGAUUGAAGUUAAGAAAAUUAAGGGUUUCUUGAUCUAGAGAAAUUUCAAAUGAGUGAAGUGUCCUUGAAAUCGGAAGACGAAAAUAAGGAAAGGGUAAGGGUGUAUUUUCAAAGUGAUUCUAUUACGAGAUUUUGAAGUAGGGGUGGGCAAGUCGGGUUUUGGUUCGGGUUGUUCAAGUUUCGGUUUGGGUUUCAACCCAAUCGGGUUUGGGAAUUGAAUCCAAUCGGGUUGAAAACGCCAACCCAAACUAAACCGAACCGAAUUUAAUUCAGCUUGGGUUCAUAAUUCGGAUUGGUAAUUCAGGUUAAAAUUUCGGUUCGGGUUAAUUUGGGUUAGAAUAAUUCCAUCUAAAAUUUUGGGUUAGUUUGGUUUAAAACAAAUUGAAACAAUUUAAUCCAAAAAUUAUACCAACAACCACUUAAAAUCCAAAAAUCUCAAUUCCAAACAUCCUUAACAACAAAUAUCAACUACAAACUAUCCUUGAUAACAUUUCAACAAUAACAAUAACAAUAAUAACAACAACAACAAUAAUAAUAAUAAUAACAACAACUAUGAAUCAGCAAUUCAGCAUAUUGCCAUAUUCUAAAUUUAAAAAAACACACAAAUUAUGUAAUUAAUUAAUUAACAAUCUCCAAUUUAAUUUAUAAUAACAACAAAAAUCCUCUCCAAUUUAAUUAAUAACAAUCUCGAAUUGUUCAAUUAUCAGUCAACAACAACAAACCCACUCCAAAUAAUUGAACAAUUGUUAAUUAAUUAAUUAAAAAUAUCUAAUUUAAUUAAUAACAACACCCAAGAGCAAGUCAGCAAUAAACCCACUCAAAAAUCCAAAUAUCAGUAUAAAUUAAGUGUCAAACCUUGAUCGGUGGGAAGCUACAGCGUCGGCAAAUUGUGACCGUGUGGGGCUGAGUAAGACCGUCAACCGAGGGUGUGAGAAGGGAGAAGAGGGAGCAGGGAGGUAACGAUGUGUGUGUGAGUUUAUAUAUAUAUAUAUAUAUAUAAUUUUUAAAACCUAAAACUUAAAAAAAAAAAAAAUUAACCCAAUCCAAACCGCCCACCUCAUAUUACUUCCGUUAAGAGAUGGAUCCCACACUCAUGAGCCUUUGUCGUCCCAGUCAACUAUAAAAACAAAUCAUUAUUGAGUGUGAACAGACUUAUUGAUCACCCAAUUUUCAAACUUGUCAUCCUUAUUGUAUCUGCAUCCCCUUUUGAAAAAUUUUAAAAAAAGUACAAAUAAUGAAACAAAGUUUUGUUCCUUCAACAGUUGAUAGAGUUACGCGGCUUGGACUUGCAAGUGCUGUCGGCAUUUUCAAACUUGUAAGACCCUUCAACUUGCUUUCCAAGAUAGCUAUAAUUAAUAAUGACAACAGUCUCCCUCAUAGCGACUAGUGAGCAACUGAAAUUAACGGCAUCUUCUCUCACAUUUUUAAAAAAAUUGAAUUAUAUAACCCACCAAAACUAUAAAGAAUUGUUAGUUUUUCUUCAUUAAAAUUAAUAUAUUGCUCCUCAUAUUAAAAAAUCAAAAUUCAGAAUAAGAAUGAUUGGUACUGUUUAUUUACUAAAAUGAAAAUAAAAUAUAUGAAGCCUACAUAUUUUUGAAAUUAAAAAACAAGAACUUUAUUUUCCUUGGGGAGUGUUGGAAAUCAAGUUCUUGUUAUUUAAACUCUCAAUUGUAUCUCACCGAAAUUUCAUAAUUCUACUUUUGUCUUCAAUUAAAAUAUUAUUAUAGUUAUUAUUCUUAUUUUUGUAGUUGUUGUUGUUUUUUUUUUUUGGUCUUAUCCACGAGGUAUCCUGGGGAGGGCCCCAACUGUGGGAGGCACCUUUAAGCCCGUACCACAACCCAGACUAGAAGUCCCCGCUCGAACCGGGAGGCACAGGUUCUCCCAACAAAGGCGACUUCCCUGCGACUCGAACUGGGGAGCAAACCCAGUCAAGCCACUUAAGGGGACUCCAUUGCCAGUGGAGCCAACACUUUGUUGGUUGUUGUUGUUGAUUAUGAUAAAUGGUCAGGCAAAUGAUUCAUUUACUUAUUUUUUUCCUUUUAAAUUUUUGUUAUUAAGAAGAUUUUUGGAUAUUUAGCGUGAAGGUCUCAACUGAUCGCUAAUUUCACAGCAACUUCCUUUUUUUUUUCCCUCAAUUGUUUUGAAAAAAUAUCAAGACUCAUUCAGCAAAAUAUCCGAGGCCAAAGCGCCAAAAAUGGGACAGCCACAUGCACUUCUAAUUACAAAAUCUAAAGUUAGGGUGUCCAUAACUUACAUUUAAUAUAAUUUAUAAUUAGGUAAAAUUCAUUCAUUGACCCAGUAAUUUUAUUAUCCUAUUACUUAUAUUUUUAUAUUAAAAAAUUAGUAAGUAGGAAAAUUCUUAAAAGAUAAUGAAGAAGGAAAAGAAAAAGAAAAAGUGUAAAUGAACUGUAUUCACAUAAGUUUCAAACAUGUGAUUCAAUCUGAAUUGGCUUUUUUCAAAAGUAAAUACAAAGGAAAAUAAAAAGAAAAAAGCAAUUAAACGAGACUAAAAUCUGUGGCCUGUGUCAUUCAUAUCUUUUGACAUUUCUUUUAUAGCGGUAUAAAGGGUAGAUAUUUUGAAGUGAAAAGCAAAGCCUUUACUAUUACUUGCCUUAUCAUCUUUUAAAUUAGAGUUAUUAUCCUUUUAUUUUUAAGUAGCCAAAUUAGAGUUAUCAUCCUUUUAUUUUUAAGUAGCCAACUCAUCCGCAUUAUCUAUUAUUGAAUCUAAAGAUAAAUGAUUAUAAAUUUCUCUGAAGAUUUUAAGUCCAAACUAUAAAUCAAAAUAAUCUUAUUGAUUAAGUUAUUGUAUAAUAAUAACCUUAGCAUGACAAAUAUUAAUUCUUCUCUAGUAAAUGCUAAAGUAUUGGCUUAAGUUUUUUAACCAGCACAGUAAACCCUUAAAGCUAUAUAUGCUAUAAUGUCCCUCUUCCCUUACAAAUUAAACCAAUUUGAAUUUAGAGUGAGUGAGUACCAUGAGUUUGCAUCAUUACUAACUAAUACAGGCUCGAUCGAAUUCAUCAUACGAAGUAUAUUAUCGGCUGUAGGUAUGGAAAUAAAUUUUGUAUCCACAAACACUAUUUUUCAAAAUAUUUAAGACUUAACUUAUCAUUUUUUAACCAUAUAUGCAUAGGUUGUUUGACCUAUUUUAAAUAAUGGAGAUUACAACAAAUGAACAUAUGUGGAUUAGUAGUGUUGUUGAGUUCAGAAGAUUGAAGUUAAGAAAAAGGUUUCUUGAUCCAGAGAAAAUUCAAAAGAGCGAAGUGUCUUCGGGAUCAGAAAACGAAAUAAGGAAAGGGUAAGGUUAUACUUUCAAAAUGAAUUUGUUGAGAGAUCUUUGAAGAUUAUUUUCAUUAACAAUUAGAUCCCACACUUGAGUCUUUAUCGUCUCAGUCAGUCAGUUAUAAAGACAAAUUAAUUUUGAGUAUGAAAGGACUUUCAAACUUGUGACCCAGUUAUAAAGACAAAUUAAUUUUGAGUAUGAAAGGACUUUCAAACUUGUGACCCUUCAAGCUUUCUAUGACAGCUAUAAUGAAUAAUUACAACAGUGCUACCUAAUAGUGAGCAACUUGUUUGAUGAAAUUAACAACUUCUUUUCUCUCAUGUAUUUUUAAAAAAAUUGAAUUAUCAAAGCUUUUAUUUCAAAAUUAGUGCUAUAGUUCAUUAAUUUUUCAAAUUUUCCUUUUUUUUUCCACACAACAGAUUGAUUUGCCCUCCAAAAACUGUAUUAGAUUGUUUAAUAUUGUAACUUCAAAAAACUUAUAAUAAAUUUUUAAAGAGAUAAAUAGGGAAUGUCAGUCUCCCAUCUACUCAAAAUUAAUAUAUAUCAUUAACUCCUGAUUAUUUUUAUAACAACUAAUAACUUUCUGGGCAGCAUAAUUUUACAGUAUCAUCCUUGUUUGUAAGUAUAUUUUUUUUCACAUUUAUUAUAAAUUAAUUAAAUCAUAUCAAUGAAAAUUGAAAUAGAAAUUGAAGUACUAAAAAAAAUGUUUUGGUGUGAAUAAAAAAUUGAAAAUAAAAAUAUUUUUAUUAUAUUUUUUUAUUUUUAAAUGGUUUUCUUAUAAUAAAUAUAUAUUUUAUAUUCUCAAAUUGAAUUAUUGAGUAAAUGACUCAUUUACUCACUUUUUCUUUUAAUUUUGUUAUUAGGAGGAUUUUUAGAUAUAAUGAAAAUUGUAAGGUAGUAAGUAAUAUAAAAUAAUUUUAAUAGAGAAAAAUAAAAAAUCUGUUAUUUUAAAAUAUAAGGAGAAAAAUAAUUAAUUUCAAGAUAUUUUAGAAGAUAUUUCAAAUUUUCAAUAUGCGGUGGACUAUAAACUCGAGUCUUUGUCGUCACAGUCAACUAAAAGGACAAAAUAUUGAGUGCGAAGGGCUCAACUGAUUGCUAAUUUCACAGUAAUUGUGUUUUUUCUUUCUUUUUUUAAUUAUUGGGAAAUAAUAACUUAGUAUAACAAAUAUUAGAUCCUAUACUUUAAUGCUGCAAAAUUAUGAAACCUUAUAUUAUAUUAUGUUUCCAUAUUUCUCCUUUAUAGUGAAGACUCACACACUUCUUCUGUAGUAAAUGCUAAAGUAUUGGCCUAAACUUUUUAACCAGCACAAUAAACCCUUAAGUUAUAUAUGCUAUAAUGUACCUCUUCCCUCACAGAUUAAACCAAUCUGAUCUCAGAGUGAGUUUGCAUCGAAGGAGUAUCCUUACUAACUAAUAUAGGCUCGAUCAAUAGGGAUGACAAUAAUUUUUUUAUCUACGAACAUUAUUUUUUCAAAAUAUUAUAUCUUUAGACUUAACUAAAUAUUUUUUUAAUCAUAUAUGUAUAGUUUGUUUGAUCUCUUUUAAAUAGUGGAGAUCACAACAAAGCAAAUGCUAAUUAGUAGUGAUGUUGAGUUCAGAAGAUUGAAGUAAAGAAAACUAAGGGUUUCUUGAUCCAGAGAAAUUUCAAAAGAGUGAAGCGAAAAGUGAAUUUAUUGAGAGAUCUUUGAAGAUUUACUUCCGUUAAGAGUUGGAUGUCACACUUUUUGAGCCUUUGUCGUCCCAAUCAUUCAAUUAUAGGAUCCCUAAGCAUAUAACUUACAAUUCUUUCAUAUAAAUAAUGAGUAGUGUGAACCCAUACAACUUACAACCUUCUCACAUAAAUAAUGAGUAGGUCUAAACUACUCACUAUUCAUAUAAAAAAAUUAUAAAUUAUAUACAUGUAACUUAACAUUAUUCUCCUCUAUAAAGACAUAUUCUUAUUGAGUGUGAAUAGACAUAUUGAUCACUAAAUUUUCAAACUUGUGAUCCUCAUUAAAUGUGAUUCCCCUUUGAAAAAGAAAAAAAAGUGCAAAUAAUGAAACAAAAAUCUGUUCCUUAACAGCAAGUGGUGUCGGCGUUUUCAGACUUGUAACAAGGGAAUGAGAUCCUCUCCUGAACCCGGGUCUCAUUCCCUGUGAAACAAAAAAAGUGCAAAUAAUGAAACAAAAUUCUGUUCCUUAGCAGCAAGUGGCGUCGGCAUUUUCAGACUUGUAAAAGGGAAUGAGGUCCUUUCCUGAACCCGGAUCUCAUUCCCUGUGAAACAAAAAAAGUGCAAAUAAUGGAACAAAAUUUUGUUCCUUAACAGCAAGUGGUGUCGGCAUUUUCAGACUUGUAACAAGGGAAUGAGAUCCUCUCCUGAACCCGGAUCUCAUUCCCUGUGACAAGACCCUUGUCACCCUUCAACUCGCUUUCCAAGAUAGCUAUAUUAAUCGUGACAACAUUACUCUCAGUGAGCAAAAGUUAUCAGCAUCUUCUCCCCAUUUUUUAAAAAAUUGUAUUAUAUAACCCACCAAAACUAUAAAGAGUCUUUUCUUAUUAAAAUUAAUAAAUUACUCUUUAUAUUAAAAAAUUAAAAUUUAAAAUGAAAAUGAUCUGAUGUUUAUUUAUUAAAAUAUAAAUAAAAUAUAUGAAGUUCAUAUUUUUUAAAUUAAAAAAUAAGAACCUAAUUUCAUUCCUUAAAUUCCCAAAUUUACCUCACAAAAAUUCCAUAAACUUACUUUUGUCCUUAAUUAAAAUAUUAUUAUGUUAUUAUUAUGGUUAUUAUUCUUAUUUUUGUAAUAGUUGUUGUUGUUGUUGAUGAUGAUAAUACAUGAUAAUAAAAUUAAUAAUAAUAAAAAUAAUAACUAUAAUUUUAACAAUAGCAGUAAUAAUCAUUAAUAUUAUUGUUGUUGUUCUUAUUUUUAUUCUUAUUCUUAUUAUUAUUAUUAUUAUUAUUAUUAUUAUUAUUAUUAUUAUAAUAAUAAUAUUAUUAUUAUUAUAAUAAUAAUAAUAAUAUUAUUAUUAUUAAAUAAUAAUAUUAUUAUUAUUAAAUAAUUAUUUUGAAUAAUAAUAAUCACAAUUAUUAUAACAAACGACAAUAAUCAACUAAGGUAAUUUUAAUAACUUGUAACGAUUCAUUUUAUUCAAAGAUAUGUGAUUAUUUGUUAAUGUAUGCAAUUACUUGUGAUGGUAAACAAAGUACAUAUGGUAUAUUUUCAAGUUAAAAAAGAAAAACAAAACAUAGUUUUUACCAUUUCUUGCCUUAUCAUCUUUUAAAUUAGAGUUAUUAUUCUUUUUAUUUUUCAAGUUGCCAACUCAUCUGCAUGCUCUUUUAUUGAAUUUGAAGAUCGAUGAUGAUAAAUUUGUGUGAAAAAAUUAAGUCAAAGUUUUAAAUUAAAAUAAUCUUUAAGUUAUUGGGAAAUAAUAACUUAGUUGUAAUAAAUAUUAUAUCCUAUACUUUAUUGCUACAAAAUUACGAAACCAUAUAUUAUAUUAUGUUUUCAUAUUUCUCCUUUAUAGUGAAGACUCGUACUUCAACUUUUUAACCAGCACAGUAGACCUUUAAGCUAUAAAUGUUAUAAUGUCCCUCUUCGCUCAUAGAUUAAAACAAUAUGUAGCCUUCUCUCAUAUAGAAAAACUUUUUGUAUAAGACAAAUUAUUAUGUUAUAGGAAAAAUUACAGUAGACGUAAGCCAUAUAUGUUAUAAUGCUCAUAAGUUUGAAGUUAAGAAAAUUAAGGAAAGGAUAAGGGUGUAUUUUCAAAGUGAAUUAUUAAGAGAUCUUUAAAGAUUACUUUCGUCAAGAUCUGGGUUCCAUACUCUUGAGCCUUUUUCGUCUCAGUCAACUAACAAGACAAAUUAUGAUUGAGUGUGAACCGUCCGACUUAUGGAUCACUAAAUUUUAUCCUUAUUGAAUCUGCGUUCCCCUUUGCAAAAGUAAAAAAAAAAAAGGUGCAAAUAAUAAAACAGAAUUGUUGGCAUUUUCAGACAUGUAAGACCCUUCAACUUGCUUUCCGAGAUGGAAAAUGCUACUCAGCGAGAAUGCCGAGAGAAACGGCAUACAGUUUCUCUCGGCCCCACUCCACGUGAAGACUUUCUCUUUUCACAUUUUUUACGCGUUUCUCUUUUCUCUCCCCCCACGUGAACACUUUUGCCUUUUGCUCGUUCACGUGAAAGUCAGUUUAGAAUUUUGAUCUUAUUAAUCAUGACAAUUGACAACAUUACUCCCACCGAGCAAAAGUUAACAGCAUCUUCUCCCACAUUUUUUUAAAAAAAAUUGUAUUAUAUAACCCACCAAAAGUAUAAAAAGUAUUUUGUUAUUAAAAUUAAUAAAUUACUUUUUAUAUUAAAAAAUUAAAAUUUAAAAUAAGAAUGAUUGAUGAUGUUUAUUUAUUAAAAUAAAAAUAAAUUUUAUGAAGUCUAUAUAUUUUUUAAAUUAAAAAAUAAGAACUUAAUUUCUUAUGAACUGUAUUCACUACUUAGUAUUCUUAAAAGCUAACGGAGAAACCACUCGGCUCAGCCCGAGUGGCUAGGGCUGCUGCCCUCCAAGUUGGAGGGCAGCAGUUCGAACUCCCACAAAAGUAUUGUGGGGGUAUUUUUUUCUUCAAUUAAUUUGAGUGAAGGUAGUCUUCUCUCUUACCCAUGAGUGAGGAGUAGACAUCCCUCGAAUAUUUGUGAGGGUCAAAAUCUGAGCAGAGCUCCAUUAGUAAUUAUGUAAGUUGGUCUCAGUACUAGUCUGAUUUGUAAAUAUCAGUUAUAGUCUCAUGUAUAUGAGUUGUAAUCUGAGCAAUAGUCUCAUGUAAUAAAAAAAAAAAAAAAAAAAAGCUAACGGAGAAGGAAAAGAAAAAAAAAAGUGUAAAUGAACUGUAUUCACCUAAGUUUCAAACAUGCGGUUCAAUCUGAAUUCGCUUUUUUCAAAAGUAAAUACAAAAGAAAAUAUAAAGAAAAAAAUUAAACGAGACAAAAAUCUGUGGCGUGGGUCAUUCAUAUCUUUUGCCAUUUCUUUUGUAGAGGUACAUAGGGUAGAUAUUUUGAAGUGAAAAGCAGAGCCUUUACUGUUGCUUGCCUUAUCAUCUUUUAAAAUUAAAGUUAUUAUUCUUUUAUUUUUAAGUAGCCAACGGAUGGUAGCCAACUCAUCCGUGUUCUGUAUUAUUGAAUUUAAAGAUCAAUGAUUUAUGUUAAUAAAUAUUUUGUUAACUAGCAAAGUUUUUAUUUCAAAAUUACUCCUAUAAUUCAUUAAUUUUUCAAUUUUUCCUUUUUCUAUUCACACAACAGAUUGAUUUGUCCUCCAAAAAAAUGUAUUAGGUCGUUUAAUAUUGUAACAUCAAGAAACUUAUAAUAAAUUUUUAAAGAGAUAAAUAGAGAAUGUCAGUCUCGCAUCUACUCAAAAUUAAUAAAUAUACCACUAACUUCUUAUUAUUUUUAUAAUAACUAAUAACUUUUUUAGCAGUAUAAUUUUAUAAUAUUAUCAUUGUUUGUAAGUACAUUUUUUAUUUAUAUUUAUUAUAAAUUAAUUAAAUCAUAUCAAUAAAAAUUAAAAUAACACAAUAAGUUUUGGAGUGAAUAAAAGAUUGAAAAUAAAAAUAUUUUUCUUAUAUUUUUUGUUAUUUUUAAAUGUUUUUCAUAUAAUAAAUGUACAUUUUAUAUUCUUAAGAUGAAUUUUGAGUAAAUGACUCAUUUACUCAUUUUUUUCUUUAAAUUUUUGUUACUAGGAGGAUUUUUAGAUAUAAUGAAAAUUGUAAAGUAGUAAGUAAUAUAUAAUAAUUUUAAUAGAGAAAAAUAAAAAAUCUCUUAUUUUAAAAUAUAAGGAGAAAAAUAAUUAAUUUUAAGAAAUUUUAGAAAAUAUUUUAAUAUGCUGUGGAUCACACCCUCGAAUCUUUGUCGUCUCAGUCAACUAAAAGGACAAAAUAUUGAGCGUGAAGGCUCAACUGAUUGUUAAUUUCACAGCAAUUACUUUUUUUAUUCUUUCUUUGUUUUUCCUAAUUAUUUUGAAAUAGUAGGUAGCAAUUGCUUACAUCAAAAUAUCUAGACUCACUCGGCAAAGUAUCCGACGCCAAAAUGUCAAAAGGUGGGACACCCAUGCAUCUAAUUACAAAGUCUAAAGUUAAUGAAAAGAGAAAAAGAAAAAGUAUAAAUGAACGGUAUUCACCUCACUUUCAAAUUUAACUGUUGGGUCUUCCUACUAUGCACCUGGUGUAUGCAUGAUUCCUUGUGACAUGACAUACAGCCAAUUAAAUUCUGACAUACUUGCAAUAAGGUCUGUUAAAGUGACCGGUUAUUCCAGUUGAAUUCACAAGAUCUCUUGUUUGCGUGUUUAUGUUCCAAGUUGUGUACUCUGUGUUGCGAGUUCUCUAAUUAGUCUGAAAUUAUCGCAACUGUUAGCUCAAUAAUGUUACAGGUUUUAUAAUAUAUGUCACUGGUAUGAUCGCUGUCACAAAUUUAGAACGAAAAGUUUCUAAUAAAAUAAGUUAUUUAAUUAAUUAAAUAAGAAUAAAAUGAAUUUAAUUUUGAAUUAUUUUGACCAAAAUUUAAGUUUUUUUUAAAUUUGUUUAAAAAAAUGCGUUGUAAUUGUCUUGUUUUAAUUGGAAAAUCAAUGAAAAAAUUAUGUAACAGACAAAAAAAAAAAAAGCAAAACGGCUUGUUUUGGAUGGUGGCCAUAGAUUCCAAUAUUUCCUUCACGAAAACUACAAAAAAUUAUCAAAGGCAUCAAUUUCUACACUCUCACCGAGCAAUACUCUUAACCCAGAAGGAAGUGUAUAAACCAACCCCAAUCAGUCCAUCAAUGUCGUCAACCUCAUACAUCAUAAAAAAAAUCUGUAUCCAUUAAACCGCCAUUUAAACCGUCUUUAUUGAGCCAUUAGACUAUUCGUGUCAUCUUAGCAUCUCGUUGUAAUAUUUUGCCGUUUAAAUCUAGUUAUCAAUGGGAGAAAAUGGAGACCAAUCUGCAAGUCUUUAAAAUAGAUAGGAACUUUAAUUGGGCACUAUGUUCACGGUGGUGGACCCAGCAGUAUUAAUCUUUAGGCAGAGCUAUUUGUAUUUUAAAAAUUAUUUUACACACUCUAAUUUUAAUUAGAAUAUAUAUUACAAAAAUACUUAUCAUAUAAGUUACUAGACAAUAUAUUAUAAGUCAACAUUAUAUAAUUACUUUGAACACUUAUAUAGCACAAUCUUUAUUUAAUUUUUUAUUCUCAUGACUUAAAUAUAAAAAAUUUUAUUUCCAACAGAUGAAUAAUAAAGAAAUUAACUUUGAGAAAAAUUUAAAUACAAAAUAUGUGUAAUACUUUUAAAAAAUAAAAUAAAACAAAAGUAUUGCACAAUAUAUAUUUUUUUUUGGGGGGCUUUGGCCAUUCUUCUUCUUCUCCUUCUCUCUCUCUCUCUCUCUCUUUGGAUAGUAUUUAUGGAACAUUUUCUAUUGUUAUGUUUAAAGCUGUUAAAAUGAGUCAUCAGGUCGUGUUUGUGUCGUGUCAAAUUUAAGUCGACCCAUUUAAUAAUCGUGUCAAAAUAUUGAGACCCAAACCCAACACAAAAAAAUAAUCGGGUUACUCAAUAACCUGCUUAAUAUCUAUAUAUUAAACAAAAAUUACAUCAAAUAUUUACACAUUAUCAUACAUACAUAUGCGCAUACAUACAUACAUCCAUACAUACAUACAUAAUUUAUCGAUAUUAUAAAAUAUAUAUAUGUACUAAAAUAUUACACACACUAUUGAGGUUUUAAUUAUAUAUAUGUAAAUAAUAUUAUAUAUCAAUAUUAUAAAAUAUAGAUGUCUACGAAUAUUUUAUACAUUUAUACUAUUAAAGUUCUAAAUGUAUUUAAAAUUUUAUAAAUAAAAUAUUGCGUCUAUAUUCAUCCUUUUAAAGAAUUAAAAAAAGAAAAUAAUCUCUAAUAUUUGAGUUUUGAUGACAAGAAUUUACAAAUUAUUUUAAAAUAAAAAAUAUAAUCAGGUCAUUGAUCGGGUAAAUAGGUCAAGAAUUUUAAUCCUAACCCGAUACGAAAAAAAAUCGUGUUGACCUAAACCCGGCCCAUUUAAUAAUCGUAUUAAAUUCGACAACCCAUACCCAUUUAUUAAUGUCGUGUUCGUGUCAGGUAAUCGAAUCGUGUCAAAUUUUGCCAGCUCUAGUUAUGUUCUCGUCGCAAGUUAUUUUGGGUCCAAAUACAAUAUUAAAAAUAAAUUAAAUAAAAAAUUAGUAACUAAAAUUAUGUUAAAUUAUUUUUUAUAACUUAAAUUUUAAUUAUAUUAUUGUGAGUAUAUUACUAAAUCUCUUAAAAAUAGAGUGUUGAAUAAUUUUAUUAGUUUUUUAAAUAAAUAAAGUUACCCAAAUCGUUUUAUUAUCACAUUAUUUUCCAUAAAAAAAGUUUACAAUUACCUCUUUAUUGGACAAUUUUGUUCCUUCUCUUACCUUAUGUUCCCUUACAUUCUCAUUUAUGCAUCACCAAGUUUGCUAUAAUGUACGUGAAGAAUAGUUAAAGAGCUCUUUCGUGUCCUUACCCUUUUUUUUGGGUUUACUUUUGCUGCCUUUUUACGUUUCUCCAUAAUUCACUCCAACAUCACUGACGCAUUUUCUUCUUUCUCACUGCAACAUCAACUGGGCCACCACCUCUUGCCUCUGCCGGUUCCCCUCAAUUUUCGUAUUCAAUGUCCACAGUUGAUUGUACAUUUAUUAAAAUUCUGUGGUUUUGCCUAUAUUUAAUUCCACACGGUCUAUCGAUAGAGCAUGUGCAUCGUAGUUGUGGCCUUAACUAUUAUUGGUAACUCAAUAGCUAAUUCUAAUGUUUCAUCAAGCAGUUUAGAGAUAACCUCUCUCGCUGAACUCCCUGGAGUAAUGCAAUCCAGUUUUCCAGUGCAAUCAUCAGACAGUUGAACAGCUUCUGAAUUCCCUUUGCUUUUCUUGUUUUCUUUUCCAUGUAAAGGGAGCUCAGGCUUCAAUAUAUAUAUCUGGGGAUUGGGUACUAAUGAUAAAGACAACAUACGGUAGAGGACACAAAUUGUUAUCAAAGAAUGAUGCACUUUUCAACUGAGUACAGUAAAGCAAGAAUGGGUAAUUAGUUUUACCUGCUAAGCGAAAAUCUAGACUCCCGAAGGUAACAGAUCUUGGGUGAAGCAAAUAAAGAAGAAGGCGAAGUAAAAUUCACUGAGUUGAAUGAGCGAUCAUUGCGUAUGGACUUGAUUUGUUCAAUGGGUGAAAGACUGCUGAUAUAAUUAAAGACUGGAGAAUCCUGCACGUUGACAAGCAUCAUUUUUAAUCUAACAUAGAGUCUUAAAAACCUUGUCAGUGGCAAAUGAUCACGACAAGCAAACUGAAGUUCAAACAGCAGAGCUCAACAAAUCAUUAAGAGAAAAUAAGACCAUUAACCAAGCAGAUGAAAGAAACGCAAAAUAACCCAUCUCAAAUCACCGCAUGCACAAUUUAAGGGGGUUGUGACAUGGGUUUAAGCAUGAUUUAACAAGUGCCACCAGUGAAUUCUCAGAGAUUGAAUUUUCAUACACAUGCAAAUUUCCAAGUCCAACGAAUUGUUGUCUUUCUGAAGAUAUUAACGAUGCAUAGCAUGCUAUAAACAAAUCAUAUUAUUAGGGCCUUUGUUUGCUGUACACAACAUAUGUACAGAGGAACAAAUCCAUGAGCUGAAAUCAUCAUAUUCCAAAAUAUUCUACCCAAUCAACACCACAAAACCCUAACGCUAAACAGAAUUGGAGCAAUUUACGAAAGCUAUUUGUCACACAAAGCGCUAGUACCUCUGAACCCAAUUUGCAGAUGAAAAAUAACAAAUGCCCAAAUGAAAAAAUCAGGAAAAAAAAAUGCUCAAAUUCAAACUACAACCCCAUAAGCUGAGUCGUUCUCUUCAAACUAAAUUUAACACUGAAUAAAAAAAUUAAAAAAUUAAAAUGGGGAGAUUAACCUCAAACUUGGAAACAGAAGCGACAGUGAUCUGUUUCCUGUCUGGAGUGUCCAUUUCUAUAAUCUACUUUGUCUGUUUUCAGUCGCUCCGCCACAAAGCUUUUUCCCUCUGAAACUGAAACUCACACACACUUGCAAAGCGAAAGCAUUUGAUUGAUUGAGAGGCGGGAAGGCGGGAAAAUGGAAGAAAUUUGCUUUUGUUUUUUCUUGGUUUGGUCAAACACGUGCGGGCCCCAGCUUGACAAGCGGUUCUAUUACUACUGUAUUAUCUACAUGACGCGUGUCACGCGAUCUCGAUAGAAAAGUGGUAAAAAAUUCUAAUGAUUACCCAAUGGCGAUAAAAAUAAAAAUAUAUUGUUAAUUUUUUACUUAACAUUGGAAUAUCAUAUAAUUUUAUGGUUAUUUACUCGCCGUUAUGCCAUAUUCUUAUGAUCAAAUAAUACAGUAAAAUUUUUCUAUAAUCAUAACGUUAGAACCAAAUUAAUUUCACUUCUAUAAAAAAAUUAUAGCUUAAUAAAAGUAUAAUUGUAAAAAUUAUUAUUUUAACUUACUUAUCCUUAGUACAAAUGAUGUAAAGUAAAAUAUAUGAUAAUUAAUUAAUGAAUUAUGUCAAAUACAAUGUACGGACAAUGAUAAAAGAUAAUUCAAGUGUGACUCUUAUCAAAUUCUUUUCCCCUCAACUCUUUAUAUUUUGACGCCGAUUUCCAACAAAUUAUUGAAAACAAAGGCAAAAAAUGGAGAAAAGUGAUUGGCUACAAGGUGUGCAUCUUAAUUUCAAAAUUUUCUUUUUCUUUGUUGUUUCUCUAGGUUCUAUAAUUGUUGUUUUCGUGGUCAAUUGCAAUUCAAUGAACUAAAUUAGUAGUAAAUUGCUAUUACUGGGCAUAUAAUUCUAUUGCUGCAAUUUUACUACUGUUUAGCUUUUUUUUUUUAGUUUAUAAUUGCUGUUUUGUUGUCUUUUUUAGGUUUUCAACUGUAGUUUGCUGUUUUUCUAGGUUCUAUAGUUGCUGCUUCGGGAAAAAUAAGAAUAAAUGUGAUCUUGAAUUAUUUAACUCUUAUGAAACAUCUUUAGCUGUUGCAUUUUUUCACUGUAUUAGUAUUGGCGGGAUGGAUGUUGAAUAGGGAUGGCAAAGUCCAUAUCCGGAUCUAAAUUGAUAUUUCUAUAUUCGGAUCCGCAUCCGAAUCUACACAUUUUUUUUUUUUUCGCGAAUCUGGAUGUGGGUAAUCUUCGUAGGGAUUGCAAGCAGAUAUCAUGGAUAUCUAGGUCCGCAUAAAUUAAAAUUUAAUAAUUUAAAAUAUAAUUUAAAAUUCAAUAACUUACCUAAUAAUAUCAAGUAAAAUCCAAUUAUAAUUUAACAAUCAACAAUUCAAUACCUAAAAUAACAUAUAACAUCAUUAAGUCAUAAAUAAAAAUAUCACAAUAUAAAUCAAAAUAAAAAAAAAACAUAAAUCUAAGUUUAGCACCACCACAAAUUCACGAAUAAAAUUAUAAAAACACCACAAAUCCAUAUAAAAUAAUGUGAAUUCCGAUAUAUUUCUUAAUUUAAUUUUACUUCUAUAUUUUUUAGUAAUCCUAUUAUCUUUUUUCAUUUAACUUAUAUAUUUUUCAUUUAAUUUUAAUUUAACAAAUAAUUUAAUUAAAAAAUAAGAUGGAUCCAGAUCCGGAUUUGGAUCCUCUUGGAUUCUAAAUCUUAGGAUCCGAAUUUAAAUUUUUUUAAUAUGUAUAUCUGAAUUCUAAAUCUUUGCGGAUCUGAACCAGAUCCUGAUAUUUUUACCAUUCCUAAUGUUGAAAGGGCAAUAAUUUGUGGGAAAAUAAUUUGACAAGAGUCAUGCAUGAGUUUGGAUGUUUGUAUAAUGUAAAAUUUAUACUUAAUAUGAUUGAAAUUGAGACUAAAAUAUUUUACCUAAAAUUCACUAGCUAGCUUUGCCUUGAUGGGCCUGUGAUCGCCCAUACAUAUUUCUUCAAAUUUAUUAAUAUUUUUGUGCAUAGCAAUUAGGGAUAUAUGACAACAAAUUCUCAUUUUUAGUGUGUCGAAAGUAUAUUCACAAGUUGUGUGCCCCUUGGAAUGGGCACAGCUCACCGACUUGUAGCCUCUUUCUUCAGUUCACCACUCUAGUUGGACUCGCCAAUGAGAUUAAACAUUAAAUACAUCUAAAAUUAUGUCGAUUAAUAUAUGCUCUUUUUAUAUAUUUCCCCUAGCUUAUUAAUAAUUUUAUAGAAUUAUACAAAAAUUGAUAUUUUGUAGCAUAUCAUGUUUGUUUAGUGUUCCCGUGUACUCUAUGUUUGAUAAUUUAAUUAGCUAAUAAGGACAUGAAUAAUAUUAUUUCACUCACUAUGUCAUUGGUCAGAAAAAAAAAAAGGAAAGAAAAACUCAAUUUGAGAUGUUAUACAUUAUUUUUUAUUACUUCCCAUUUCAGAUGAAUAUUUAUCAUAUAUAUUCUUAGUAACUUGUAACCCUUUCUGCUAAGGGUAAAAUGUUUUUGUUACCCCUUAUAUUUAUGAGAUUGUCCUUAUAGUAGUGAUGCUGGCCCCAUUUUCUAAGAGUACAUUUGGAAUUGAGAUUGUGUAGUUGUAGCUUAAAAGUCACAAUAUUAAAAUAUUUGGUCAACACUAGCUAUUGUAGUUUGGAAGCUAUGUUGAUAUGAUUUUUUAUUUGUAUAAUAGAAAAUCUAUUAUAUCUUUAAUAAUUUUGUUAAAAUUAUUAUUUAAACAUUAUAUUUACUAUAUAUUAUUAAUUUUUAUUUUAUAAUUACUGUUUUUUUUCUACAGCAAUUGUAGCUUUUAAGGUUAAUCACCUCAAUCCCAAACAAGAUCUAAAACUGCUAUCUCUAUGUGUAAAUUCCUUAAAAAAAUCUUUUUUAAUUAAAAUUAUUUAAAUAAUUGAAGAUAAAUUAAUUUAUUUUUUAUUUGAAUGAAAAUUCAAUUAAGCAUUUAAAUAAGCUAUUCUCUCUUAACAAAUUUUUUACGCCCAUCUUGUUUCAUAAUUUAUAUUUGUAUUUUAAAUUUUAAUCGAAAGUACGUUUUGAGAAACUUUUAAGAAUUAAGAAUUAUGGAAACAAAAAUUAUGUAAUAAGAAGAAAAUAAUUUAAAUUCUUAAGAUUUGUAUGUAUUUAUAAAUAAAAACUUGCAAGAAAUACUCUUUUCAAGAUAAGAUUUAGUGAGAAAAUUAUUAAAUUUUAAUUUACGAAUUAAUAUUUUAUAAAUUAAACUGGGGGUAUCUUAAGGAAUAUAAUUCAAUUGAAUUCAGAAAGAGUGUUUAUAAGGAUUUUUUAGGGGUGUUAAAAGCUCCACUUAUUUACGCAAGGAAUGGGAAUUAGGGUAUUGGGUAGGAGUGUUCGCGGAUCGGACAUCAAUCCAUAUCCAAUCCAUGAUUUUGUAGAUUAUGAAUUUUCAAUCAAAUCCAAUCUACGGAUUGGUUAAACUCAAUCCAAAUCCAAUUCAUAUAUUUGUGGAUCGGAUGCGGAUUUGACUCAAUUCAUAUCCAAUCCAUCAUUUUGCGGAUUGAUCUGCAGAUUACAAAUUUUUCAUUUGGUCCAAUCCACGAAAUAAUAAAAUGAAAAAAAGUAAUAUAAAAAUAAUUUUACUACCAAUCAAAUUCAAAAUUGAAUAAGAUUUAAAUAAAUAAAUUAUUUAAAUAAAACUAAAAAAAUGCAUUAAAGUUAAAAUACAACACACCGAAAUUAAUUGUUCAAAUGAAGAUAAAAUAAUACAUUUAAAGUUUCAAAAUAUAAUACAUUAAAAUUAAUUGUUGAAUUAAAAUUAUAAUAAUACAUUUAAAGUAUCAAAUUAUGACACAUCAAAAAGAAAAAUAUUUGCUGCCAAUUUGUAUUUUGUACUUUAACUUGAACUAAAUAAACAUAAUUGAAAUGAAUAACAAAUAAAAAAAUUUUAUUGAAUAAAAAAAUUAACAAAUAAAAUAAUUUUGUUUAAUGACUGCUUGCACAGAGAUCAAGAAUCGUUGGAGAAGAUGGCCGAAGGAGAAGUUUAAAGCUAGUAAGAAUCGUUGGGUGUUGGUGGCUCUGUGCUUGCGACAGGGAAGGAUAGGAAGUCAAGGGUUUUUUGUGUGCUUGUUACGGGAAAGUUUAAGAAGUCAAGGUUUUUUGUUUUCUAGUGGCUGCUUUGGUGAAGUGGCAUUUAGGAUAAAUGUUUUGUUUGGUUUAUAAUUUUUUAUUUUGUUUCAGAAUUUUUACAACUUAUCUUUGUAUAUUUUAAUUAUUUAUGUUAUUUUUGAAUAAUGGAUAAGGUAUCUUAUGGUGUUAAUAUAAGUAUGUAAUUACAUUUAACUUACUUAUUUAUUAGUAAUGUCAUAUUUAUAAAUUUUUUAAUUAAAUAAAUAUUUUUUUAAAGAUUGGCGAAUUUUUACGGAUUUACAAAAGUAAAUCCAUAUCCAAUCCACCGCUUGUGGAUUUUUAAAUUUUUAAUCCAAUUCAAUCCACCAAUCCACGGAUAAGAUUUUUACGAACCAAAUUUUUACGGAUCGGACGAAUUGAGCUGAUCGAACCGGAUUCUGAACACCCCUACUAUUGGGUUUCACUUUGUUUUACAUGAAUUUGGGAAAAAUACACGGAUAGACAAGGGAACAGUCAUUGUUAAGCUGUGAAGCUUGUGGAAGAUACCAUUGCCUAUUUGCAGCUUAAACUCCUGGAGCUUUGCUCAUGCUUUCUCUUUCCCACUUUCUCAUGGAACAGAUGUAUACAUCAUGAAAUGAAAACAACAGCACAAAUUGCUGUCUCGUAAGAGAAACAGUCAUACAUAGUAGGUUAGGCCUCAUGUCCAUUAACUUACUAAUGAAUUUUAUGAAAAUUGGCUAUCUCAUUGAAAUUACAUAGGUAUUGGAAACCCUUACUCCAGCUGCAUCAUCUCAUCAGUGAAAGCUGGAUUUUCCAUUUGUUCUUGAGAUUCAUAUUAAGGCAGCAAAUUGCUCAUCCCAUACUAUCUAUGUAAUCCUGUAAAAGGGAAGGGCGUUUAGAUGUGGAAAAACCUUACUCCUGCCGCUGCACCUCAAACAGAUUGCGAUCACACAAGACUUAGUUCAUCAUUAGUAGUAGUUGGAGCUUCCAUUUGUUCUUGAGAUUCAAAGGCAGCAAGCUGCUUCCUCAGUGCUACUAAUUCUUCCCCGGCAUUGCAUAUGUAGGCUGAGGCUUGUCUACCAGACAAAGUUGCUCCUUCCAUACUAUCUAUGUAAUCCUGUGAGAGUGAAACCAUUUAGGAGACAUAUCUCUUUUUUUUCCCAAUAUUUGGGAUGAAACAAUGAUAUACAGUUACCUGUUUUGUAUACGAGCCAGCAAGGAAGAAGUUCUUCACAGGUGUCUUUUGAUCAGGUCUGAAGGGGUCUUUACCAGGUCCCUCACGGUACAAAGAUUGCCCGAUUUUGACAACAGAUGACCAAAUAACUUCUAAACCUUGGGAUGAUGGAAAUAGAGCUAAAACCUAAUAAAAUGAACCAUGAAUGGAUAAUUUGUACUGAUGUAUGUUAUCCAGAAAGUUGCAUGACCUUUUGUGGUACUCAGGUCACUAAAAAAAACGUGAGAUAAACAUCUAGGAUAAGAAAACCAAAAAUAGUAACCUAAUAUGUAUUAUAUGAAUUGAAGGUGUCACUGAACGCUACCAACCUGCUUUGCCACUCUCCUUAUGAUUUCAUCAUUUGGUAAGGGCAUGUAAGGAUCGCCAGGCGUCAAAACACAUCUG
rnacentral:lncRNA from 1 species